rnacentral:lncRNA from 1 species
UUUCUUUUUUUUCUUUUAUUUUUUUUGGUGGAGUAUUGGUUUUUUGGUGUGUGGUGAGUUGGCACCUGGCUAGGAUAUGAGAGAGCUGUGUUGGUCUUGGGCAUGAGAGAGAGAGAGAGAGAGAGAGAGAGAGAGACAAAGAAUGAAUAGAUGAGAUGAUUGCAAGGUGUGUUAUUUGGACCUUGUCCACGCUAGGUUUGCGAAACAUUGCCGUUCAUUUCGUGACAACGUGAUUUUGCUCCUAUUUUGGACAGAAUGUGAGCAAAAACAAUCGAAUGAAGUUAAUCAACUUUGGACAUUUUUCGAGUGGAUUAUCAUGAAUUGCAUAUUUGCAUACAUGUGUAACCGUAACACACGGAGGAAAAAAAAUUGAAAUCGGAGCCUCUUUUUAAGGUUUUUGCAUCAUACAUUCAUGGGGCAUGCAAAUAAGUUUUCAAUACAUGAUUUGCCGUUCCAUCUUACAAUCAGCUUAAACUUGGGCGCUACUUAAGCUGCUAUCGCUCAAAGUUUAGGGAUAGAUAUGUAAAUUUUAUCUUUCAAAAAAAAUAUGUAAAUUUUCGGCAACAGUCAGUAACAGUCCCGAGAUGGAAGCCCAAUGCAGGCCCCACUACAGGUCUGUAAACUUGGACGGGACCCACAGGGCAGCUGGCCCAAUCAUGAUGACAGGUGGGGCUAGGGUCUUUGUGUGGGCCCACGUGCUGCAAUCUGAGGAUGGGCCCCUCCAACUCCUUCCUUCCUUGGAUGCUUUGGAGCUUGGAGUGCCACUUAAGUAUUUAACCAACAUUUUUUUUUGCUUAACAUCAUGUUGAGAAAAGUACUAUACAUCCACACACUCUCAAGCUUCGCUUUAGUUUUAUUUUAUUAUAUGCACUAAAAAAGGAAUUAAUUAAGGAGAAGAAAUAAACCAGGACUCUUAACCUUUGCUUAGCUUCCGGUGAGCAAGAGAGACACAAUCAUCAUGCUCCCAGAACUAACCAAAAUGGUGCCUGAAAACCAUCAAUCUGGAUUUAGAACGUGAUGAGAUUGAGAUGAACCUUAUUGCAGCCACACUUAAAUGUGGAUUAGUUAAUGCCAUGUUGGCAAGCACCAAUCGGCAUCAACUUGGCGCUGAAUUUUUGGCAAGAAGAAAAAAAUCCGGCAUUUAUUGGUUUGGAGGUGGGGGCAGGAAAGGAAGACCACAUCCAGCGCAGCACCGAUCAUACGGUGGGAGAUGAGCAAUUGAGCAUAGUAGGUGAGCCAUAAUUGUUGCAAAGAAUGUUCCUUCAUUAGGGCAGGACCCAGCAGAGAAAACAGCCUUGCAAUUGCAAACAGGGGUUGCCAUCUUUGUCUUUGCAGAGAUGGUGCAAGAGCAAUGCUGUUCUAUUCAUCCACAGUUUUGUUUUGUAAUUUGAACCAACAGGAUAAGCUACUGUUUUGUUUCGAUAGGAAAAAAAAAUCAUUUGGCUACAAGGAGUAUAAUCAGGGUGUGGAUUAAUAAAUAGCUAAUGAAAGUUUGAUGAACAAUGCAUGGAUGGUUGCAUAAUUUGAGCACAGGAUUGGACGUGAUGUACUUUUGAUGGCUAUUUAAUGUCCCAUGUUCUCCAUCCACGACAUAUGGCGGUCCACGCUAGUAGAAUUUAGGCAAGGACUGCAAUGGGGCAUAGCCCUAAUUAAGCUCCUAUUAGAAACGAACUCAGAAGCUAGAUCACAAACCAUUAGGAGCAAAAUACCAUUGCUAUGUGUUACAAUAAUAUUUAUGAAAUAUCGUACGUAGAUUUUAUGAAACUACUCCCUCCGUUCCAAAUUGUAAGUCGUUUUAGCUUUUUUAGAUUCAUAGAUAUUAUUAUGUAUCUAGAUAUAGAUAUAGUGUACGUAAAAGUCAAAACGACCUACAAUUUGGAACGAAGGAAGUACAACUCAAGACAAAUCUACUUGCUCUGUAUCAUCUUCCAAUAUCUAAACUUAAUAUAUAAAAUAAGUUGUAACCAAAAUUUUAAAAUGGUUUAUUUAAAGGUAAUACAGAAAUGUCAACAUCUUUAAGGCGAGCGGUUCAUUCUUGCGAGCAGUCGAUUGCAUGCCUACGCCUCUCUCUCCUCUUAUGUUUAUGGGGAUAUAUUUGUGUGUACAGAUGGCAAUGGGUACCCAAAACCUGAGUACCCAAUGUGUUUUACUCGAUAGGAAGGCGGGUAUGGAAAGAUAUAUUUACCCACGGGUGUACUAAUGGGUAAAAUUCAUACCCAUCGGGUAAGAAGGUGUGGGUGCGGGUACAUACUACCCAUAUCCGCGUACCCGACCCGUGGGUAAAAUAUACCCGGCUACAAUAUGUAAUAAUCUCAUAAACUUGCACAUUAUUAGUGAAAGGUGAUUUAGUAUUGAAUAAUGAACUAAUAAUUUUAUAAUUUAUUACACUAUUAGUUGGCUAAUAAUUGUUAAUUGUCUUUUUAUUUACUCAGAUUUGUUGACGUGUGCCUUUUAUCAUGUGUUAUAUUCAUGAUUUUAGUGGCUUUUAUAGCGGGUAUUAGAGAUGGCAAUGGGUACCCAAAACCCAAGUAUCCGAUGUGUUAUAAGAAGGUGGGUAACCCGCAGGUAUACUAAUGGGCAACAUCAUCUACCCAUCGGGUAAGCAAGUGCGGGUACAUACUACCCAUACCUGCGUACCCGUGGGUAAAAUAUACCCGACUAUAAUGUGUGAUUAAAUUCAUAAACUUGCACGUUGGUAGUGAAGGGUGACUUAGUAUUGGUAAUUAACUAAUAACUUUAUGAUUAUUAGACUAUUAAUUGGUUAAUAAUUAUCAACUAUAUUUUUUAUUUACUCAAAUUUGUUGGCGUAUGCACUUUCUCAUGUAGUCUUAUAUUUACGAUUCUAAUAGUUUAUAGCGGGUAUCCUAUCGGGUACGGGUUACCGACGGGUAAAAAAACCAGCAUGUAUGCGGGUAUGGGUAAGAACUUAUACCGGCAUGCGGGUAUGGGCUUUUUGGUGGGUAGAAGUAGAGUUCGCGGGGGCGGGUAUGGAAUAGCACUACCCAACAGGUAUGUACCUGUUGCCAUCUCUAGCGGGUAUGCUAUCGGGUACGGGUUACCCAACAGGUACAAAUACCCUCGCGGGCACGAGUAUGGGUAAGAACUUGUACCCGCAUGCGGGUAUUUAUAUUUUAACGAGUGGAGUUAGAGUUAGCGGGUGUGGGUUGGGAUGGCACUACCCAGCAGGUAUGUACCUGUUGCCAUCUCUAUUUGUGCGGUUUCAUUGGCUUGGACACAUUCUAAACUGUCACGUCAUUGGCGAUAGCUAGGUUGUCGUUGACCUAAUAAAACCUCUUCCUAGCGUGCGCGCGGGUGUUUUGGGAAGGGGGGCAGGGGAAGUUGUACAUGUCUUUGAAAAGAAAAAUAGUGUGCGUAACUUUCGGAUUGAACAUGGGCGGUAAACUCAACCUCUAGAUUGGGCCAACCAAUGCAACUUGUGCAUUGCAAGAGUGUACAACGACAAUUACCUCUCUUUCCAAAAAAAGAUUUAUCCCUUAGACCACCAAAGUUUAAAAUGCUCGUGCAAUGGUCACAAUGAAAAAAAAUAGAAGAACACGGCACUAUUAGUCUGCGGCACUAUUAGUCUGCGCAACUUUAUAAGAAAUGACAAAGAUCAAAGAUGUAUGUUGAACUGACCACUGAUCUUGAGCGAGGCGCCUGCGAUGACUUUUUCGAUCUCAAAUCGACGGGAUCAGUUUUUCGAAGGUAACUCAAAAAAAAAACUGGGGACGCGUACGUGCAUUUCGUAACACUUUUUGCAAAAGAGAAAAGGAAAAACAGAGUUGUCCAAAAGACGAUUUGUAUUCCGACUGGAUGGAGUAUCAUCGUCUACAUUGAUCCACGUAGCGGCGUGUGGAGAGCGAGAUGACGCGGUGACACUAGGACGGUAGUCGUGGAGGAGACCAGCAGGCAGCACCCAAGGAGAAGAAGAAUAACAGCAGCUGAGCUAAAACGGGAAGCAAACAAAACAAGAGGAAAAAAGCUCACAUCCAGUCAAGUCCGUCCAGGCUAGCAAACCGGCCGGCCGGCGUGGCAUGAUUGGCAUCCCACAUGCGGUGGGCCCACCACCACCCUCUCCCCCGCGCACCGCUCGCGCUCCUCCCUGCCUCACCGCUCGCUGACACCCCCGUCCCCACCACCAUCCCGGCCCCACGUGUCGGCCUGCGGGUGGUAAGCAUCCCACCCGCGACGGGUUCGCCCGGCCCCACCGCGGUCGCCGUUUCCCCCGGCCCCGCGCCGGAGCGGACAGCUGGGCGCCCCAGGCACGUGGUGACACGUGGCUCGCGGGCCCCGCCCAGGCUCCCGGCCGACGUGUCCCGGCUCCGCUUCACACACGCGCCCUGCUGAACGGGACGGGACGUGACACCUCGGAUCGACGGCGACGGCCACGCCGGCCGGCCGGCGGCGGCACCGGAAGUCGCGCUCUGCCGGCGGGGAUCUGCAUGCGUGUGGGCCCGCGCACGUUUUUUCGAUCGGAACAGGAUGAGUCUUUUUGGUAGGUCGCGUAGCUUUCCGCAUCUCCGGCGAGACCGCUUUUCACGGCAUGGCACGUUUGUGUUUUCAGCCCCUAGGACAAGUACGUCCUCAAGCUGAAAUAUAGCCGUCAUUUUCGUCUCGAUAUUGUUUUACAUUAGCUAAUUAAUGAUUAUUUUUCCCUAAGAAAGCUAGUAAUAAUUAUUUAUUUAUUCAUUUUUAAGUAUGUGGCAUUUAUGUUUUGAACUAUUUUUUUUUUGCAAACAAAGGAUCGUACCCUAUGAGCAACCUCCAAGAGGUUGAGCUGAUAGAUACACGAGAUCGAUGAAGACACCACUAGCACCUUGCUGUCGAAAGGGUACAUUUACCUACAAUUGAAAAAAUAAAGCUGGUUAAAUCCUUAAAUUCAUAAAAAUGCGAGCACCAGUGCUGAGUCGAGAACUCGAAUACUAAUGGGUAGGGAUGAAUCCAACGUAGGGGUUAGCUGGGGGAUCCACCAUAGAUAAAGAGGAGGAAGAAGAAAAGGAAGAGGAGGAAGAGAAAGAGAGGAGGCUCCCUUCCUUUAAAUCUUGCUGGUGGGCAGGUUCCAGCAUAAAAUAGUGUAUAUUUUGAAACUAAUUAUCUCGUUAAAAACAUCGUACGGUAACACGCAUGGAGUGUAGUAUAUUUUAAUGGCACACAAUAAAAACUUUUACGUUAAUCAUUCUACUUUGAUUACAAUUUGUAACACAUAAAUUAAAUAUUUGUGGUUAUUUUAUAUAAAAAAUUCAAGUAUCAAUGGAGCAAUAGUCGGUCCGGGUCGAGGGCACGUAGCCUCGUACUAACAAAAUUUAACCUCAUGGAAGGCUUGUUUAUACUAAUUAUGUGUGUGUACCUUCGUGCAUGUGAAAAAAUACCUUACGUGGGCAAGCUCCGUCGAAUAGAGGAUGGAGGCCGCGCUAUCCGACGAUGUUAACCAUGCCGGUAGUGGCGGAGAAGAUUGAAAGUUAGAGGGGGUUUGCUUCUUCUUCAUCGUCCAUAUCCACUUUUCCCCCUCUCUUCUUUUCAUCUUUCUCCUUUGAUUUUAAUGGAGUUCUGAGCACCGCUCCCUGAUGUCGGUUGUAGAGCUGUAUACUGCUGCUCUAUCGCAUCACGUACAAAUGCUCAAGGCCACACCUAUGGAUCCAAAUUAAAUUCUUCUUUUCCACUUUUCAGACGCGAGACCUCGUUCAGUCUUUCCAAUAGUACAAAUUAAUUAUGAUUUUUUCUACUCCUUCCGUUCCAAAUUGUAUAUCGUUUUGGCUUUUAUAGUGUACAGUGUAUGUCUAGAUGCAUAAUAAUAUAUAUGAAUCUAAAAAAGAGUCAAAACAAUCUACAAUUUCGAAUCGGAGGGAGCACUUGUCUUGUUAAAGAAAAAACAAGUUGGCAUGCACGCGGACCAGCCAAAAAGCUGGCCUUGUGACUUAUGGUAGCUUUGCCACAGUUCGCCGGGCGGCCAGCCUGCCCAUCUGACGAUGUGAAUGUGUGGAAAGUACACGACACGGCCAAGCUGGGGUCUUUGACCGCCGAGAGGACGCAUGCAUGGGCCUGACCACGGGCGGAUCAUCCUUCCUCCAUGGAUCGAUCUGCGCCGUCCGAUCGAUCCUUCAUCCAUGCUCGCCACCUAUCGCUAUAGCGUUCCACGGGAAAGCCCCAAACCGGACAUAAAUGCGCAUGCACGUGCAGGCGCGUCCGGAGCAUAACAUCAGUCAAGCGGGCGCAUGCAUGCAUGCAGCAGCUAGGCAGCGAUGCAGCUAGCGCCAGCACAAGCUAUAGCGACCGCGUGGACACCGUUAUUUCCAACGGGGUCAGCUUUUCCCUGCACGUUUCUAAUAAAAAAAAAACGCUUUUCUCCGUAUGAAAUUGCCAAAUAAAGGGCAAAAUGGGAACGAUACAAGGUCGCGGAUGAUGACGCGUGGCUACGUGUUGCAUGCACAGUUGCCUAGACAGCUACAGACGUCCGGCGGCAGCAGCAGCAGCAGGCAUAUGGCGUUGCGUACAUGCACACCGGGCCGGGCUGGCCAGGUCGUCCAAACAAAAAUAAUGUUAGAUAUCAAACGAUGGAUGGAUGAUGGGCCAGGGCAAAUGAGUGAGAAGCGGAGAAUGAUGAUGGGCUCUGGCAACGUUUCGGCCCAAUUUCGUGGCCCACGGUGUCAAGGCCGCUCGACUUUGAGAUGGCCCAUACCGGUGCACAGACGACGGCCCAAGGCUACGACCUCAGCCCAGCAAGCUACCUAGUUUGCAGCCCAGCUAAAAAACCCGAUGGAUCGAUUCAUAGUUCGUCUCGUCCUCUCCCGUUCGUCUGCCCGUCUGUGUCUCGCCGGCGCCCACCGUGCCUCGCCGCCCAUCGCGGCGGGUGGAUAUUCGGACGGCCGGUGGCCCGCCGAGGCACGGAGGGGACGGCCUGGUGGAGGCCAUCAGAUUUGCAAAGGCAAGAACCCAAGUCUUUUGUCUGUACUCCAGUAUUCUUUCUCACCUCUAGAAUAGAAUUGAUUUGACGCAUGUAUCAAGCCUCUGCAUCAGAUCUAAUCGAUUGGAUUAGUAUAAUUUAUAAUACGUAGUUGUUUUCUGAGGUUAACGGGUUUAAUUAGGGAUUCAAAGUAGGGGGGGGGGUUCCCCGUAAUUUUAUUCCUCAUUCUUGAACAGCUGCGGAUUAUUACUACAGUAUGUAUUACACGGAUUAUAAAUUCUUAAUUAGAGUGUAUGGGGCUAUGUUCACAGCUUACCCGUUGCAUAACUACAAGUUGCAUUGAGGUACUAACAGCAACCUGAAACUUGUCACCCUCUUUGCUUUGCUACCCAUGAUAGAAAUUCUUUAGUUUCGUAAUUAAUGGCUCAUGUUAUCAUUCUAGCAAACAAUCAAUCAGAGCAGAAACAUAUACAUAGACCACACAUACUGUAAUGAAAUCAUUAAGCGAAAUGUCGCCCUUAUUAGUUACAUGGAUGUACGGAACCAUAGCUGAUGAUGGUCCAGAGGGAAGCCACACAUACACAUCCAAAUCCAUGAGCAUUGGAACAGCCAUAUGCCCCACAUGCUCAAAAGCACACACACUUACAUGUGCUCAAGAUACGCUAGCAUGCAUCCAGAGACAUGCUGCGCGUAUCCAGAGAUCAGAAAAGCCACACACACAAGGGAAAUCCAAACCGCUAUGCUCAAGCAUGCACUCAGAUGGCACACAUGCAUGCAGGUAGGUUAAACAAACCCACAAGCACAUGAGGAGUGAACUGGAGAUGCACACACGACAGGCAGCACAACACACACAAGCACCAUACACAUUGAGGCUAGAAUUGGUGAUGAAUGGAUGGAGUUAAGAAGGAUGGAGAAGGGAAACCUUGGAACCUUUCCUGAGCCAGCUACUGCUGAUUCUUGAUCCUCGAGAAGCAGGAGGACAGUGAAAAUCCUUCCUCAUCAUCCUCUUCUGUCGUGCUUCUUUUUUCCUGGUCUUGUUGCUGUGGCUUCUUGUGAGUAAGAACAUGCUGCCCUUUAUGAGCUAUAAUGUCUUUCCUCACUUCACGAGGGACAAUUUCACCAUUGAGCUCAAGCUCCUGCAAUUUUGGAAGGUAGUUGAUGCCAGAGAGAGCCUUCAUCUCUUUAAAGGACCAAACGAUCUUCUCCAGAUUAGGAGCAGAUUUAUUGCUGAAGCCAAUACUGUUGAUUUUAGAGCAGUCAACAAUAAGAAGGUCAAGAUUUGGAAAUUCAUUUUCGUCCAAGGAAAUUUGGUUUUCAUCAUAAGAAUUUUCCGAGAGCUCUAGGCAGCGCAGGUUUGGUUUCAUGGGGAAACUUUUUAGAUCAUCUUUCUUUAGGUGGGUGUCGCGGAGAGUCACCUUGGUAAUUCGAUCUGCUUCGUGGAAUGAGGAAAGGAGAAAUUUGCCACCUAUCAACUCGAUCUCCUUCAGUUUUGAAAGGUUUCUGACCCCAGUAAGAUUGGAGUUUCCAUUUGUCAAGGACAAGACGAUUUUCUCAAGCUUAGGAGCUGCUCCUUUUUUAAAGAUGAUAUUGGUAAUUUUGUCAUCCUCGACAUGAAAAUACUUGAGAUGUUCGAACUCUUUCUCCUCGAAUAUGAAUCUGCUCUGAGUUUUUUGCUCGGGAGCUUUGUUCUGAGUGUUCUUCUCCGUAGCUGUAUUCUGAGUGUUCUGCUCCAUAGCUCCACUCUCAGCACUUUGCUCAGGAGCUCCAUCCUGAGUGUUCUGCUCUAUGGCUCUGCUUUGAGUGUUUUGCUGGGGGGCUUCAUUCUGAAUGUUCUGCUCCACAGCUCUGCUUUGAGUGUUCUGCUCCACAGCUCUGCUUUGACUGUUUUGCUGGGGGGCUUCGUUUUGAGUGUUUUGCUCCACAGCUCCAUUCUGAGUGUUCUGCUCCACCACUUUGUUUUGAGUGUUUUGCAAGGGAGUUUUGUUCUGAGUCUUUUGCUCAGGUGCUCCACUCUGAUUGUUUUGUUUGGGAACUCCACUGUCAGUGUUUUCAUUAUGAGUUGCUCCAUCAUGAGAAAAUGAAAGAAGGAAUUUGUUGCGUGUUAACUCAAGGUCCUUCAAUUUUUUAAGCCUGCCGAUCCCACAAAGAGACCUUAUGUUGGUAAAGGACAAUACUAUCUUCUCAAGCUCAGGAGCUGCUUCAUCUUCAAACUUGAUAUCAGUCUCGGUCAUGCUUUUUUCAAUGUUGGGUAUGUUUGUUCCCUCAACAAUAAAGUACUUGAGGUGCAUGAAAUCAUUCUCUUUGAAGGUAAGCUCUUUCCCGCUGUAUGCAUUGUGUCGGAGCCUGACACAAUGUAAUUUGGGAAGCUCUGCAAGGCUUGUCAGAUUCUCUUCUUUCAACAAGGUGCGACUCAGAGUUACCUUGGCAAGUUCAUCGCCACCUGUGGCCAACAAUGACAGAAGCUUCACCCUUUGUGUGGAUCCGUUGAUGCUUAGGCUCUCAAGAAGUUUGGGAGGCUGUAUCAAGCGAUUGUAAAUAUCUUUCUGCAAGAACUUCUUAUUGUCUGGGUUGGCACCUUGACUUGUGGUUUCGGGUAUAGUGAUUGAAAGAGACUGGAGGCAAUCAUUAAGGUCACCGAUUGCUCGAAGAAAAUUCCUGAGGUGAUCUUCAUUAUCAUCGAUAACCACACCGAGCUUCCUGAGCUGCCAUAGCUUUCUAAUGUCUUUUAACUCGCGUCCUUUCCUUGAAGCCUUGACUUUUGAUAGUACCUCCAUGUUUUCCAUUUUCUCAAUCUUGUGAGGGAUCCGGACAUAGGAGAAUGACUUGUCAUCCCUAACAAGCUUGUCAUCACUGCUAGCUCUGGGAUCAACAUGACCAGCAAGCAGGCGCCUUAGCUUUAGGAGCACAAUAUCUCUUGUAGCGCACUCAUUCACCUUGGUUUUCCGGAUGUCCAAUACUUCAAGCUCAUGGAGGUUGUUGAUUUCAGUGGGCAGAUAGGUAAUGUUUGUUCCCCUUAGACUCAAAUACUUGACAAGAAAUAUCCUGCUGCAAAUGUCCUUGAGGUAGCGGCGAUUCUUGUCCAAGCAAUGGCAACCUUCUAAAUCUAGCAGCUUCAGCGAUGGUAGUUGAGGUGAAUAUGUAGGUAGCUUCUUCACAAACUUGUCGAUGCUAUCAGAGGCUCGCAGUCGAAGACCACUGAAGAUGGAGAAGUGGUGAGCCCAGAGGUGUGAUAGCCGUGCGUCCAGAAUGUGUUGUUUCUUGGCAGCCUUGGUUAUAAAUCCAUGGAUUAGAUCACCUAGCACACAACUCUUGACCCUCCCUGCAACACCAAUAUCGCCAGGCCAAAGAAGCCACCGGUCGAUGAGAGCAUCAAAACAUCUCUCAGCAUGACGAACUGCAGCUGGCCAAUCUUCCUUGGUUAUCAACCCUUCUGUAAGCCAUCGCCCUAUCAAGAUUGAUCUACUGAUUUUGUGACCUUGAGGGAAGAUAGCUAGGUAUAACAAACAAGUCUUAUGUUCUCGAGGUAGAUCUCUAUAAGAGAACUUGAAUAUCUUUUUAGCAUUGGUGGCCAAUGAUUUCUUCGGAUGCUGCAGGGUGUCAAGCAACAUUUUCAGCUCCUCUUUGCUCCUAUUAGGAUUUGCAUACAGAGCAUGGGCAAACAUCUUCAUGCAAAAUUCGUGCGGAUCGCACUUAUCCAGGAUGGCACGGAGAAUCUUGGAAUUGUUGCUGCCAUCUUCAUUUUCUGCAUGGGCCUGCUGCAGGCUUGUAAGUUGGAUCACAAUAUUAUGGUAGAGACCAACUAGAGAAUAGAUUAUAGGCUCCCCCUGCGGAUAGCAAUACUGUUCGGCCUUCUCGUUUUUGGAGGUGAUGAUUAUCACUGCGACCGAACUGCCAGCAGUGGCAAGAUCCCCCAACAGCCCCAAAGUUUUCCUGGUCUCCUCCCAGUACCGUGAUACGUAGUCUUUUUCAUCUUGGAGGAUAAUCAGGGUCUUUUUACCUUCUAGAUGCUUCUUAAUCUCGUCCACUAUCCCUUUGAUCAUCAGCUGCCUCCUAAUCGGCCAUUCUAUCCUGGGGAGGCUCUCCUUUGCUUCUUUGACAGCAGCAGCAAUGGCUCUAUUUUUUAUCCCACUUUUACCACCUGGGGUAUCUGUACUUGCUUGGCUCUUGGCAGCAGCUCCCCCUAUCAUGUCUAGCGUAACCAUGUCGACUGUCCCUUUGAUCACCAGCCGUGUCUUCUUGUUCUCCGAUGGGAUCUUGUCGACAGGUUGACCCUCCUUGGUUUGAUCUUUGGCAUUGUUCUCCGAUGGGAUCUUGUCGACAGGUUGACCCUCCUUGGUUUGAUCUUUGGCAUCACCUUUGGCCUGUUGCACGCCGCAACCGCAGGGCCUGGCAGCAGUUGGGGCUCGGGAGGCAGCUCCCGUAUAACUUCUAGUGUAAUCUUGUGGUUGUGGGUGACUUCUUUGGGGAGCAGAUCAGUGGGGGUUCCGGUUGCAGAAGUAGCAGAAUCACCUGCUUCUUCUGGGAGCUUCCUGCCACUGGCUAGGUUAGGGUACACCUUCUGUAGUAUGUCUUCAUAUUGUGUAACAUGGAGACAAAUUGGGGGCUUCUUAGGCUCCUUCCCUGCAGCUGCAGAAACAGCUUCCAUAUGCCAUUUGAGCAUCUCGGCGGUCUCAUUUACAAUCUUUCCCAACGAUGACAAUGGCUCUUGCUCCUGACGUGAGUGAGGCCCCUCUGUGUUGAGCCUCAGAGCAUGGAGGAGUACACCUAAGGGUUCCUCGGAGGGGAUAGAGCUCUUGCUUCCUUCAUCAGCUCUAUUAUUGCUCCCCUCGGCUUCUACUAUCUUCUUCUCGACUUCUCCAAUCUUGGUCCCGACUUCCUUAAUCUUAUCGUGGACGUUUAUUCCAUCGGCCUUUUCCCACAUGGUAUUGAAUACAUGCCUUCUGUGAUCGUAAUGCGAUCGAUGGUCUCCCUCGCAUUCAUGCAGGAUGUAGGAGAGGAUCUCCCUGGUUAGCAGUGGGAGAUCCCACGAUUGCUGCACAUUCGGCAGGUCGAUCCAGAUUGAUUUCUGGAAACAACGAGCCUGCGCCAAAUCCUGAGCUUCACGUGCAAUGGCCCUGGCGCGUGCUGCAUCCGGCACGACUAUGGAGAUGGAUGGAAUCGACCCCUCCAUUUUUGUGUUGGCUUGCAGCUCGAGCCACUCGGCUAGCUUCCUGGUGCAGUAGUCCUCCAGAGUGCAAGGCUCUAGAGCUCUUCGACGGGCAUCAGAGCUGUAGGCUGCCACUGUCAUAACUUGAUUAUGAACGUCGUCAUCGUCGUCGCCGCCUCCUCCUUCUCCUUCCUUGUAUUCUCUGCCAGCAAGCAUAUCAGCACCUUCCGGUGACUUGCGCGGGAGCUCCACGCCGUACCUCACCCGCCGGUUGCCGACGUCGCGAGCCCGCUCCUUGAGCUCGCGCAGCCGGACGGCGGCAGCGUGCUGGGCGAGCAUCUCCUGCACCAGCCAGUAAGCCCACCAGGCGUAGCGCCGGAGGCCGCUCCGGGCGCGGUGGAUCGCCGGGUCGCCGCGCUGCAGGUAGCGGUCGAUGCAGUUGCUGCAGUCGUGGGCGAGGUCCCGGACCUGCUUCAUCCACGUGCGCACCUGCUCGUCGUGCUCGCCGCCGGGCGGCGUCGUCCUGGCCAGGUGCUCCAGGAAGCUGUUCAUGCUCUCCAUCUCCUCCUUGAUGAACUCCACGUCGUGCCCGACGCGCCGCAGCAGCAGGGCCUCGUUCCGGAGGACGCCCAGCAGGGAGCUCACGGCGCCGGCCGCGAGCUCGGCCAUGGCACCAGCGGCUGCUCUGGUGCCGGCCGGUAGCAGCUACCUCGCUAGCCUUAGUUCAGUUUAGCUUGGCUAUAAUUGAACUUGGACCAACGAUGACGAACGAGCUUGGAGCUAGGAGGCUGGCCAAUGGUGCAUUGGAUUAUGCAUGCAUUUGCGUAGGUGCGUGGUUGGGUUUGGUAGGUUUCUUCUCCUCAACACCGGUUCUGCGGUGCAAACUAGGUAUGCAGCUCCAAUCCAUUUCUUGCAGAAAUUAAUGGUUUGGCCUAGCUUCCAUGCCUACCAAGCUAGUUCCAUUGAGGAUUCUUCCAGGUGAGGCAAAGCAUGCAUGGUGCUCUUCCAUUGAGUAUUCUUUGAGUCGUUCUUUAGUUCACUACCAGGGCCCAAUGAAUCCCUUUAUCCUUUACUUGAUUUUCUUGUCGAGCUGUUCCAGCAUCUAGUAUUCUACACAUUGUCUGACAAAACAGCACGCUGAAGCGCAAGGCACGGAAUGAACAAAAGGUGAGUAAAUCAUCCAAUUCCCUUUUUAAAUUAAAGAACAAACAAUUACAUGCACUACACACAAGUAAUCACCUCUAUGCCUCAGGUCAAUUAAUAUCCUCUUUACCUUUAUUCUCUGAUCUAGUAGUAUGGCACAUCCCUCAACUCUAUCCUUACCAUCAGGAAAUGGAUAGAGCUCAAUCAAUCAACUUUCGCCAUUAAAAUCAACAGACAAAUUCAAAGGAGCUAUGCUAAUCAGAAUAUGCCUUUGUCUUGCAUGCAAAGAUAACAAGGCACUGUCAGGCUUUGAUUUCCCUCUCUUUAUAUUACCUUUAUUUAUUCCUUCCCCAUCUUGAGGCUGUGCAUCUAAUCCAUGAGGGCAUGGAUGCAUGAUGGAAAGAAAUUGGACCACAACAGCCAAAAAACUGCUACUCUGUCUGUUGAAUGUAUUAAGAUGCGGUUUAACUUGCCAUGGUGUUGAACAUCAAAAUUUAAUCACCAAUUUCCUAAAUAAUAUAUUAUUAUCUACUGGCCAGUAUCGAGGCUGAGAAGGAGCCGUGGGAUCUAAAGUAUCAAUAAUCGAUAGCUUCAUCUAUCUUCUGUCAUCAGCCAGCUCAAGUUUCCAACACAUUAAUAGGUUUUUCAUCACUUGUAGACAAAUUUGAACUUUUAUCCUUCCAACCCUCCCUUUGACAUGAGAAACUUGUUUUUCUUUCUCUUAGCCUCUAUACAGAUUCUUUUGAUCAAAACAAUCUUUAUCAUGUAAUUGUAUUUUUGGCAUUAUAUUGGUUGUUUUGAAGCUGCAAACUCUUAUUGAGGUGUGGCCCAAAAUGUGUUGGUGGCGGUAUCCAUAGAUCAUCAUACCAUCCCCUUGAUGAGUUGCUGCUGCAUGGAAUUCUCCCCAUCGCUGACCUCUACCUUUUCAAACUCGUGUCUCACAAAUAACCUUGAUUGCUUAAUUUUAUUUGGAUGCAGAUUAACACUCUUUGCAUUCUUCUCUUUUUAAUAUGAAUCCAGAACAAAACUGAAAGCACGCUUAUCACGGCCUUUGACUUCAGCAGUGUUGCAUACAUCAACCGUUGAUAAUUUGAUUUACACCACUUUGACCUGACUUUAGCAUGCCUCCCAGCGAAUGGCGUCCUCACUGUAAUUUUGACAAGUCACCACCUUGCAGAGUAUUUUCAAUUUGUGCUUGAUAAACAAUGUACUUUUAUCCUAACUUGAAGUCUUCAAUCUGUAUUCACCAAUAAUCAUUUUUUGCCUUCUGUUGGAUCAACCAAUGAUGACUGAACUAAUAAUUUUUUUUUUCUAUUCGGACCAAUUGUAUUUAUUGAGAACAAUUGAUCAUUCACUUGUAUUUCGGGGAAAUCCCGGCCAAUUGUCCUUUAUUAAUGCCUGAUUGUAUUAUUAUACAAAUCAUAUUGCAAUUAAUUAUUAGGUAAAGUACUUGUAAAUCUUUCCUUAUCAAAUAUGUUGGAGAACCAUGUCAAUUUAUAUUGAGUUUGUUGUAUGAUGGCACUUUAAUCUCUUCUCCUUUUCUCAAGAAUCUACACCCCAACAAAUUGAUGAUCCUUGCCAAUCAACCAUUGCUCGGCUAUAUGCUAUUGUUCAUGAUACUCAUCAAUCUUUUUAGCGCGAUAUUCGUUGGGUGAAAAUAUAAACCCCUUUGGCUUCCAAUAAACUAAGCGUAGUUGUCUUGCUCCAUUGGUGUGCUUUGGUACAACGAAGCUUGUUUCUUUUUAUAAGAUAGGUUCGGAACAAUUAUUGUUUUGCUUGAUUAAUUUCAUAGCUGAACUAUUAUUCGUAUCUGAACAGUGUUCCAAAUAGCGGCACUGUAUUGGUUUUCGCCAACUGCCGCUAUGACUGUGUUGUACUAAAUAGCGGGCUAUUGUGGCACUAUAGCGAGCUAUAGCAGAGAUGUAGCGGCUAAACAGAGCUCUCCGUGAAAUGUUGUAGCCCGCUAUUUAGAACAUUGUUUCUGAAUAAAUCAUUUUAUCUUUGCAAAUCCUGUAUAUCAAUUGGUAAUGUUUCCUUUCUUUCUCAACACUAACCAAUAGGUUCUCAGCAAUCGACUUUUGGUCUUGUGCAAGUGCCGGUUCUCAGCAACGUGAGUCCCUAGCUUUUUCAUCCCUAGAGUAAAGUUGGAUUAUUUGGCACCAAAAAAAAGGGAGGAUUGAAUCAAGCCUUCCAUUUUCAAAAAAAAUAAAAAAUAUAAAAAAAUCAAGCAUCCCAAUUUGGAUACGGAGAUUGUUCAUCUUUCGUAGAGAGGAAUAGAGGCUUGAUGGCGACUCAGUGACCGUCCGAUUGAGUGGACGCAUGGGAUCUUCCGGUUCUCGCCAGAGGAAUAUCCAAUACGCAGAGCAUAGCCCUUUGGCAUCCUGCGGUGAUGCGCUGCCACAGGUUGCCGAAAAUGCCCUUUGCCUAAAAUGAAAGGAGAGGGAGAAAGAGAAACUAUGAACAAGGGGGCAAUUCUGUCCAACCGUCCUUUAAAUCCAUCUUCCCAAUUUUAUUAGGCGCCCACGGCAACCACCGCCUCCGUCGAUCGCAGAAUGAGGGCGAAGCGGGUGGCGUCGGUGGCGGGGACGGCGGCGCUGGUGUACGUCGCGCUCUCGGAGCGUCUCUCCUCGGCGUCCGGCGGCGACGCGGCCGAGGCGCUGAGGCGGCAGCGGUGGUGGGAGGAGGAUGAGGCCAAGAAGGGGGAGGAGAGGUGGCCGGAGCGCGCGCCGGCGAGCUGGAGGGAGGCGGCGGCGGUGACGGCGAGGACGGCGGGGCUCGCGUACGCGGAGACGCUCGGCAAGUGGACGCUCGGGGACAUCGCCUUCGGGAUCAACCGCUACAUGCGCAUCCAGGUGAUUGCAGUAUCUUUCUUGCUCGGACUGCAGAGCUCCGGCUCUGCUUACUUAUCAUGAACAUUGAACAAGAAAAAAAAAUGAUCUUGGGUGUAAAAGGUGCUUAAUUUUCCGAUAGAAAAAGGAGCAAUUGGAUUUAAAAAAAAGCUAUCAUUUUGGCCUAGUUUCUGGAUUUAGUAGUACGCAAGUUUUGAUCUUUGUUUACCCUGCUGCAAUUUCUCUCUCUUUCUCUGGAUUUAGCGCUGAGGCUAUUAAAGUUUGAUCAAUUUGUGAGAAUUUUGUGGGAUUCGAUUGUUUGCAGCCUUGAAAUGUCAUUGUACUUUAUCAGGAAUAAUUUUUAUUUUCCUCUAUACUUUACAUUCAAACUAUAAAGUUGGCUUUCCGAUUUCUGAUAAGGUGAGGGAUUGUGCUCCUCAUCUCUGAGAUUCAACGAUACAUGAUGAAUUAAUGUGACUUGAUUAAUGUAUAACCCUAAAAAGUGUUAAGGGUGAAUGGCAGCGAUGAACUCAUGCAAAAAAAGGGCAAAAAAACACUGCUGCAAGAACGUCUAGCUUCUGUUUUCAGUUGCUCCGGAGGAUGCCAAGUAGAACAUGUUCUGUUAGUUAACAUAUUGCAUUGACAACUCUGAAGAAUUCAGGAUAGUUAGGAUUUCUGACAAAACAUCCUCUCUAGCUUUGCUUCUCACUUCAAUUUCUCCUACUCUAGGUUAUGGUGCCUUUAUAUGAACUUUCAAAUCUAACACAAAUCUUUCCAUUUUUUCCCGUUUUAUUCAGUUUUGCUAUCUGAUUGUCCGUCCAUCAGUAUUUAUAUAGGAAAAAAACUAACCAGUUUGUUAUAUAUUGGGUGCAAUGUAAAGAUUCAAUGCUAAUCCGGUUGGUUUGUUAGCGAAAAGUCGUGAGACACCUGCUUUGGCUAACAUUCUUUGAUGCAUCAUACUGAAUAGCAUUUUCUCUCAUUAAUGCUUUUUCAGGGCAAUCUGCAGCAUGAGUACACUGGCACCAAUUGCAUACCCCUGGAAGGUCCUGGAGUAAGGCAGGAGCUGAUUGGACUUCUCAGAUACCUCAGGCUCUGCUUGUUCUUCACAAAGAAGCCAUAUGAAGUGUUUCUAGAGUUAGGUGGUUAUGGGCAGAGUGAUAUUCUCAUAAGGAAGACGAAGUCAAAGGUUUGCAUUACCCUGAGCCAAUUUAUGUGUUCUAGCAUAGAUUGCAAGUGAAGAUACCUUAAAAGAACACUGAUUCUAUUCAGCUUAUGAAGCCGGCAUUCACAGUUGUCCGUGAUGAAAGUACCAAAUGCUUCCUCCUUUUCAUUCGGGGCGCGACCAGCACUAAGGAUCGGCUGACAGCAGCAACUGCUGCAGAGGUUCCAUUCCAGCAUUCAGUGUUACAUGAAGGAUGUAAAUCCAAGUUGGUGGCUGGACAUGCGCAUUGUGGAAUGGUUGCAGCGGCUCGUUGGAUCGCAGAUCAGGCCAUCCCGUGCCUCAGCAAAGCAGUGGAGCAAUUCCCAGAGUACAGAAUUAAGGUAACUUGCCAAAUUUUUUUGACCUUGUUCAAGGGUAUAUCCCAUUUUUCUUAUGCAAGGAAGUAAAUAAGUACAUUGCAAAAUACAUGCACAUAUUAUCAUGAUAAUACUAGCUAACUGCGAUUCUUGAUGAAUUUUAGUUUAAAAAAUAAUCCUGUACGUGCUGAACCUAGUAUGCGUGAUAAUUUGUCAGCUUGUCCUCUUAACUAAUCAAUACCGUGAAAUUUUUAAUAGAAAAGUAACAUAUAUAUGAAAGUAAUGCUUUACUAGUUCGUUGCACCCAAUUUUUUUUUCUGGCUAACAGAAUUAUACCAUUUUAAUUUCAUAUUAGAUCAUUGGGCAUUCAAUGGGAGCUGGUAUUGCUGCAAUUCUAACAUACAUGCUACGUGAGGACAAUAAGUUAUCUUCAUCCUCAUGUAUUGCCUUUGGACCAGGUAAGGCAUUCAAGCAGAAACUAAAAAUUAGACUAUUGAGCACACAAAAAGCAAGGGAAAAAAAAUCACAUUAUGUUAAUUUACUAAGAAUGGCAAACUUCACUGCAGUGGAUUGUUGUUAACACUUCAGACCAUAUAAUUUCCUAAUAUUAAAGUGCAAAAAGUAGUCUGAAAUAGAACUAAUAGAACCCAAUAGUACUUUUUUUAUUCGAUAGGAAAAACCAUAAAUUUCCAUGACAAAGCACAAAAGCUAUUAUAUUCCCAUUUUUCUGGUAUCUGGUUGCAUGAUGUGACAUAUAAAUACCUGUCUUGAGAUGUCUAAUAUACUGACAGUUUGAAGGGCUGCUGUCCAGCUGCUUGCAUGACCUGGGAUUUGGCUGAGUCGGGCAACGACUUCAUUACCACUGUUGUCAACAGAAAUGACCUGGUGCCAUCUUUGGGUAGAGCUUCAGCCGCCAUUAUUCGCACAGAGGUAUCUUACGGCUACUGAAUUUCAAGUACUGUCUUAAACUACAAAGCACAUGUUUUCUGCUUAGUAAACUCAUAAUUUUUUGCAAUUAUCAUAAAAUCUUCUGCAGGUUAUGGCAUCGUCACAGGCUCCAGACCUUCGAGAAAAUAUCCAGCAAGCAAGAAUCUUGGGAUUUGUAAAUAGUUCCGUGAAUCUCAUGCGAUCCCACAUUCCCUUCUUACACAAUCCAGGUUCCAAGGUUGCUGAUGCCAAUGUGCUCUUAUCUGGCACUCCUGUGGUAAACACCGUGUUCUUUGAAAGAAAUCAUUGUAUCACACUGAUGCAGAAAUGAUUGUAUCCUUCUUUGCUUUAAUUUGUAGUGUGCUGACUCAAUUCCUAAUGACAUCCCAGGAUGAGUUGAAACUUUCAGCAGAUGUACAUGCCGCUGUGCAGAAGCACUCUGCACUAUCCUGCUGGUCAUCUGUUGCUGCAAAUAGGCAAACUCUGGAGUCUUUGAUGAACCCCACUCAGGCCAUGAGCAUUCCAGCACUGAUGUCCAUCUAUGCAGGAACUGACCAAAACACAAGAGAAUCAGCGUCAUGCUCUCAUGAAGAACUCAUCCGUCUGAGAUCAGAUGCUGAGCAGACUAACCAGGAGGAGAAAGCAGCAGGUCAAGAACACAUGAAGCAGAUUCUGAAAUCAUUGCGAUCAUCACCAAUCCCCUCUCCUCGUCACCAGCUGUACCCUCCUGGAAGAAUCAUGCACAUGGUUGUGUUGCCAUGUCCAGAAGAGCAAGGCACCGGCAAGCAUCAUGACCAGGACGAGGUGGUUGCCAUCUAUCAGACGCCUCGCAGCAUGUACGGCAAGAUCCGGCUGGCCAGAUCCAUGAUAAGAGACCAUUACAUGCCGAGGUACAUUGAGACAAUGGAGAUGCUGAUUGACAAGCUUGCAGAGGACGAUGACGAUGACACAGAUGACCAGUUGGGCUAACUUGACCAAAAAACCAAGAAGAUUGAUAGGCAGCAUUGUUAGUGUAGGUCACUAGAAAUGGUUUAUGACUAUGGGUUGAGAGUAGAACCCAAGUUAGUGGCAUAGUGUAGUGGUAGCAUGAACAAAGAUCUGAUGUUAUUUCUGGAUGUAUAUGUACUGCAUGAUCUAUAUUGAGUUAGGUUAACCAUGGGAACGAUACAGAUUUGCCUGAAUGCUUGGGUAAUGUUUUAGAAAUGAUUCGGUAAAGAAGGAUUAUGGAACUUGGGAAUGCUUUGGCCAUGUCCCUUGUGAAACUGCAAAUGAUGCCCCUUUUGCAACAGGUAGUAUGAUCGUGCUAAAUUUAUGUCUCUUGGCAAUCAAACCAACACCUGAAUCCUUUGAAAGGUAGGGAAUCACCUGCUAGCUGCAGAGCUGAAGACUCAGCUCUACGGCACUUUUGGAUUGCAAAAAUGACAAAUAAGUUCAGUUUUGCUUUCAUAAGCUGCCAAUUGAUGAACAAGUUUGGCAAACUUGUCCAGAUAUUCAGACACUCUGAUUUAUGUGAAACAAAAUUGCUAAGUUCAUCCUGGCCAAACCUACCUAUCCAACACUAACCUGCAAAAAUCAGACCAGGAAAAAGUUUUGAUGUGCUUUUCCACCGACUGCAACCAACAGGCAGUUAGAGCAGAAAAGUGCAUCAAAGCUACUUCAAUCCACAUACUAGACUCAACAUUGUAAAACUCAAAGUAGUCCUCUGACCUACAGAUGCAGUCGUGCACAACCUAGGAUUUUCACCAUAAAAUUGAGGGAUCAGUUUAGGCAUUUUACUACUCCCAUCAGAAUAAGCAGGAGUGCGGGACUAGUAGAUCGUUUCUGAUGAACACCAACAACAGCAUUACGACCUAGACGUUCCAAUUGGGAGUGAGAAUUUGAACCAGAAAACUUGGGAUCUGGAAAAUUGAGCAUACCCUUCAUAGGGAUAUGGAUUUGGGGAAUAUUUGACCCAAAUCCAUGAUCCCAGUUCCAGUGAACGAAAUCUACGCGAUGCCCAUGAGAGCCAUCAGCUGGUGGUUGAGAACGAAAUGCAGACUUGUCUGAAUGCUUGGGCAACCUUUUGGAAAUGAGUCAGCAAAAAAAGAUUUCCUGAACUUGGGAAUGCUUUUAUUAUGUCCCUGAUGUGCGUUACUGCAAAACAUUAGAACAGGAAUGAUCAUGCUAAUUGCUAAAUUAUGUCUCUUGACUACCAAACUAGCAUGUGGAUCCAUCGAAAGCUAGUAAAUCACCUGCUAUUUGCAAAAGCUGAAGAGCAUCUUGUGAUCCUCCUCCGCACAGGAUCAGCCACCGGACGGUGAACGGAGCGCCGACUACACACGCCGGCGACGCAAUGCAUCCCGGCAGCCGGGGAAGGGUGAUCAGCACGUACCCAUGUGCUACGUCCCCAGCGACCGCCGCCAGUGCCAUGCCCAACCCCCGCGGACGCGGCGAACGGAGCGCGGCUGUGGGGGCGGAUGGGUGCUAGCGGAAGAUUGGUGGGUAGGAUGCGGCGCUUCCCUUCGAGUCUUCGACCCUUCCGGCGGAAAGCACGGCGGCGGCCGGCCGGGAAGAGAAGCCGAUCCGAACCAGGGGUAUUUAUGCAAAUAAUCGGAUCGCGAUUAUUAAUCGCGAUCCAAAUCAGGGGGCACUUUGUAAAAUACCGGGGUCUAUUUGAAAAUAAUCGGAUCGCGAUUAAUAACCGCGAUCAAAUCCAGGGGGCUCUCUGAAAAAUAUCUGUGCCGGCAGACAUGGCCGCCGCCGGCGUCGAUCGUGCUGCCGCCGCUUGCCGGCGACCUCUGGAAAUACCUCCAUGGUGCUUCUCGCGCUCCCCUCCAUCGAUUUUCUCCGGAUGGGCCCCUCGCGCCGACGCCGCCUCUGCUCAAGCCACAUUACGGAUACCGGAUCGAGCUCGCCGCCGCUGGCCGCCGGAUGGACACGAGCCCCUCCGACACUGCCACCCGAGCAGCCCAGCGUCCAUGACCGGCGCCUCGUCGUCCUCCCCGCGCAUGGACCGGUUCAUCCCGGAGAGGGAAACAGAAAUGAAAUCACGCACGGCGCCGACAGGCCCAGCCACCGGACGACAGAGAAAACACAGAGAAAACUCUGAAUCCAAGUUUGAGCCAGAAAUGCCAACUACAGAGAAAACUUUCAACAUGGACAGCCAUCAACUCAUCAUAAUUCAUAACGUCGAAACUCUGAAAGUUGGCACUUUGCAUUGCCAGAAAUGCCAGUUACAGAGAUUUUGUCAGCAUGGACAGUACAUGAUAACGUCAAAAAAAAAUUCUGAAAGUGUUGUUACUUGCUACAUGGUCAUCUUCUUCCUCUGAUCCCAAGCCUGAAGGAUGAUUGUCAGUACGAUAUGGUAAGCUGCAAACAAAACGAUAAAACAACAUGUUAAGUUGCUGAUUGGUCCACAAAUGCCAAAAGAAGGUUUUACUUGUCUGAAAUUUUAGGAGUAUCUAGAAAGUGCCCAGAGUCCUGCAUCAUUGACAGGAACAUCAGCACUUCAGGUCCAGUUCAAUCAGGCUGGUGCAACCAAAUGCGAUGGACGUGAUCCUGAUGAUGCCUGUGAUGCGUAACAGGCACCUCAUCUCAAGGUGUGUGAGUUCUUCCAAAGCACUUAGGUGCUUCAAACCAGCAUUGGCAAUUUGGGUGCCCUUGCCGGAGGUAACAGCCUUCCGAAGAGCUCUGCAGCAAUACGGAUCGACGGUCGCGUGCGCAACGAUGCCACGCGUGCACCGUCGCAUCGUACGGUCGCCGGGGCAUACACGGUCGACCAUCAAGUACAAGAGCUCCUGGGCUUGCGGCGGCGGCGCCAGCAGGACCAGAGCCGCCGCCGACUUGGGUGCCAUGGAUACGCUAGGCUCUAGCUGCUUCGUUAACUUGUUCUGUGUGUAGCUUAAUGCUGGUGGUAGAGUAGUGAUUGUUGCUUGGGUAGAUGCUUCAAUAUCAUGGCCUUUUGUAGGCGCCGUGCUCAUUUCAUUAGCGGUUAGUGAUUCCCUCGUUCCAAGCGUGUUCCCUUUUUUUAGCUACUUCUCCUUGGUUGACGCAUAUGCAAUGACAAUCUCGUCGUGCGAUCGACACCCAUCCAUGAGGUUGGGGGCACAUCGAUGGAUCGAUCAUGUCCGGCACUCCAAGCAUGCAAUUGCCUGAUCCAUAGACGCGCUUAGGCCAAUCAGCUGUCACCCAGGAUCUCAAAGGAACUCUACUCACAUGCAAACUGUGUCCAGCAUUUAUUUUUCAGAUAAACCUUUGACUGUCAAUGAGUGAAACUAAGCCCUGAGAAGUCACUCUGGAACAGAUGAUGAGGUUGAAAAUGGAAUAAGCACAAAAGUAUCAAAGAAAACCUAGCAACAUAUCAUACAAAGUGAAUCUGCACAAAAUCUCCAUCCUUGGAAGGUGUACCUGCAGCAGGUUGCCUGCGUUUAGCAUCUGUAGGCCAUCAUCGUCUAUAAGCAAGCUGCCAACCAUUGCUAUGUAAUCUUAACUUCUCAAGAGUGGAGAGUGAUCUUAGGCAUUCAUUGCUCACCUUCGAAAAUAGAGACAAGAAAUUUGAGCAUUCUUGGAUUUUUCAUAGUAUAAGAAACAAUCAGAACCAUCGAGCCCCAUUAGGUAUCCAAUAUUGUAAACCAGACAGAAGGAAAACACAUGUAAUUUGUUCAAAUGGGCAAGUGAACUUUAGUCUAUGACGCAGGACCAAAUUUUAUGAAUAGAACCUAAGUAAAUUCAAUGAACUUCUGCUGAAUUUCAAUUCUCUAACGUCUGAAGUCAAAAUACAUGGUAAACACUGAGCAGGUAACAUGAAGAUGCUAAGCGUUUCAGAUUUCAGAAAUUCUAAUCACAAUGUCUCAAGGCAAGCUAUAACGUUCUUUUGGUUACACCAUGUUCAAUUUCUAGCAAGCAUCCAAUAUUUAAUCAAACAUUAUAACAGCCAGUAAAUUCAUAAAUGCUGAAUCUUUCCAGCUCAUCUGAUUCAGCACGCAAAAAUAGCAUCAAACUUUGGCAUGGGAACUAAACUCUAACAAGAGUCAUAAUCUCUGAAAGAAACAGCAUCCUACUAACAUUGCGAAUUUGGCACUCAUUCUAGUCGGUCCGCACAUGAUUGAACACUGUGAAUUCUUGAGAGAGAGGUCAAGCCACAAGCAAUUUCGAUUCAAUCCAUCAAAGACUUCCAAGAAAUUUGAAAAUUUUCGUACUCCUACACAAUUUUUUGUUGUUGUCCCUGGUGUACGGAACUGCAAAUGACUCCCCUUUUGCAACAGGUAGAGUAUGCUCGUGACAAAAUUUAUGUCUCUUCACAAUCAAACCAGCACCUGGAUUGAAUCCUUCAAAAGGUAGGAGAACUUUGAAGCUGAGGAAAGCUAGGAAAUCACCUGCUAGUUGCAAAGCUGAAGAUUCAGUGCUGCGGCAUCUUUUUGUGACCGCAAAAGUCCUUAGCGCAGGGUCAGCCGCCGGAAAAGGAACGGGGCGCUGCGCCGACCGCACAAGCCGGCGACGAAACGCGUCGCGGCGCCCGGAAUGAUGACUGGCCGCAGAGACCGCCGACAGUGCCAGCGUCAUCGCCUGCGCUGUCGCGGCCCGCCGGUGCGAGGGGAGAGCAAGGCCAAGCUGCGAACGGCGCGCAGCUGCGGGAGACGAUGCAGCGUUGCCCUUCCGUCGGCGUGGAGGACGGGGAGCACGGCGACGGCGGGCGGCGGACGGCCGGGGGGAGAAGCCUAUCCGAACCAGGGGCAUUUAUGCAAAAAAUCGGAUCGCGAUUAUUAAUCGCGAUCCAAUCGAGGGGGAUAAAUGUAUAUAUUCGGAUCGCCACUAUUAAUUGCGAUCCAAAUUAGGGGCCUAUUUGUAAAAUACAGGGGGUUAUUUGCAGGUAUUUGGAUCGCGGUUAUUAACCGCGAUCCAAAACAGGGGUCUCUUUGCAAAUAAUCUGUGCCGGCGGACAUGGCCGCCGCCAGCGUCGAUAGCGCUGCCGCUGCCCGCCGGCGACCUCCGGUAGCCCCGCCACCAUACUUCCCGCGCUCGCCUCCUUCGAAUUUCUCCGGAUCCUCUCGCGCCGACGGCCGCGCUGCGGAUAUCGGAUCGAGCUCGCCGCCGCCAUGUACAAUGCACGCCGGCGUCCAAGAAGGUGGCCGUCGAGGCGAUGCCGACCGUGGAUAUCGCCGGAGGCAACGGCGACGACGCGGCCAGCUGCCCGGUCUGCCUGGAGGACUACGCGCCCGGGAGAUGCUCUGCACUGCAUCGUGCCGUGGCUCGAGAUGUCACAGCUCCUGUCCUGCCCCGUCUGCCGAUUUCAGCUGCCGCCUGCCGGCCGACGACGACAAGGGCUCAUGCGGCGGCGGCGGCGGCUAUGUCAGCGUCGAUGCUGAGCACGAAGGCAAUGGCAAUGGCGGCGGGGAUGGCAGGGCAGGCUCCGCUGGCAAUGCCGAGCCAGAGCGCAUCGAUGUCGCGGAAGCCGAAGAGAGCGGCAGGCGGCAGGCGGCUGCCGGCGUCCACACAGUGGUUCAACAGCCUGUUCUCGCCGUCCGGCGGCAGCGGCGGCGGCUCGCAGCAUCAUUCAUCCAUCCCCUGCCGGCUUUCCCCUUCUCUCCCGGCACCGACAGGCUCAGCCACCGGAGGACCGGACGACGGUGAGCCCAGCGCCAACCACGCACGCUGGCCGGACGUGCACGCAGCAAUCGGUGGUGCAGUGAAGAGAUAAACAGAGACAUCUCAAGCUGUUCAGAAUCGACUGAAAAGAUUAUACUUUCACCUUUCUUUGCAAGGAAUUCAGUUGCAGAUGGACAAGUUUGGGCCAGAAAAUGCCAGUUACAGAGACAAGUUUCAACAUGGACAGUCAUCACAAUGUCGACAUUCUGAAAGUUUGCGCAUUGCAUUGCAUUGCAUUCUGAAAGUUUGCGCAUUGCAUGUCCAGCUACAUGGCCUUCUUCUCUUGGCGUAAAAAAAGAAAGCUGGCCACCGUUGCUGAUCAUCUUCUUCCUCUGAUCUUAAGGAUGACUGUCCACUCGAUUCGCCAGGCCAGUACAAGCUCAGCCCUUGUAGACGAGCCGCUUGUCGACCCACCGGAUGCGGCAUCCGCAAGCCUGCAGCAUCUGGAGCAGCUCUGGGGAGAGCACGGACUGCAGCCCGCCCAGCAGCUUCAGCUUCUUCAGCCUCCCGCAGGAGGCUCGCAGUGCCAUCUCGAACCCUUCGAUGGAGACCCAGGAGAGGUGGACCAUCUUCACGUCCUGGAGGCACCUCAGGGAGCCCAGCAGAUGGCACAGUCCCAGACCAGUGACUUGGCAGUAGGAUAUAGUAAGCUGCAAACAAACCGACCAACAAAAUAUUGAGUUGCUCAUUCAUAGACAAUGGAAAACAGAAGACAAAGCCAAAAGAAGGUUUAUGAGUUCUUACUUGUCUGAGAUUUUGGGAGUAUCUUGAAAGUGCCCAGAGCCCAGCAUCAUCCACAGAAUAGCAGCGCUUCAGGUCCAGUUCAACCAGGCUCGUGCAACCGAUGGCAAUGGAGGUGAUGCCGAUGCCUGUGAUGCGCACCAGGCAUCUCAUCUCAAGGUGUGUGAGCUCUUCCAGAGCGCUUAGGUGCUUCAAACCAGUAUCGGUGAUUUGGGUGCAGUAGCGUAGAUUUAGCAUCCUGAUCUUCUUGCAACCAUACGCUAGGGCCGCCAGACCUUCAUCAGUAAUAGCGCUGCAACUGUGAGGAAGAGAAAGAAGUGCACUUUGUGUUCAGUGAUCAAUGGUUAACCUAUAAUUAAUUACUAAACCAUAUAUACACAUCAAUUACCGGUACAGAUCAAGUUCCACAAGCUUUCCACAGUUUGAACCAAUAUAAACAAGGCCUUUAUCAGAAAUGCUUGAGCAGAGGCCAAGCUUCAAGAUUUGCAGUUCUGAGCAGUUUGCUAAAUGCCGCAGAGCUGAAAUGAAGGACAUAAAAAAAUGAAGCUUCAAAGCAACGAUGAAAUAUUCGAGAAAAACAAUUGAAUACACAGCUAUCUUUCAAUUACCCUCAUCAUCAAUGCGGCAAUCAGUGAGGUCAAUCUCCUUAAGAUGGGAGCAGAGUGUCCCGAUUCGCUCUAGUCCCUUCUCAUUUAUAAAAGGGCAGGAUUCCAACCGGAGGGCUUCAACCAUUGUACAGUUCUCGGCGAUUACAGCAAGGGCAUCAUUGGUAAGAAGAUGGCAGCAAGUAACGUCGAUAGUCCUUAGGUAGCUGCAGUUGACUACAAGUGAAGCUAUACCAUCAUCUGUAAUUCCAUUGCAUUUGCUGAGCCCAAUUUCAACCAGGUUUUUGCAGCUGUCACCGAUGGACUGUAGAUUUGAGGCAAAAAUUUCAAGGCCAUCAAGUCUUAAAACAGUCAAAGUCUCGCAUAUUGUUGAUAACUUGGAUAGAAAGCAAGUCUCUAUCUCCUGCAGGUGUAAAGCAGAAGGUGAACAACCACUGGCAGUGUGGAUUUGACUGCUAAAUGGCAUUCAUUUCCAUCGUGAGUUCUCAAAAGCGCAAAAAGAGCAAAGGAACUCUACUCACAUGCAAACUGUGUCCAGCAUUGAUUUUUUGGAUAAAUCUUUGACUGACUAUAAGUGAAGCUAAGCCUUCAGAAGUCACAUGGGGACACCUCGAUACAUCAAUACUCUGGAACAGAUGAGGUUGAAAAAUGCAGUAAGCACAAAGGUAUCAAAGAAAGUUCACAUCAUAGUAUACGAAGUGAAUCCAUACAAGAUCGGCAUCCCUGCAAGGUGAUUACCUUCAGUGAGUUGCCUGCGCUUAGCAUCUGUAGGCCAUCAUUGUCUAUAAACAAGCAGCAGACCAUUGUUAUAUCCUCCAACUUCUCGAGAGUGGAGAGUGAUCUAAGGGAUUCAUUGCUUACCUGCAAAACAAGAGACAAGAAAUUGGAGCAUUCUUGGAUUUUCAUAGUAAGAAACAGGGAGAAUUCAUCGAGCCAUAUGUAUCCAUUGUAAACUAGAUAGCAGGAAUGUGCAUGUCAAUGGCGCCCCGUUAAGUUCAACUGAAUCUUUAUUCUAUCUUUAAGUCAAAAUGCAUGGUAAACAUUGACCGAGCAAUAUGAAGAUGCUAAACAUUCCAGAUUACAGAACUUCUAAUCACAUUGUCUCAAGCUACCAUUUUUUGGAACACCAUUUUCCAUUUGAACAAGCAUUCGAUUUUUAACCAAACACUGUACCAGCAAGUAAAUGGAUAAAUUAAUACUGAAUCUUUCCAGCUCACUUGAUUCGCACACGCGAAAUAGCAUCUAUGUUGGCAAGGGAACAAUCUCAUAAACUAUUAAACUCUAAGAAGAAUCUUAAUGUUUUUAUUAAGGAAACAGCAUCCUACUAACAUUACCACAUUUGUCCCCCAUUCUAGUCAGUUCACAGAUGAUUGAACACUUCUGAAUUCUCGACAGGUCAAGUCGCAAUCAUUUUCAAUUGAAUCCAUCAGAGGCUUCAGACCAAUCGUACUACUGACCAAAGAGACUGAUACGAAUUUCAGGGAUGCUACCUUGAGGUAGGAGAUGUCAACGCUGCGAAGCUCGGGGCACUUCUUGGCGAGCAGCUCGAUGCCAAUGUCGGAGAUCUCACGGCACCACUUGACGCUGAGCUUCUCCAGCCCGGGGCACCCGACGGCGACCUUGGCGAGCCCGACGUCGGUGACGCCGAGGCACUUGUCCAUGACGAGCUCCCGGAGCCCCGCGGCAGCGGCGAGGGCGGCCAUCUCCCUGUCCCCAGCGGCGACGCAGUGGGACAGGUCGACGGCCUCCAGCCUCGGGCACGCUGCCACCAUAGCCUCCAGGCCGCGCCACCCAACGCCGCUCGCCCGCGCCAGCCGCACCCGCCGCACGCCCAGCUCGGCGCCGGCGCCGGGCGGCAGCGCGGCGGCGAGGGAUGCGUCGUCGAGCCCCGCGCACGCGGAGAGGUCGAGCGCGGCGAGCGCCGGGAAGGCGCGGAGGACGCGGGGCAGCACCUCGCGGCGGAGCGGGCGCGCCGACCGGCGCGACGCGGCCUCGGCUCGCGCGAAGGCGCGGCUGGCGAGGCGGCAGGACUUGCGGUCACGCGGGUCGCGCACGCCCGCCAGCGCGUGCGCGAGCAGGUCCAGCGACAGCGCGUCCACGCCCGCGCCGGCGCCGGCGGAGGAGCUGCCGGGGUCGUCGUGGCUCAUCUCGCGGGGCGACGACGGUCGAGAUCCGAUCCCGCCGGUCGAGAUGGUUGUGGGGAGCGCGCGCCGGGAAGCUCGUUCGUUGGGCGCCGACUAGCGAAGCUAGCGAGGAUUGCUGGUUAGCUGGGGGCGACGGCGAGCGAGCGUUGGCCGGCAGCGGCGGGGAAGAGGAGGAAGGUGCUUGCAGCUUGCGGCAGUGGCGUGGUGGAGAGAGAAUGGGAAGGGAGAGGAGAGCAGACGGAGGAGGAAGCUUUGGCUUUGCUGCGGACGAAGCACAGAGGAGUUGUUUAAUGGUAGCCGGUUGAAGGAAGGAGAGAGGAAGUGUCAGUGGAGGAGACUGACGUGUGGGCCCGCACGUUGUGGAUUUCGAGGGAGCGGGAUGACCGGAGCUGUUUCUUUUUCCGGAAUGGUCACCGGAGGAUAGUGAUAUUUGCAAAGAGAGGAGGGUGAUAAAUUUUGUUUUUUUAUUGGAGAUGGAGGAUGGCGGGGAGGGAUGAGGGGGAAGGGGUUCGUGGAGUCGGUACGUGAGGUAGUAGCCGCAGAUAUAAUAUAAUGGAUACGAGCGAAAAUGUUACGGUCCGACCAUAUGAUAGAAAUUUCUUUUCAGAUCAAAAUAAGCCGAGGGAUUUGGGAUCCUCUAAUUAUUAAGUAAAAUUCGUACUUUUAGCUCAUUUUGAUCCUCAUCUUUCUUUUUUUUCUCCGCAUUCAAACAGCAGCCCGAAGUAAUCCUUGCUUAUUCAUCGUUUAGGUGGUCCUUAUACCUAGCUUAUCCCUUUGCUUCUUCCAAGUUAGGCAUCUAUUACUCCAAGUUAGAAAAUCUCUUUGCUAUACAUAUGCUAAAAGUUAUCAUCAAUUAUUGAAGAGAUCAGAGUAUCAAUUAGUUACAUCAAAGUUGUCGGCCAUGAGUAGCCACGCCACAUGAGCCACUGGCGAAGUUGUGGCGUCAAAAUCCGACGCCACAACCGUGGCGUGAAAAUGAACUACAGUUGAGCAAUUUUGUUGUGGCGCGCCGCAGCUUUUGUUAGAAAGCAACACUAGCCUAGCUUUUUAUGACGGUCGCAAGCUGUGACAUGGCGAACGGACCAAGCAGCCCCAUCGUCCAAGUGUUUAUUGGUUUUCUUAAAAGUACAUUGAAGAUGGACACGCUAAACACAUGCACUGAUGUACACCAUCACAUGCACAAAUGCACAUCUCUAGAGAUUAAUUUAAUACGCACAAGACCUAAUGUAAAUUAAACAUGUGUAUGCACUUUCCCUCUAUAGUUGUACUCCUAAAAUCGAUAAACACCGGUAUUGAGCCAUGAACUUUGAACCCUGGUGGGGGUGGCCCUGGCUAUACGCCCAAAAUUCUAACCAUCCUAUCAUAAGCUAGCUUUCGUUAUCAAUUAGUUUUGUUGAGCGUUGAUAAAGAACAACCCGAUACAUUAUUCUUUUAUAGGAUUUGUUUUUGAAAGAUGCCCGAGUGAUACCAUAGUGACGGUUAAGAUAUUCGGUUCAAAUUAUGAGAAAAAUCAAAGAUACUUUGCACAAUCACCGAUCCAUUCUCCUCGGUAGCAGUGACCUUGAGGAGCCGUGAGAUGAACCAAAAUAAAACCACGAAGAUGAGGAUCAAGCCCUUAUUCGCAUGAUGCUGCUUAUCGUGGGGGUUGAGGAGCAAAACCGCCACCAAGAGAAGAUUCCACGUAAGAUCCCACUCGCAUCACAUGACCCUUUCCGCGCACUCGUCCGAUGGGCGGAUGGCUUUCAUCGUCUCACUCACUGCAGGUGGGCCGGCACCUCGGUCACCUCGCAUCGAGAGGACGAAACGGGAAGCUCCGCGUGGGCCGGCCGGCCGACGACCUUCCGUACAAAUGCUUCCCCACGGGGCCCACGCAGGAAUCUAGCCGGCUGUAUCGAGGAUGGACGUACGGCGUACCUGCAAUGCGCUGCACCUGCUGCUACCGGUAAGUCGCGAUCGUCUUACCAAAUAUAGUAUGAUCCACACCACUAGAAGCAAAGCUCUCACUACUCUAAUAUACGUCUUCUUUUUUUGGUUGAGUCCUUCUUACGAAAUGUUCGUGUACUCCUUUUUUUAUAGUUUAUUAUAAAGGAGACUCACUAUCAAAAUAUGGCGCUAUAGUGUACUUCAUUUUAAAGGGUUGUAUGGUGAUCCAUCGUUGUUGAAUGACUAGAAUGAUGCGGUAGAGAUCCGUUGUCCGGGUCAUAUUGUUUGCCUAGUUCGAGCCUUAUUUUUUAUUAAUAUAAUCAGCAGCUCUCCUACUUGAUUUGUUUAAAAAAAAUAUGAUGGAGAUCCAAAUAUAAGUCCACGUGAUGCGCACGAAUCUUGUUGUAGAUAUAGACUUCGUGUACGCGUAUGAAUUCUAAGAGCAUUGGGCUCAUGCUGAAAUGUACUUUCGAUACUGUUUACCCUAGAGUCGACUCAUCAUCCUCCAAAAGCAUGGGAGGGCAUAGGGUGGGUGAUAUGGAGCAACCAAGAUCAAGUGCGGAGAUUGAUCAGAUUUUUUUAUUAACUAUGAGUCGAUGUGGACUCUAGAACCGACUCUUCUCACCUUGUUGAUGAGUCGACGUCCUCUACUGGUAGUCCCCCUACCAACGAAGGACCAUUAGUCGCUUUACCUUUCUCAAUGGAUCGGAGGUACUCUAGUAUGAAACAGCUGGUAGGUCUAAGCAAGGAGGGAAACGGGAUGAACAGGCGCAGGAAGCUUUCGCGCUGACAGGAAGUAAGUAUCGGGAGCCGUGUGAUACCACCGCUCGGGCUGCGCUAGCGUUGCAGUUUUGCCGCAUAUUGCAGGUUACCCCUCCUUCCGAAUUACUAUUCAUUUUGACUUUUCUAGACAUGUAUCUUUUGACAUACACAUAGAUAUAUAGACAUGUAUCUUUUGACAUACACAUAGAUAUAUAAUUAUAUCUAGAUACAUGGUAAAAAUAAUGUAGGUAGAAAAAUUAAAAUAAGUAAUAAUUUAGGACGGAGAGAGCAGUAUAUUAUUACUGCGAGGGAACGUGCCUGGCGAUGUACAGUACCCGUUGACUCCGAGCACGUAUCCGACGGAUUGGAUUCCGGAAGAAGUGAGCUCGGCCUUUUCCUCUUUGCGAUAGCAUAUCCACUUAUCCCGGCGGCCCCUGUAUUCUUCUAUACACAAGUUGGAUUGUGUCGGUUGUUAGAUUCCUCAGAUUGGAUCAGAGCAGACCAGGUUCACUGGAGCUACCUGCCUCGAGUUCGCAAAAGGAAGACUUGCACGUACGUACGUAUGACUAAUUAUUGCACGUCAUUAUAGUCAAACGACGUUGUUUAGAUUAAUUUGCUGGAAAUAUAAGUUACUUUCGUUUGACCGGAUCCAUAGAAAAAGUCAAUAAUAUUUAUGAUAUGCUAAAUGAGUAUAGUUAGAUUUAUUAUGAAAUAUAUUUUCAUAAUUUACUUAUUUGAUGUGUUAGAGUUAAUGCUCUUCUCUAAAAACUUGAUCAAAUUUAUACCAAUUUGACUUAAGACACUUUAUAAUUUUGAUGGAUGGAGUACGUAUGGCAAGUUUCAAUACGGUGCAGCUCUAGAUAAAAAAGGAAUGUUUGCGGCGGGCCACACGCUCCGUAAAUUUUUGAAGCUGAAGCUCUAGGUGCAUCGAAAACACUUUGGUAGGGAAAUAAAUUUUUUGAAUUAAACUCAUAUGUUUGAUCUAAUUUAUUUAUCCUAUAAAAUUUUAGAACCUUUUACGGAUUUCGAAGCUAGCUAGGCGCUGCGGGUUGAAAGUGACGGAUCAUGCUUGGUUUCUCACUAGCGUAGUGCGACCACGUGGUAAAUGAACGUAUAAUACAUUAUACCAGUACAAUUAAGAUGUGGCGGAGUUAAUUGAUCUUUAAGCUAAUUAAACUUCUAUUUUUAGUGUGGGUUUCCUCUACUGUGCAUCCAUCCAUGGCAGCAGUAUAUAUAGCAGAAUGGACAGAAAAGAGUUGGAGGACUUGGGUAACACGGAAAACCAAGGUAUGGCACCUGCCAUGUUGCUCCUCCGCCACUGCAUUACACACUGAAUGAUUCUUUCUACUGUACUGAAAUCAGCAAACGGAGGUAUUCCCUCCGUUCCAAAUUGUAGGUUGUUUUGGUAUUUUUAGAUUCAUAGCUUUUACUUAUGUAUCUAGACAUAUUAUAUAUCUAUAUGCGUAGCAAAAUCUACAAACUUUGAAAUGCCAGAACGACCUACAAAUUAGAACGGAACGAGGAACGGAAGGAGGAAAUAGUAUUUUUUUAAGGCCAUCAUCAGACUCGAAGUGGUUUGUAUGUAUACUUCGUAGUAGUGAGAGACGCAGGAGUCAAAUGGGUAAUGUUAAAUUCCAUAUAUUUUCUAUUUUUAUAUGGGUAAUUUUUUUAUUGAAUAUGUCCAUGGUGCAUGUAUCUAUGUUUUAUGAAUAUAAAAUUCUUGUUUACUUUUAGUGUGUGCCGCACGUGCCCUCACCUAGUUAUGGGUUAAUAUAGAGUUUUUUCCCCUUUUCUUUCCAGGAAGCCAAUGUUUAUCCAAAAUUUUUAAUUUGGUAGUCUCUUCAUCUUCUUUAAGUUGCAUGCGUUAUUUAUUAUCACUUUGUUAGUUAGUCUGAUGGUGAGAGAAAAAGUGUAUUGUUAUGUAUUGAUGUGUCCCAUAUAUGCAUUAACCUUUUUCUGGUCUCUACUUCAUUUCUUCUUCUACACAAUAUUGAGCUGGUGCAUGACUCAACCUAAAAGGUUAUUGAAUUGGAAAAAGGCGGAUAAUUUUUUUAUACUUCAACAACACAAUCUAGAUGACCGACUAGACGGUUAAGAUGCCUCAUAGUGUAGCACUAAAUAUACAAAUAAAUACUUAAAUAGCUACAUAUUUUACAUAGUUGCACUCUAUAUUUCUCAAGAACUUAAAAGAAAAUAUAAGGCAUACCUUCCAGAGGUAAAAAUGUUGUUUUAAUCUUCCACUCUAUCCUCAAAUCCAUUAACUAAAUAGCUGAAAACAUUUUCAUGGGGGCUAUUCAUUCCUCUCACGAAAGCUCCAUUUUGUGGUAGGGUCUAUGAUUUUCUUUUAGACAGUAAUAAAUGGCACUAUAGGAAAAAUUACAUUAUUUGCAUGGAAACUGCAAGACUGUUGGAAGCAAUAUGGACGAAGGCGAGUGUAAUGGCACUAAACGCAUGCUGCUAUCUGCUCGCUUGAUUAAAUUGUCCUUAGUUCAGGAGGCAGUGAAAGGAUGGGAGGCUCUCUAGCAAUUGCAAAUCUCCGAUCAUUCAACUCUUUAUAAUGGAUCUCUGAGGUCGCCCAUGUGUUAUGGAUAUGCCUAUGAAUGCGAAUUAAACAUCUCAAAUUUGGUAGGUGAAGAGUAGAUGAUAAAUUGUGCUCAGCUAUUCCGAAUGACCAACUAAAUCAUGCAUCCAAUUCUUGUGAGCUGGAAAAAAGAAGCAGUGCUUCACUGAUGAGAGUGCUUAAAUACCGUAGUACUGUUCCCAUCUUCCAUGGACAAGAACUUGAAGUCCCAUCACAGCUUUACCAUUAACUUUGUAGGAUAUUGGAGAUAAACAAAAUACCACAAUGACUAUAGCAGGUCUUUAACACGACAGAAGAUGCCUCCGAGUUGUACGACAUAGCUGAAAUCUUCUCUGACAGGGAUGAAAACCAUGUAAACAUACAUGCUAGACCUUGUAUCAUGUUUUGCUAUGAAGUUUUGAUGUUGCUAAAAAUAUCUCUAACAACUACGGCUCCAAUCUGUUCAGAAAAUGUGCAAGUACCAUUCAUGAUGGAAACCUUCUCCAGCUCCACUCACUUCCCUCCAUAGAAGGAGCUUCCAAAUCUCUACUAUUCUUUAGAUUAAUCCGUUGUACUCCAAAGCUGUUGUUUGCAAUGGAUUUCGAAUAAAGAAUUUGUUCUUAUAAAAAAACUAGAGCAAAUUCAUUAUUCUGCUAGCUCGUUCCAUGUUUCUAUCAAUUAACCUAGAAAUUCCUGACCCUCAAAGGACCUUUAUCGUUCAACUAUUGAACAAACAAUCUCCAUCUUCUAUGUGUUCUGCAAUUUGGAGUCUCUUUAAUAUAGCUACUGGGUUAACCCCACUUAAAUCAAUAAAUCAUAUGAUGUGGAAUUGGUUAACGGGCAUAGAGAAUAAGACAAGAAGUUUGAUUUCUGUGGGGGUUCCUGCUCUUAUGUGGGUGAUUUGGUGUGCUCGUAAUGAUAUGAUUUUCAAGAAAAAAAGUUCACCUCUUUCAUGCAGGUUGUAUUCAGGGGAGCUUAUUGGCUGCGGUUUCGAUCCUUGUUACAGUGUAAAGAUACUAGGGAAUCAGUCCGGGCAACAAGCAAAGCGCUGGAAGUCAUCGUUUUGGAUAUCUUCACCAAGAACGGAUGGAGAAGCAAUAAUAGACUUUGCUUAUGAUUUUCCUUAAAAUUGGUGAACUAUUAUUUCUAUUUUGGAACCUAAAUUUGUUGUAACAACUCGGCUGUGUGCGGGUUGUAGAGGCUGGAGAUAAUUCUAUUUUCUAAAAUAAAAAGGGUUCCGCAAGCCAACCAAUGUGAAGAAAGCAUGCCAAAUAUGCAGCAGGCAGCCAAGGAGUAGAUGACAACUGGUCAGCUGUUUCAAAUGACUUGUGAUGGUGAGAGAAAGGCCAAUAUUGUGACUCGUGAGGUGAGAGAAACCGAGAUUAUCAACGCAUCUCAUCUUGAACAAGACAAAGCACAAUAAUUCAUCUAGUGCCUAUUAGUCAAACGGAAUAAUUCUCCCUAUGUUGCUUUAAAGCUACUGUAUGCUGCCAUGAAAUUACAUUUUCAACUAAGUACGAACGAAGGGGCAAGAGAGAAUCAGAAUAAGCUCCCUAAUAUUUAUAUAUUCUCCAAUCUCAAUUGCAUAGGGGUGUUUACAUCAGCAUGAUAUGUUUGUGUCGUGGCUUUUCUGAUCUGCCUAUGUUGCAAAGUGGUUCCCGACUCCAUCUUCCAUGUGUUGCAUGCCUACGGCCUACCAUUGAGAAGAAAACACGUCAAAAAGGGCAGCAGGGUAAGCAGGCAAGGAGUAGAUGACAACUACUGGUCAGCUUAGCUUUCCCGAGUGAUUUGCUCAAUCAAGCAUCCAAAUCUUGGUCGAGAAUCCAAGGUGAUCAAUACUUCACUGACGAGAGUGGUUAAUUAAAUACCCUCCUCUCCACCUCUCGUAGACUCUCUACCUCGUUCAUUGUGCAUAUGGAAAGAAUAGAUGGCUGAAAGGCUCAGGCUAAUGGCUCUUGAUUUAAACUAAUCCAUUAUAUAUACUUCCAAGUUGUUCUUUGAGAUGGAUUCCAGUAUAGAAAUUGGAGUUAUGAAACGCCAUGGAGCAAAUUCAUUGCAUGUUCCAUGUUUCAUGCUAUCAAAGCAAAAAUUCCGGACUCCUGAAGGACCUUGAUCAUCAACUCUUAAAUAAAGGAUCUCUACCUUCCAUGUGUUCUGCAUGCCUACCAACGUGAAGAAAACAUGUCAAAUAUGGAGGAGGCAGGCAAGUAGUAGAUGGCAGCUUGAUUGCCAGCCAUUUUGAAUGGGUGGCUAAAUAUAUGCAUCCAAAUCUUGUGAGGUGAGAGGAUCCAUACACGUCUACUUCAUUGAUAAGUGGCGCGCUAAAUACCUUCCCUGCACCUCCCUAUUCGUGCAUAGAGAGAACGUAUGGUUGAAUAAUUGAAUGUGCCAGCAUGAUCACCUUCAUUAUUGUCUGGGACAUUGGAGAUGAACAAACUAUGGCAUUGGCAUUAGGAGCUCUGGUAUUCCCAUUUUGGUUGAGGCACAGAAAAUAGCAAGGGGAAAAGAUUUCAGCUCAAUUGGGUCUGCCUAAACCGAACUAAAGUUCAUCCAGUGUCUAGUUAUUUGGUGAAAGGAAAUCUUGCUGGCACAUUUGCCAUCCGCGUCGCAUUCGUCGGUAGUAGCACAAAAGAAUAAGGAAUAACGAAUAAGGUGUCAUUCAGAUGAUGAACUACUGUGAGUUUAUUAGAGUACUGUACAGUAAUUGUAAUCUUUGCAGAGGGAAGUAUGAAGCAUGAGGUUAGUGACAUAUUUGUGCUCUGGAGUCUGGAUUGUGCCUCUCUGAAUAAGCUUUUAACUUUUCUUCUUUACUGCUAGUACUAGUAUUCGCAUGCGUGCCCAGCGAGUUGUAGUAUUCCCAAACCAUGACCAGCUUAAGCGUUCUCUUAGAGAGCUAAGGAUCGGAGUAGAUGACAACUAGUCAGCUUUUUUGAAUGACUGCCUCAAUCAAGCAUCCAAAUCUUGUGAGGUGGGAGAAUCCAAGGUGAUCCAUACUUCACUGACAAGAGUGCUUAAAUACCCUUAAUUCUCUCCACCUUCUUCAUUUGUGCAUAGAGAGAAUACAUGCAUGUCUCAAUGGUUCAAUCUGAUAACUAACGCUCGUGCAUUUGGGAUGUUGGAGAUAAACAAACAAUGUAAACAACAAUGGAGGAGGAUUGCACUGGCUCCUUGUUGGCAAAGGCAUUCGGUAACAAUGAAAGCCCUCAUGUUGCAAGAGAAUUUUUCAGCUGUAUGGAGGCCAAUUGAAGCAAACACUUACUCAGAUCCAUCUAUUUUCUAGUUAUUGGGGAGAAGGAAGUCUGUCUAUCUCGCUUCGAAUGCGCAGAACAGCACUAGAUCUUAAGUAAUUGUGGGAGCGGGUCUCCCUUCUUAAUGAAGCAUUAUGAUUUCAUUAUUUGUAUGAUAUAUGUUUUUUUUUCGAGAAUACGCAGGAGAGCUGCGUACUUUGUAUGAUAUAUGUGAUUUUUAAUAAUUAUAAGAAUAACGCCAGCUGCCAAGAUAGCUAAUAAAGCAGAUUUUUGGAAUCAAGGACGAACUGCUGCGCUCAACAGCAGCAGCAAAAACACCGGCUCAAAUCAUAAGCAGCGUUAACGACACGUCAGCCAGAUUCCUCGCCAUCAUCACCACCACCAACAAGAACAACGUUAGUGACUCGUCCUAAGCUUCUUUUAUUAGUCUAAGCUCUAAAUGACUGUUCAGAAAUGCGAAAUUUUUCAUGGGGCAACGAGUUCAUGAUAGCUGAACAGCUGUUCUGAGUGACUGUAAAUCAUGCAUUCCAUUCUUUUCUUCUGAAGUGAAAGAAACACGUGUUAUUCACUGUUUAGAGUUCUUAAAUACGCUGCACCUAUAUCAUAUUCUGAGAGAUUGCUUGGCUGAUAAAGGUGCAGCCUCAAAUUUGGCAGGAAGCUAAGAGUUGAGUCCAAUUGUUCAUCUGUUACUAAUGAUUAUAAUAAGCUAAGUUUAUAACUGAAUGAAGCACGUGAAGCUUGUGAGGUGAGAUAACAAAACAUAAAUCCCCACUCGACUAAUCAGAGGAUCUAUAUAGUAUAUUUUUUUUAUUCUUGUGAGGUUGUCCAUGUAUGAUGUGUAGUCUAUGAAUAAUGCAAAGUAAAUGAUUGAAAUCUGGUAGCACACAAAGAGUUGGUGACAGUCGAUAGCUGAUUUGAAUAAUUGAUUAACCAUGCAUCCCAUUCUUAUGAUAAGAGAAACCAAAUGUGUGACGUCUGUUAAGAGUGCAUAAAUAGCCAUGUAUCUCAUCUUGUGUUGCACGAGCCAAUAGAUGCCUAAAAUCCCAUGAGAUAUUGGAGAGGAACAAACUACGAUGAUCCCUAUUUCAAGUCUUCCUCCUCUUUUUGGCUGUUGACUCUGACUACGAAUGUGAUGAUUCAGAAGAUGAAGAAACUCGAACUCCUAAUAAGGUGUGCACUGGUCGACCCUGUUUGUUCUUAUUGUAGCAUGCUUGUUACCCUUGCUUGCUUGUUCUUCACAUACUCCUUUUUGUGUUCAAUUACCAACGAAAAGUGACCACCGUAGCUGAAUUUUGUUUUAUUCCAGGUGACAAAAAGGGCUUUAAUGUGGCAAAUGGGAUACUCAUUUGAGAAAGGAUGCUACAAAGGUUCAUGAAUGCUACAACUGUUCAAAGGAGAAGUUCCCCAAUUGUGAACACCCCUGUUCUUUGAGAGUUUAGUACUUAGUAGACAUUUAACUCAGAAGAGAAAGAUUGACUGCAUGAAAAUGAAACAUCAAGCUGAUUAGUACUUAGUAGACAUAUAACUCAGAAGAGAAAGAUUGACUGCAUGAAAAUUAAACAUCAAGCUGAUGAUAAAGGGUUGACUGAAUGAAAACAUCAAUCUUCUUUUUUAGAAAAAGAAAACAUCAAUCUGACGAGAGGGUCCUUUUGUAGAUAAUCUCUUGGAGCAAAGCACUCCAUCCUUUGAAUGUAAGUUAGCAUCGAAAUAUUAUUUGCAGAUACUCUCUCAGAGCAAAAGACUCAUCUUUUGGCAAAGGACUGCAGAAAUGCAACACAAUGUUGCAACAUCACAGCAGCUGAUACAAGUAGGCCAGUGAGCAGGCAAAAUGGAUCCUACGACAGUGUUUAUGAAGUGAUUGGAAGUUGGAACUGGGCCAAGUGUGUUGUUGUUCCUACUGGUACGCAUAGAGUAAAAUGCAUAAUGCUAAUGUAAUGUUGGACCAGCGGGGAGCGUUCGUGCCACUGCAGCUCAUGGGGCUGGGCACGCCGUGGUGCCUCGCCGUGUGCGCCGCGGCGCGCAGGCCGGUGAGCCAUGGCGUGCAGCGGGUGUGGCAGCAGCAGCAGAGCUCGAUGGCAAGCAGCAGGCGACGGCGAAACCGUGUCCGGCGAGGCGCGUCACGGCGCACGCGGGCAGGAGCCGGCGUCGCGACGAGUGCUCGCCGGUCAUGGCCGCUGCAACCAUUGGGAGUUAUUGAGAAUGGACAUGCAUGACGGGGAGAAACCCCCGCGACGCGGCGGCACUCCGGCGAGCCACGGAGAGCAGAGGAUGCGGCGCGCUUGCAGCAACCAGGGGGGUCCAGGGUAUGCACGGGAUGCUUUUUGCAUCCGGGAUGCACCCAAUUUUUUUCCCUCCAGGGGAAAUACUGUCCACCCUCUGGGCCCAUUGUAGCCAUAGGAUGGGAGAUGUGCGGGUGAGAUCGGCCGCGGAUCGCAUAAAGGGUGCCGGUCGUCGUCCUCGCCAGGCUGGCCGGGGGAUGGACGGCGCCAUGGCGGAGGCCGGCUCUGGCUGGGUGGACCUCCAGUGCAGAGCGGCGUGGGGAGCUCCACGGCGAGCCCUGCCUCUGGAGCCGCUGGGCAACUGGCAGCUCCUCUGAGCUAGUCGUCGCCGCCGCCGGGGCCUGUCUUGUCUCCUGACGAAAGCUUGCCAAGGAUUGCAACAGGGGACACUAGUGACGACAGAGUAAUUCCUCAUGUUCUACCCACUAAACGCCCAAAAAGUUGCAGCAUACAAAGAGUUGGUGGCAGUUGAUCAGCUCUUUCGGAUGACAGAGUAAUUAUGAAUCCAAUACUUGUGAGUUGUAAGGUGAUAGAAACAAAAAUGUGUGCUUCAUCGAUGAGUGUGCUUAAAUACCGCUGCCAGCACCUCUUGUCUUAGAUUGCACACGGACGAUUAGACAAGCGCAGCUUGACGAUUCCGUGGGAUAUUGGAGAUGAGCAAACUACAACAACCGCAUCUUGAAUUCCUCCAGAUCAUUCAGAGUGAUAACACUAAGAAUGAGUGUGAGUAUGAUACGGAAGAUGAUCAAAUUCUAACUCCCAAGAAGGUGCCAGAUAAGUUAACAGUAAUUGUUUCUUAAGAUUCUACCGUGUCUAAUGCCCGUUUUGUAUUUUUUUAACAGUGUCAUGGCGGAGGGCGCAGGCUAGGUGGGCACCUUCGUGGUUGUUGCGUUCGUCCGCCUGCUUCGGAGUUGCAUGGGGUUAUCGCACAGCUGCUUCGCCGCUUAUCUUCUGAUGCAGGCUUGCAGCUGAGGUUCCAAGGAUUGAUCGUGGACUGAAAGCCAAUGUGAAUGCAAUCUGGUCUAGCAUGUCGCAAUUGAACACCCGUCUGAAUCAAGCGAAUUCUUGAUUGACGAGCCUAUCUAUUUGUUGACAGUGCUACUUGCAUUUUCAAAAGACAAAGCAAGCAAUUGAGUGUUGUACGCCGGUGCAUGCAUGUAGCUGGUGUCAGUUUCCUAGUUGCUAUGCUGAAUUUCCCCAUCUUCUCAACCACCUAAAAAUGGUCAGUUUUCAGGUAGCUUGGAUUAGGCAAACUGCUGGGAAUUGUAGUUCUAAAAUUACUGAAACGUGCUGCAACGGAAUAAAAUUUUAAGCGCUUGUUGCAUUAUCUGGUCUAUCAAAUUCUGAAGUCAAAAUUUGUGAGGCUAUACAUGUGUGUCCUGCAUGCAUGUCCAUCAACAAUGCAAUGUAAAUGGAUUAAAUCUGGCAGAACGCAAAGUGUUUGUGACAGUAAAUCAGCUGCUGUUUUGAAUAACUGAUUAAUCAUGCACCCCUUUCUUUUGAGGCCAGAGAAACCAAAAGCGUGUUGUCUGAUGUGAGUGCUUAAUACCAAUGCACCUCUCAUCUCAGAGUCCAUGGGCAAUAGGUGCCUAACAAUUCCGUGGGAUCGAUAUUGGAGAUUAACAAACUGGUAAUCGCAUCAUAGCAUCUCAACCCCUUUUUGGUCGAUGACUCAGACGAUGAAAGGUGAUUAUUUGGAAGACGUAGAACUUCAACUCGUAUAGAAGGUGUGCGCCAGAUAUAUAGUUGGUCUUCCCUAGUGCAUAUAAUUUUGCCACUGCAAUCUGCUGAAGUUGGCAGGAAAAGACAAUAUUGUCCAACUGUGUUUGUUCUUUUUUUUUUAUCGUUGCAUGUUUGUUACCCUUUUUUCAGUUUUGUUUUGUGUUCAACUACCGAUAAAGCUUAGCACUUUAGCUGAAUUUUCUUUUAUGUCCGAUGACAAAAUGAUGCUGAUGUGGCCACUUGGAUCUUCAUGUGGUAAACUAGGCAACAAAGGUUCCUGCAUGUGAAAACUAGCCAAAUGAGAAAUCCCACAAUAUGAAAGACAAAGAGUGUAUACUUGUGGUAGCUAGUGGAAAGACAAUGUGAGGUCCCACUUUAGUUGUUGUAAUAGACACACAUUCCCAAAUAAAAUGAUGGUUGAAUAUUCCUUCAGCGUUCAAUGUUUAGUAGGUUGAUACGUACUUCACAAGAAAGGCAAGCCUAAUUAUCAGCUUGAUCAGAGGUCUUUUACAAAUUGAAUCUAAAGAUGAAAAAUUGAAUAUUCUUUAAGGAAAACAAAUGAAAGAAAGUAUCAAAAUUAUGGGUAAAUAUUCUACCAGAGCAAAGUAUCUUCGUCCUUUGGCAAAGUACUGCACAAGUACCAGAGCAGUGUGGAAUUGAACAACAAUGUAUGACUGUACUAAUAAGUGCAUUUAUGUACUCUUGCUCUUUCACCUUCUUUUAUGAAGAGGAUGCAUGGGUGUUAUUAGGUGCAAAUUGACAAUUAGUUCCGUGGGAUACUGGAGAUAAACAAAAAAAUAAUGAUGAUAUGCUAAACAUUAUUCUAAAGGACAGAAAAUAUCAAGAUGAAGAUUUGAGAUGAAUAAUGGAGGUACCGAACCAAAUGAAACAAGCUCUCUCGAAAUAUUUUCAUAAUUUCAUCACAUAUGUUGCACUAUGGGCCGGCCCAAGCACGACACGAAAAAGCACGGUCCACGAAUGGCCCGGCCCGUGACUCAUAGUGCCAGUGCUGGGCACGGCACGGCCUUAGUGCCGUGCCUAGGCUGCCAUUUCGGCCCGUAGUGCCGGCACGGGCACGACACGCUUAAUGGGCCAGCACGAUAGCGGUCCAAUUCCUCCCGGCCGUUGGAUGCCAUCAGAAUGCACCAGCACCGUUAGAUGAGUGGAGAGUGACAUAUAUAAAGAAAUAUGUGCCUGGAACCCCUAACUCCCUGGCUGUUGGCUCCCUGCUUCUCUCCCGUGGCCGCCCGCCCGCCCGUGUGGGGCCGCCACCGGAGCGCCACCGCGGCUCCUCCCCUCCCUCUCUUGCUCUCUCCUGUGGCCGCCCGCGGGGGGCCGCCGCCGCCGCCGGGGUGCAACCCCGCAGCCGGGAGGCGCGGCCGCCGGGAGGAGUGGAGGGCCCCCGCCGCUGCCGCCACUGGGGUGCAGCCGCCGGGAGGAGUGGAGGAGCCCCCGCCGCCGCCGCCGGGAGGAGUGGAGGAGCGCCCCCCCCCCCCCCCCCCCGCCGCCGGGAGGAGUGGAGGGGCCCCGCCGCUACCGAGGUCCACCGCGGUCGGGAGGAGCGGAGCUGUGGAGGGGCGCGGGCACGAUGGGCUGCCGUGCCGGCACGACAUGGCUAAUCAGCUUGAGGGCCGUGCCCGUACCGAGAUGUCGGCAUGAUGGCACUACGAGGCACGGCACGACGAAGCCACCGUGCCGCAUAGUGCCGUGCCGUAUAGUGCCGUGCCGCGUCGUGCCUGUGCCCGUGCCGUGCCGUGCGGCCCGGUUGGCCACCUAUAGAUAAUGAUAAGCCUCGAUGAGAUGCAGAGCUUGGACGACGUUUUCCAAGCGUGUUGUUAAUUCCUCUUAUUAUGAGUCAAAAUGUUCGUAUAACAUGCUAAUGCAAUUCGACGUUGUCAAGCGGAGCAGUCCGACCUGACGACCCAGCUGGAUGGACAACCUUCCUGCAGCAGGGCUCCAACCAAGGAGGACACUGAAUGCAAAUACCGCGCGUCGUCGCCGGCGUACAUCGGCAAGUUGCUCGUUUCGCUGGGCCGCCGGUGACUGUCGUGGUGAAUGUGAUGACUGUCGUAGUGCGUGGCCCUCGCCGCUCGUGGUUUGAGGCGGUCGGGGCCGGGGCGACGGGCAUUGCGUGGCUGCUGCCAGGACACAGGCAUGCGGCGGCGCGGCAGGAGACCUAGAUGGUGCCUGCUCGGCGAUGUCGUAGGCAUGUAGCCUCGGUGGACGCGCGGUGGUCAGCGCAGGCGGCAGGCCGGCAGGGGCGUGGCGUGGCGCACGCGGCCAGGGAUCCAAGGAGAGCUCACCGGUCAUGGUCUCCUGGAGGACGGAGAUGAGAGUGACAAGCCUACCUGAUGCGGUGGCGCUCCGGCGAGCCAUGGAGAGCAGCGGAGGCGUCGGGCUUGCGACGACCAGGAGUGUGGGAUAUGGACGGUAUUAUAUUUGAAAUACCGUCCACCCGGCCCUUUUUAUCCGUCGGAUGGAAGAUGUGCAUGGUUUCAGCGCCAGCGGAGCCAUGCAUGGUGUCCUCGCAAGGCAGUCGCGGCCCUCGCGGGAGCUCGGCGGCGCCAUGGAAGAGGGCUUAGGCCGGGUGAACCGCGAGACCCGAGCGUGGCGCGGCAGCCGGAGGAGCCCGAGUGCCAGACUGCGAGCCCGGAGCAUCGCCGGAGGAGGUCGCUCGCUGGGCAAUGCAAGUGGCAGCCUCGUCGAUCGUCGCAUUCAUCGAGAAAACCGGAGCUUCCACCAGCGGCCUGCUUUCUUCAGAGUUGCACCGGGUCAUCAUACAGCUCCAGUCCGACGCACCGGCCUGCUUCGCCUAGCAACUGUCCAACACCCGUCUGAAUCAGGCCAAGAUUACGUUGGUGAGCCCAUCAGCUUGUUGAUAGUGUUGCUGCUGUGUCGAUCGUGCACCUUGGGAUCCUCGUCACAAGAUGCAGAAAAUGUUAUCGUCAAGCUCGAUGAUAUAGUCUUCACAGCCCUGCAUCUUCUGAGAAAAGAGAGCCAAUGCAGAGUACAUGCAGAAACAUGAAACUGUCAAAACAAGCUUGGAAUCCGGCACCGUGCGAAGAGUAGUUGCGACAGUUGGUCAGACGGUUUGAAUGACAGUAAUCACACGCAUCCCAUUCUUGUGGAGGGGAGAUGUAUGCAUAUGACUGAUGAUAGCCCUUAAAUACUCCUGCAAAUCAUACCUUAGAUAGAUGGAUUGCAUAUAUAUGGUGCAGACUGAAAAUUCAGUGGGGAUAUUGGAGAUAACCAAACUAUACAGAUCACAAUCAUAUGUCCCUUUGCAGCUUCUGGAAGAUGAUUUGUGAGACGAACAAAUUAGAACUACUUGCCGGAAGGUGUAUGCAAGAUAGCUGAGUUUGCACCUAUAUAUAACUUCUGCAAUCUUGUCUGAUGCUUUUUCGUUCUUUGUCGUUGUUGGCUCAAGCUUGCUUAAAGUUAUGCAAAGUAUGGAAACCGCUUGGCAAUUAUUUGAAAUUUUUCUCAAUUAAUUAAAAGAUUUUAUUGUGAUAUUAUUUGUAGGUUUUGUUAGUCACAAAUGAUAACAAUGUUAAUGGCUUGCCCUUUGUUUCAGGACUUUUGGCAGUGAGUUAGCCCUCUAGUCUCCGUGCAAAGAUAAUUCAUAAGAAGCAUCAAACCUUGAGGAAUUAGCAGUUCUGUGCUCCGUAAUGUGCUGAUAAUCAUGUAACUGGCUGGUACAAGACGGAUAUAUGUUUUGUAGUGGACCAAGAGUUUGUGAUGGGGUAAUUCUAUGACUUUGGGGCUACAGUCUCAUUCGCAUGUAUCACAUUUUUUUUUAAGAUAUGUUCUUGCAUUGCUAAACUUAUUAGUUUCUUGCUCUCUGCACGCUUAUUAGUUUCUUGUUUCCAGCCUCUGUCUUGGGUAUAGUUUUUGUUGAUUGAUAGUGAAUGCAAGCUCUCAACUUGCCUUGAUAAAGAACAAGAGGAAACACCUAAUGCACACUUCAAAUGUGGCAUAAAUCUCAAGUAACUGAUUAAAUCAUGCAUAAAAAAUUUGUUAGGCUAUACAUGUGUCCUGCAUGUCCAUCAACAAUGCAAAGUAAAUGAUUUAAUUGUGGCAGCAUGCAAAGAGUUGGUGACAGUACAACUGUUUUGAAUAACUGAUUAAUCAUGCAUCCCAUUCUUAUGAGGCUAGAGAAAACAAAUGUGUGUUGUCUGAUGUGAAGGCUUAAAUACUGAUGCACCUCUCAUCUUAGGUUGUAUGGGCAACAGGUGCCUAAUAGUUUCGUGGGAUAUUGGAGAUGAACAAACUAUGAUGGUCGCAAAUGAUAUCUUGAUGCUUCAGACAGUGAAUGUGAUUAUUCAGAAGAUGAAGAAACUUCAAGUCCUAAGAAGGUGAGCACUGGAUAGUUGACGUUCCCUUAUAAUUACAAUCUUGACCCUAUAAUCUGCUUAAGUUGGCAGGAAAAGGCAAUAUUUGUCCAUCCCUAUUUGUUCCUGCUAUUGUAGCACGUUUUUGUUACCUUUUUCACUUACUCUGUUCAACUCCCGAUAAAGUUUAGCACUUAAGCUAAAUUUUCUUUUUUAUCUUAGGUGACAAAUAAAAAGGUGUUGAUGUGGGGACUUGGAUCCUCAUGUGACAAUAAAGGUUAGAAAUAUUGCUGCAUAUGACCACUAAUUAAAGGAGAAGUCCCCCAAUGUAGAAGACAGAGACUGUUUUCUUAGACAAACGCGGAAACUGUGUCCUAGUGAUAGUGACAAGUGGUGGAAAGACAAUGGGAAGUCCCACUUUAGUUGUUGCAGUACACUAGUGCCCAAAUAUAUGAUGGUUGAAUAUUCUUUCAUAGUUUAGUGCUUAGUAUAGGUAUCCAGAUCGAAAUUUUAAAUCUUCUUAAAAAGACAAAUGGAAUAAGCAAGUGUCAAAAUUAUGGGUAAAUAUUCUAUCAGAGCAAAAGUAUCUUCAUCCUUUGGUAAAAGUACUGCACAAAUGCAAAACAUUUGCUGCAGAAGCAGAUGAUGCUGGAGUUCUUCAACAACGAGUGGCUGUAGCCUGUAGGCCAAUGCACUUGUGCCAAGCGUACGUGUUCUUCCCAGUCAAUUCGAAGGCACGGACCACGUGGCCAUGGCCACAAUCCUGAGCAGCUGUCGAAGACCUGUCUGAAAUCUUAAUCAAGCGAAGCUCCAUUGAUUAGCUGAUCUGCUUGUUGAUGGUGUUGCUUUGCAUCGUUCAACAUAUAUACAAAAGCAAGGAAAAAAAAGCUGUCUGUGGCUGCUGUGCUGGGGUCCUCCAUCGCCACAAUAUAAACCUUGUGGAGAAAAGAUAGCCAACGCAGAGUGCGUGAACUCUAAAAAUUUGGCAUUUUAAUGAAUUGAGUGGCCAUGCAUCUCAAUUUUGUGAGGUAAAACAUGUCCUCUGCGUGUCUGUCAGCAAUGCAAAGCAAGCUUAAAAUCCAGCACGGUGCAAAGAGUUGGUCGAGCAGAUUUCAAUGUAUGUGUGCAUCACUGAUAGGACUGCUUGAAUACUACUGCACUCCAGAGCUUAGAUUGCAUGGUGUAGUGACAGUUCACUGAGAUAUUGGAGGUCAACAAACUAUGGCAAUCACAAUUGGAUUUCCCUGCUUGGGUUCUAGGUGAUUAUUCGGAAGACAAACAAAUUCACCACGCGCAACCGGUGGGGUUUGAUUGCGGAGUGUGCUAUGGCUGAAUUGAGGGCAUGGCGGUGGAGUAGUGGUCCGGUGGUUGCUCGGUGUUUGGUUUGUGUUCGUUGUAGCUGUUCUUUUUCCCGAUUGUUGUAUUGUAUAAUUUAAUGUGAAGGUGCAUAUCAAAUAGUUCUAUUUUGACAUAGGCACACUAUAAAUUACUUGGCUCGCUAAUAUAGAUUUUGCAACAAAUGAAUAAAAAGUUAACAAACUUUGGUUAGUGAAGACAUCUAUUUUGUGGCGACUGAGUUAUAAAUUUAUGACUUUGGGGCUAAAGUUUUUUAACUUGUUUUUUACUAAACUUUAUUUCUAUUCUUUUUUUGUCUAAACUGGUGCUUACUACUUCCUUAACAUAACUUUUUUUUGUCCCUUCAUUGUCUCAUUCUUUUCACAACAAAAAAAGCAUUUGCUUAAUUAAGGUCGAGAACAAUGGCUUAUAGAUUUUCAUUGCCUCGCCAUCACAUUAACCAUCAAGAACAAGGGAGGUUCACAGUUCACACCACCGUACCGGCCAGCUUCAGAGGUUGCUCGGACCGCAAGGCCAUCGUGCAAUUCCUCCUAGUCGUCACCGGCGCGCAGCCCCUGUCUUGUCUCCUGACGAAAGCUUGAAGUGCUACUGAUUACAAGAGGCGACAUCCACUCAUUGGAACCACUCAGCCUGUCUUGUCUCCCGACAUCAGCGUAACUGAGUGGUGGGCUGGGCUCGCUAUGGAGACCGUCGCGGUGUCCUUGCCGCGCAUGCACCACAGCGGCGGCGAGAGUGACGCGCAGGCUUGAGUUGGAGUCAUGGGGCCAUGCUUAGAAGCUAAUCUUGCAAUCAUAUAUUUUUAACUAGCCGUGCAUCCCAAUUUUGUGAGGUAAUACACGGGUUCUGCGUGUCUAUCAACACUGCAAAAGCAAGCUUGAAAUCCGGCACCGUGCAAAAAAGAGUCGGUCGAUCAGAUCUGAAUGACUCAAUAAUCACGCGUCCCAUCCUUCUUGAGACAGAGAGAGAGGGCAAUCACAACCACAUUAAACUCUAUCGCUCUCAGGCGAUAAUUGAGAAGACAAACAAACUCGAACUCCAAAGCCCUUGCUUGCAUACAUACUAAUCCUCCCCAAUCCAUACCAUAAGUAUUAGGAGAGAUUGAGGUAGAGAUUUAGUUCAUUUUCCACUCCAAUACAUAUCGAGUUUCAGACUGCCGGCCAGCUUCAGAGUUGCACGGGGUCAUCGCGCAGCCCCUAGUCGUUGACAGCACGGCAUGGCUAGCUUAGUUGCUUUGCUUUGCAGGUUUGAAAUAUAGUAUGGAUAUAGUUGUUUGCUUCAAGGACAAUAAAUGUAAACCGGAAGGACAUAUUUUUCAUAGCUGUUUUUUUUUGUCUAUCUCCAACAUCCCACAAACCUAAUUUUCUAUAGCAACCUAUCAACUAUGAUCUUCAUGGAAAAAAACAAGAACUAGAGUGUAUAUAUAAUGCUUUCAUCAGUGAAACACAGGUUAGGCUUGCAUGGGCUAGGCUAGGCUUGCAUGAGGCCCGCCCAGCCCAUACGAUUGAUUCGGUGAAACUUAAACCGAAACCGAAAAGCAUCCCAUCUUCGUGAUGGGAUUCAUGCAUAUCUCCUCCUCUACUCAGAGUACUUUAAAUAAGGAGCACAUUCAUCUCAUUUGUCUUCCAAUCUCUAUCUUCUUCGUCUAAUAACCUCUAUCAAAGUUAACUGAAAUGCUUGGAGCCAAUUUAUAAUGAGAUAUUGGAGACAAACAAAUCGUGGUAGCAGUGAUCGGUCAUUGGGCAACAAAAUAUAGACCGCAAAGUCGUUCGUUGAUGCUUGAUGUCCAAUUGAUGCGCAAAAUAAAAUUUACAGCAUUAUUGCUGCGGCACGUCUCUGUACAACCAGGAGUACAGUUUGAGUGUAGGAAAUGAAACCAAAGCACCUUCUCCAUGAUUAGGAACUUUUUCUUAUCACAAAUACUACUACUAUGAAUUAUGAACUACUUAUAACUCUCUCAUGAAGCAUUUAUAUCAUUUUAGUACAAAUACCGCAUCAUUCUAGUAUAUAAAUCCAUUUUUCCAGUUAAAUUUGGCCAGAGAAGUAGUACAAUUUUUCCACAUUCACUAGAAUUUGAAGUAUGAAAUUAGAGCUGUAGCAAAGUUUUCAUGAGAUCCAACGAAAAUUCAUGAGGAUCCUGUGUUUUGCAAACACACCACUGCAAAGUGAACACGGCUAAUCUAUUAAAAAAAUGAUUCAUUUGAAAUUUUUUAUCCAAACUGGUGAGAAGUGUAUGAUUGAUUGGACUAACUAUUCAGCCCUUUUUCAUGACAAUAUAAAUCACUACAGUUAUGUGAGAUACUAACAAAUCUGGGGCAUUUAAAUACCCUGCACCUUCUCAUAUAUACAUUCUUCACCUCUCUCUUGAAGGCAAGAGAAAACAGAACAGAGAAAUGCAUACUUGGUAAAUGGUACUGCUGCUUUCUGGGCAAUGACAUGUAAUUAAGCUUAUGUGACAUUGGAGGUAACCAACCCACAACCACAACAACAUCAUGUUUUACCAGAUAAGCAACUGCCACCGCGCUUGCCAGAGCAAUAAGGGAAGUGCAGGAUUUGCAGUGUUAUGAGCUCCUAUAGAAUCCACUGAAGUUCAGGAUCGCUGAUGCUGAUCUGAAAUACAUGAAAAGCCUGAUGGCUUCCCUUGUUCAUCAAGUUCAAAGGUUGUAAAGUUACCCAAACUAUAUGAAGCUCUUUGGGCCAUGAAUACAGAAGGUUCCUGUGCUUUCUCAAGUCCUAAUUGAUUGAUUCUUGUGUGGUUGUCACAUGUUUCGCAUAUCGUUCUUUUUUUGAACAAAAAACUUGUGUUUCAUUCUGUUUCAUCCUAAAGUCACAUAUGAGUCCAAUUGUUACAUAUCAUUAUUCAUUGUUUUCACUUGUAUUGUACCCGAUGGUUGGCCAGCAUCACGCCUCGACAUCUCUUGCUACCGCACAUGAUCCAGCAGACCCGCUGACUGGCCCUGCCGCGGCACAUCUCUGUAGGAAAAAAAAAAUAGCAGUGGGCUGGGCGCUUGGAAGAUGUAGGCAGCAGCUUCACUCAUGGAUUUCAUGGAAGGCGAUGGAGGGAGGGAGGCAUGGCAGCAGGCCCUCAAAGGUUGACGAUGGCGGUAGUGCAGCCGGGCGCCAGGGCGCCAUGUCACAAACCAAGAAACAUUUGCUAAACAGCCCCUAGAUUGCUUCACGAUUAAUAACCACGAUCCGAUAUUUACAUGUGCACGUCUACUAUUUACAAAUAACCCCCUGUUUGAAUGGCAAUUUUGGCCACAGAAGUAGUAGCAAAGUUUGUGUGAGACUUAGCGGAGAAUGAAAGGAUACAAACCCAGUGGCUGCUGAGGGUAUAUCACAGUUAAUAGAUAGAUCACGCGUUCUGCAUACGCACCAAUGAAAAUCAAUAAGGUUAGUCUAAUAAAAGAUGCGUCAAUCUAUUUUGUUUUAUUUUGUUUCCAAACGGGCAAGAAGGUGUGUGAUUUUUUUAUGAACAGGAGGGGUAGACCCCUACUAAUUAUAUAUAUUAAUUAAACACAAGUGAAAAUAAAGAAGUAUUUAAGAAAAAACAAAAGGUACAAAAAAGAUAAGCCAAAUUACAAUAGGGAGUCUAGGCGCCCGAGCGGCCGAACCGCCCACCUCGACGUCCGUGCACACGCUAGGAGCCCCCAUCCCCACAACCCAGCGCCGGGAGCCACCCCCCUCCCAAAAACCUACAGCCUGAGCAUCUUCCUAUAAAACCAAAGCCACCCCCCAACUGCCUCCCCCUCCCCAAUUCCGCCGCCACCGGGAUUGAAAACCCCACCCCCUCUCCCCCUCGGCAUCGAUGCUGGUGUGUGCCACCGCGCCACGCACUAGGUGAGGAAUCCCGCAGACACCUCUGAGCAUUGCUUCGACGUGCACCUCGCUCCUGGUCUCCAUUCCCCAGGCCGCAUAUGUGUUUUCCCCCUAGGCUCCUGACCAUCCUAAUUUCCCCCUUCCUCCACAUCUCGUCGGGAGGGUCGCAGGGGAGCGAGCGGAGAAGGACGAUGGGAUCUGCCUUGGCCACCCAUCAAUUUCUCUUUCUUUUCAAGCAGUAUAAUAUAUAAAGCAAUAAUUCCCAUCGGAGAGAGAGACAGACAGAUAUAGAGAGAGAGGGAGAAUCUGCUGGAGUGCUUCAACACAGUUUUCAUUUGCUCCUAAACAACAACGGCUAGUACAUACGUCCUUCUUUAUUAUAUGCCAAGUUGAAUACACAUCCCCUUGUCUUGUUGGGUAUCAAGAGGCAAACGUUUUUGCUCAUCUCAUCAGGCAGGGGCCUCUGACUAUACGACGACAGCACGCAAAGAUGCAAUGCAAAGGCUGCCACCUGUGGAUCAAUUUUGAACAAACAAACGCUAGUUUCCCCAUGAUGAUUUUGAAUUCAUGAAUGUGCAGUUAUGGGUAGGAACUAGAAGCAGUCAUUAGCAGAUCAAAAGGGGCAACCUGGGAGGGGCAUUCGCGUACGUGGAGCACGAUGGAGCGGCGCCCGAUGCCUGGCGAGGCAUGUGGCCUGGGCCUGUGCCGGCCUGUGCGUGUCGAGGGCCAGGCCACCUCAUGGACUCCGAUGCACAUCGGGGAGCACCCCCACGCGGCUAACUUUUUGUUGCGGUGCAGUGCAGUGCAGCGCAGGCACAGCGCAGCAGGAUGGAACGUGUCCACCCCCUAUGCUUGAAUUGGGAAGAAUUUUAUCCUCACCGGGAUGAAAUCGGGGCAAAUUUUAACCAGCCCCCCAUAAUCAUGCAUUCUCUCGUACGGUCCGCCGCCUCGUCCUUUUCCGUUGUGUCACCAGUUGGCUGACAUGCGGGGCCACAAACGUGCUGAUCUUUCUUGACUCGCAAGGCUCCCCUCCCACUUUCCAACGCGGCACCCGAGCAGCCAAAACGCCCACCUCGGCGUCCAUGCACACGCCGGGAGCCCCCAUACCCACAACCCCAGCGCCGGGAGCCCCUAUCCCCAAAACCCCACCGCCUGGGCAUCUUCCUAUAAAACCAGAGCCAGCCCCAAUUGCUUCCCCCUCCGCAGUUCUGCCGCCACCAGGACCGAAAACCUCACCCCCUCUCUACCUCGACGUCAACGCUGGUGUGCGCCAUCGUGCCACGCACUAGGUGAGGAAUCUCACCGCCACCUUUGAGCGUUGCUUUGACGCGCGCCUCGCUCCUAAUCUUCAUUCCCCGGGCUGCAUCUGUGUUUUCCCCCUAGGCUCCUGACAUUCCUAAUUUCCCCCUUCCUCCUCUUGUUGCAGGCACCUCGGCAGGAGGGUCGUAGGGGAGCGAGCAGAGAAUGAUGAUAGGAUCACGGGGAGCGGAGGAUGACAAUGGCUUCGUCACGUGCUUCGUCUCUGCACGGUGGUGAGUCGCCCGCCCCCCCUCUUUCCAACACUGGUAGUGCCCGCCUAGCUCGUUGCAGCCGGCCUGCUGGCCGUGUGCACCUAUGUAAGCUGAGACCAAACUCUAUCUUCUUUUUCCGUUCUUCUUCUGUGUCGGUGCUGCCGAGCCGAUCCGCCGUGCGUGACGCCGGCAAAAAGGUUCCGCCGCCACCUCUCCCAAUUCCGGAAACAGGAAGAUGUGUUCUAGCUUAGGGUUGUUUCUGUUUUUAUUUUCCAAACCAAAACUGAAAUGUUCUACCUAGGCGUGAAGCUAGAGCAUGGACGACCUAAGUGCACACUUCAGUAUGUAUAUGUGUAAAAAUCUAUGUCUAACCUAUACAAUGACAAAAUGAUAACGCUAAAAAUGCUUACUAGAAUGAUGUAUCUCACCAAAUAUGUAUUUGAUUAAAGUUUAUCCUAACUAAUAUUUAUAUCUUUUUUGGCUUAACUGAAGUUUAUCCUCUUUUAUAGUUUUUUGGGUUUAACUAAAGUUUAGACCACCGAUUAACUCUCUUGUUUGGUUGAGUUGGUGCUAAACUUUAGCCUUUCAAUGCAAAUAUAGUCAUAAGCCCAAAGGCUUUUGGUAGGUCUUGUCUCUUAGCUGACUAUCUGGUCUUUAUUAAUUAUACUACGUUCUACAUGUAUAUGCUAAUAAUUAGCCUCACUCACUGUUGAGAAAUCGGCUAGGAGGGAGGGAAGCACCUAUAUUUAUAGGUGCUCAUGAUCAUUGUGGUGUUCUUAUGUAGCAACUUCCACAGUCUUCAAUACAAAAUAUCCUAACUCUAUAAACCUCCUCAUCCUUAUCUAGUUCUUAUAUUUCUACCAUAUUAAAAUAUCUACUUCUAGAGUAUUCUACACUUCACCAUGAAGCAUGACAAUUAUGGUUCAUGCAUUCUCUCCAACUUUCUAGAAUCUUCUUACCUUAUCAUGAUCUUAUCCUUAUACAUGGCAAAGUUAGUCUCUUGAGAUCUCCACAAUCUUCUAGAGUGUUCCAAGUAUGCAUUGCAUAUUUCAACACUCACCCCCUACACGCACUGUAUUGAAUUAGCUGCAUGCGGCACAAGACUUGUUGGAUCAUAUAUUCAUUUCGUGUUUGACUCUGCAGCAAUUACAAGCUCCCAACCCUCACCCCGUGCCGGCCUAGCGACAUCGUGGUGUCAGUGGCCAGGACACCAAAAGGAUGUAUGCAAUUGUUUUCAUUCCUAGCCAAUAAACAAGAUGGAGUGUGUAGGAUCGGUAUGCAAUUGUUCAUUACAGUAGUAGUAGUUUAUUCUUUUUGCCAUGGAUCAAUAAAAGUAGCUAGAGUAGUCGGUCUGCAGUUAGUUGGUUUGAUUUGAGUUAACAGUUACCCACAAACACAAACCAUCUAUCUAAUUAAAGUAAAUGGUAAACACAUGCAUGGGUAGGAAUGGCGCCAAAAUGCAACAGCUCUACUCUUGCGGCAAGAAUGGCGAAGCUGUGUACAUUCUUGACAACCGUUCCUCCUCCAGGCUGCUGCUCGGUGUUGCUGGACACUGUAGACAACCCGGACCGUGGUUGUCUCUGCAGCGUCGGCGAGUACAGCGCCUUCGCGAAGCCAACCUUGGCAUCGACUCGGUGUGGAUGCUUUAUGGCACGUGCGGGGGCCGCAAGGAGGCGGUUCCAACUGCCAGCUGCUGCCCCUUCGCCGCCAUCGUCCCAAACUCCUCUGCCCCGCCAGUCGCCGCCGUCGCCUAGCUCUCCGUCUGGUGGGGUGUUGGCUAGGAUCGUGGUGGGGAGCAUCGUCGGGGGCACCCUUACGAUUGGUGGCGUGAUGUGGUUAGUGCAUAAGUGGCGGGUAGCAGGUGAAGCAGUCAAUUUUGUUAUGCAUGCUCUACUGUAUUCUCUUGCAUUGCUUUACUUUACUUUGUGGGGCGUGCAGAGGAGGUGACGCCCACUAUCAGGGGUGAAGCUAGAGCACGGAUGACCUGAGUGCACACUUCAAUAUGUAUAUGUAUAAAAAUCUAUGUCUAACCUAUACAAUGACAAAAUGGUAAUGGUAAAAAUGCUUACUAAUAUGAUAUAUCUGACCAAAUAUUGUAGGAUGAGCAUGAUUAGUGCAUCGAUAUAAAAUUAAGGGAUCGAUUUGCACCAAUUAAAACAUGAGGGACACUUCCAAAAUACUUAAGAGAUGAAAAAUACAUAUUUCCAAUAUUAUUACACAAAUUUCCCAAUUACAUGAUUUUGUAUAUUGCUCCAAUACAUCAAGUCUCAAAUAUCGAUGAAUCUUUUCUUAGUUACCUAUUUGUUGCAAUUUGCAAAAGCAAAACCUCUAAAUGCAGUCCCUAACAUUGCAAUUUAAAUGAAUGAAUCUGAAUUGGUGACCAAAGAAAUUGAAAUACUACCUUAUUACUUCAAACAAAUUGAUUUGCACCCAAAACAUUCGUGAGGAAAUUAGUUGCAUAGCAUUGAAAUUUGGAGCAAAACAAGAUUCCGGAAGGAUGUUGUAGUGGAGAGGAAUAGAAAAGGAAGCUUACAAGCAGCUUGAGGCCGUGGGCACCGAUCUGGCGAGGAGGCGUGCUGCAGCGAUCGGCAAUGAGCGGAUGAUGCCUCCCCAUCUUUUGCGACAUGCAAUUUGGAACCUGGACGAUAAAGUAUUUGCGUUUUGAGCAAUUGCAAUUUCGCAGGUGUCGUUUUUCCAACCGGGACUAAGUAAUCAGGACUAAAGGUCUCCAUCUUAGUCCCAAAUCUUUCACCCGGGACUAAAAAUCUCCUUUAGUCACGGUUGGGACUAAAGGUGUAUCCACGGACUACAAAAUUUUAGACCCAAGACUAUCUUUAGUCCCGGUUCCAAAAACAACCGAGAUUUUUGUUGAGGAUGCAAGGUCAUUUUUCUACUAGUGCAAUUCUUGCUCUUCAUGCGCGCGGUACACUUGGCUCGUAAGCAGACGAUCACUUGCCCAUCCGUGUGGGCUUUUUCUAUACAAUGCUUUGAACUGCCCUGUUUGUUUAUUGCGUUGUGCUGCCUGCAAAGAAAGUAUGCAAGCGCAGAAGCGUGGGCUAAUGGGUCGGAUGGUGGUGCACGCAUCGAAGUUCACGGAGUGCACAAGUGGUGGAAAUUAAAUUCUAAUCUCUAGAAUUUUAUUUUUUUUUCCUUAGUGCCUGUGCAUUCGGGAAGCCUAACAUGGCUUCGCCCCUGGUUCUACCGAUGCCGAUUGAAUCCUAAUUUUGGGAAUUGUUUCUAUAGACCUCCUGGAAGACGAACAGUGAUUGAUACGACAUGGACGCCGGUUCUGAAGAGCAUACCGUGCGCGUGCCGGUAUGUCUUUUGACUCGAUCUCUUGUGUUCCCUCGAUUGUGUUCCCUCUGUGGCAUGUGUUUUCUCAUAAUAACGUGUUCGUGCUUAAUUAUUGCAGCUUCUUGCACCGCGUAACGGGGAAGGAAGGGUGGCCUGCAUUCCUCGCAUUCUGACUGCAGGCAGGUUAAUGUUAAUUUGUAAUGGUUUGUCUGCCGGCACGAUGAGUGUUGCUGCAAAAAUCCAUUUACACUCUGACACACCCAUUGCUGAUUUUUUUGUUUUCAAAACCAAAUUCUCUCCGCUCUGCUUUUCUUUUCCUACAUACGUGUGCAUCAAUGCCAAAGUAUUAUCUCAAGUCAAUUUAACAGCCGAAUAUCACUAGCAGUUUUAUUUGCAGCUCUCCAAGUAAUAAGUAAGAUGAUGUGAUGUGAGACUUAGAGUAAAUCUUGGAUUCUACAGAAAUGAUGUUUUGCCAGAUUACCUGUGCGCAACCGCGUUAUCAGGGAAUUCAUGACUGUUUUUUUUCGUGAAUACGUGGAAGAGCUGUGUAUUUUUUGCAUUAAGAAGAAAUAACGUUUAGAAACGUUACAACGCCGGGUCAACUGGGCGCACGCACACAGAGUGUGAAAAUCACUUAGUUACAUUGACAAUAGCACAGGGAAUUCAUGACUGGGACGACAGGACAGACAAGGUAUGCAUGAGCGUGUUGAUGGCUGAAUAUCACUUUGUUCAUCAACAUCGAACUGUAGUAAAGAAGUAGCAGUGAACCCUGAACUAUGAUGCUGAAGCCAAUUUGCUCGAGUUCUGAAAGGAAUGGAAAGGCUAUGAACCCAGUGGAUGCUAAGGAUAAUCACAGACGGUACAAAUACAGGUCAAUUCAAUUGUCUUGCAUAUAUACUCGAAUCACUGGUCUGAGAGAACACGGUGGGUCUAAUAAAAAGUGCUACAUUUUAUCUUAUUUUGCUUAUAUAUCCAACCAAAUGGGCGAGAAGCGUAUGGUUGGUUGGAACAACUGCUCAGCCCUUUCAGAUGAUGAGAAGCUAAAUCACAAAUUUUUUGUGAGGUUCUCUAAAGACAAGACAAGACAAGAGAAGAUUGGCAAAUGAAAUUGGAGGUAGCCAAACCGGCCGCAGCCACAAUGCCAUACAAGACAAGACAAUUCAAAAUUAGCUCCUAAUUCUCUAAAGACAAGACAAGAGAAGAUUGGCAAAUGACUCAUAGCUCCUUAAGCUCAUGUGACAUUGGAGGUAGCCAAACCGGCCGCAGCCACAAUGCCAUGCUGUUUUACUAGAUAACCAUGGCCCUCGUGGUUAUGUGAGGAAUAGGGUCUUGUGUAUGGGAGCUCCAGAAGAAGUGCCAUACGUCUUGCUUGUGUUAUGAGUUUCUAAACUAGCAGCAAACCGUGGAGUAAUGUGCUCAUGCAACUUUGAAUCCUUCCCAAAGUUUUCUAAAUCAGGAUAAACCUGUUCCGCCCAUGACCAGAUUUGAUAUUCCUCCAUGAAACAACAUUAUUGGGAAAAGAAACAUCUUUCUUGUAUAUGGAAUUUCAGAGAUUUCGUGUUGCUACUGUCACAUGAGUCCCUUCGGCAAUAACAGAUAUCUUGCUAGAUCUACCGGUGUGAAAAAUGCCAGGCAGCGCCAUUUGGCCUGAGCCGCCUCGCCGUGUAGUAUCCAAUCUGUUGCUAUCAUCCCUCGCCAUCUCUUGCCACCACACGGCCUCCUCCACCCGCCAGUCAGCCCUGCUGCGGCAACAUCUCCAUGUAGAAGGGUGGUGGUCAGGGACCGGGGCGGCGGAGCGAUUCAUUGGUGGCAAGCUCUGAAAAGUCACCGGUUGCAGCACGACCUAGCUAUGUCGCUGAUCAGAACAUUUACAAAAAAAAAAAUAGCCCCAAGAUUGGACCGUGAAUAAUAAUCGCGAUCCAAUAUUUUCAAAUAGAACCUCGUAGUUUUGCAUAUGACCUCAUGUUAAUGUUAAUUAAUGGACUUUCAAGCAUACAAGAACUUGUUCAUAAUGACAAAAAUUGAUUACUUCACUCCCUAGAAUAUUUGUACGGCCUGUAAUUUUCUAAUCUAGCUUUGAAGAGUUAUAUGUUCUGCCCAAAUCACGUCAAAGGUAACAAGAUUGUUGAUUUCCUAAGUCUAGACCAAAUGGUUAUGUUUAACUAAACAAACAAACAAAACCACAGGUACAGUUUGUGUGUAGAAAACCAUAACACCUAGGAACACAAUUCCCAAUAUUUCCAACUGAUUAACUCUCUUAUGGAAGCAUCUACAAGAAAACACAUAAUUAAAGUAUUUUCCAUUUCCUUGAACACAUGCAUAUUCCCUAUUGAAAAAUCAUCAACCUUGAUUUUGGCCACAGAAGUAGUACCAUCCAUGUUCACAAGUAAGACAAAAAGCUACGAAAGCUUAAGUUUGCAUGUGACCUGAGGAGAAUGAAAGGAUACUUCAUUUUAUUUCUAUUUUUUGAUAUGGCCGAUAAGUGUAUGAUUGAUAGGACUCUUCAGCCCUUUUGAAUGACAAGAUAACUCACUGAAAUUUGUGGGGUACUAACAAAAACUGGGGCAGUUGAAUAGUCUGCACUUUCUCAUAUUCCUCACCCCUCUAAAGUCCAAAGACGAGAGAAUAUAGAAGUGAAGACACAAGGUAAAGUGCUAAAUGCUUUCUCGGCAGAUGUGAUAUUGGAGGUAACUAAGCUUAUGUGAUAUUGGAGGUAACUAAAUCGCAUAGCCACAGUAACAUAAUGUUUACCAGCUGAUCAAUACGCAACGGAUACCAACGUUUCUCGAGAAAUCAAGGAGCCAUUACGUUCAUCAUAUUAUGAUGUCCUAAAGUGUGCAUAAAAACCGGAAUUGCAUUAAAACUUGAUGGCUAAAGCUAGCUUCUUCAAGUUCAAAGGUUGUAAAGCAGCAGUUAAAUAAGUGUGCACUGAUGUACUCAAUCUUUGAGUCCUUCUUAGAGUUUCCUAGCAUCCAGCUCUUACCGGUCAAUUCAAUUUCAGCUUGUUCACCUCCUCCAUGCUAAUUAAUCUCUCUCUUUUUCUAUUUUUUUCUCUUUCUGUAAACUUCGACAAGAGUUUUAAUUUGUGGUGCUGGCGGGUUGCUAUUUGAUCCGAAAUUCAUACCUGAAUUAGUUCUCGUGAUUUUGUUCUUCAGUGGAGAUGAAAACAAAACACAAAGAUUGUAAGAUUGAAACAACGAAUCGGUAGGUGAAAAAAAAUGCUUUUUUGCGGUCGAGAAGGAUAGAGACUUCCGCUCGGCAAUGCAACUGGAUCAGGAUCACCGACGCGGAAACUUUCCCAUUGCCUCUCUGCAUUUUCUUCAACGAAAUUAAUCGAUCUCUGCUCUCUAUUCUGUUUUUCAUUUCCUAGAUAGAUGCUUGCGUGUCAUUGGUUCAUCUUACGUUCAUCCAGCUACUGGUUCCUUGAGUGAUUAGUGCUGGCCUGCUGGGAGCUGCAGCUCCUCGAGUAGUAAUUGAUUGAAAUUUGAAACCUGUGUGGCUGUCGAAUGUAAUCGACAGAAAUCUGAAACAGAGUUCAGGCAAAAGGUUUCAGUUGCUGCAGUACCUGCACAUCGUUAUUGGAGCUGCACUAGUUCCUCGAGUAGUAGUUGAUUGAAAUUUGAAACCUGUGUGGCUGUUGAAUGUAAUCGACAGAAAUUUGAAACAGAGUUCAGGCAAAGGUUUCAGUUGUUGCAGUCCUGCGCAUCGUUAUUGGAGCUGCACUAGUUCCUCGAGUAGUAAUUGAUUGAAAUUUGAAACCUGUGUGGCUGUUGAAUGUAAUCGACAGAAAUUUGAAACAGUUCCUGGACAUCAUUAUUUUUCCUCUCUGCUAAUGAAUAUGAAUCAAUGGGUGAUCUGAAAACCUCAAUUGUGUGCUUAUGACCCAGCAGUAAUCAGUUCGUUUGUUCUGCGUUUCUGCGUGUGUACCAAAGCAAGGAUGGUUGAUGCCUCAGCUGUUUCAAGUGACCAACUAAAAGUCAUCUCAACUGCGUGAUCCGGCAUCAGAUUAUUAUCUCUUCCACAAUUGGAGAUCUUAAAUACUACCCGCACGGUCUCCUCUCAUAUGUAGUGUUGGUUCAGCCAAUGUUUAACAACAUACAUGAGAUAUGGGAGGUAAACAAAUCGUAAGCAAAUCGUGCCAAUGCUUAUGGAUUUUUCCGAAACAGAAGAAAACAGAGCAAGAAAGAUACCUGAUCGGACUCUCCAAACUAACCCGGAUCGGUGAGCUGGAGUGUUUCUCUUUAUCUCCAAAACUUUGAGAUUGAAAGACAUACAAAUUGCGUCAGCAUCUUGCUGUGUCAACUAUCAAAGUUUUGGUUAGCAUAAAAGAAACUAAUCUUAGCUACUGACACACUGGUCAUCGAUCGACAAGGUUAUGAGGUGCUAAAGAGUCCACUGGAAUUCAAGUUAGCUCAAGAGAAAUGUAUCAGAAGCUUGAUGGCCAAACAUCCGCGUUUCAUUGAGUUCAAAAGUUGUAAAGCAGCAGUUAACUGUGGGGUGAUGCACUGAUCCACUCUUGCAUUUGAACUUUGGAUGUCUAGUUGUGCACAUCCUCCAAUCCUAAUUAAUUUCUAUUUUUCUAAACUUAUGGGAGUUUUAUGUGGCUACUGUUUGAUCCAAAAUUCAGACCUGAAUUAGUUGUCAUGAUUUUGUUGUUCAGUUAAUAUGAAAACAAAAUGCAAAGUGUGCAGAUUGAAAGAGUGAAUUGUUAAGUGAAAAGAAUUUUGCUUUUAGCAGCCUGUGGAGAAGAACAGAGACUAUUGAAAUUGACAAUUGCUCUCUGCUUUUUCUGAAUGAAACUGACAAUUGCUCUCUGUUCUGCUCUUUUUUGCAGAUACUUGCGCUUGUCCAUGUAUCAUCUUACGUUCAUUCAACAAUUGACGAGCCCUUAAAAAAAGAGACUACUGACGAGCACUGUGUGGGCGUUGCUUGGGUAGUAAAUUUUUGGAGCUGCAGUUUCUCAACAGUAAUUGAUCGAAGUUGUCGAACGUAAACGAUAGAAAUUAUUUCUUCAGAUUCCUCAAUAAAGAUUUGUUCUGAACUUUCAGGCCCCUUCCUUUUGAACCAGAAUUCAGACAUAGGUUCAUGGUUGUUGUUCUUCUCUGCUAAACUAGAAUUCAGACCCAAACUGUUUGUCGUGAUUUUGUCAUUAGUAAAGAUGAAUUAAAACUGCUUUUAGAGACUCGCCCGCUCGACAAUGCUACCGAAGCGGAAACGCCAGCCAGCAGCGCCGCCGUCGGCCGGAGUCGCCUCGCCGUCUCUCGCCGCCGCGCGGCGCGGUGUCCUCGACCUGCCGGCCGGCGCUGCCGCGCGCGAACCAUCUCCGGAGGAGAAGGGAGGCGGCGGGGGGCGCGUGGGAUGCCGGCGGAUACGGAGGAUUGGCGCUUGGCUGCGGGGGUAACGGAGGUCACCGGCGGCGGCGCGACGCCGCGACCUCGCCGGCCGGAAAAUUAAACAUCGGCAAAACUCGCGACCCAAAUAUUUUACCAACAGGCCCUUCACAUUUUUCAAAUGACCCCCUAAUUUGGAUCGCGACUGUUAAUUACGAUCCGAAUAUUUGCAUAUACCCCCUUAAAUAUUUGCGUGCAGGUCCCUGAUCUGGACGUUUCAUCUUCCUGCCCGUCCGCCGUCGCCCCCACCGGCCCCGCCGCCAUCCUCCCUGCCGGAAUCACCAGGCCACAUCCUCCUCCCGUGAUCCGUGGCCAUCCGAGAUGGAUCGAGGGCUCGAGCGAGCAGCAGCGCACUGACCUUAACGAGGACGCCGGCCAUGGCGUCGUCUUCCCGCACCACGGCCGUCGGAGCCUGUGCCACAGCGCGGCCGCCGCCGGCGACGGUGGUGGAUGCGGAUGCCUCUCCAUGAUCGAGUGCCUGAAAGAACGCUAGCUGGCACCUCACUGUUGCUGCAAACCAUCCGUGCACACUCUGACGACACUCGCGCCAUCCAUUGCUUCUCUGCAUUUCUUGACGAAACUGAUCGAUCUCUGCUCCCUACUCUGCUUGCGUGUCCUUGGCUCAUCUUGCGUUCAUUCAACUACUGGUUAAAAAAAAUCAUCUUGCUGUUGUUUUUUUCAUGCUUACAUGAACACAAUUAGGAGUUAGGACCAAGUUGAAUCCAUUCAUUUGAUCUGCAAGUGUACCAAAGCAAAGGAGCAGCAGAUGACGAUUGACACCUCAGCUCUUUCAGAUGACUGAACUUUAAAAUCAUCCCAAUUUUGUGAGGUGAGAUGAGAUAGCCUCCUCUCUGCUUGAUGCUCUUAAAUAGUACCAGGCAUCAUCUCAUUUUAUCUACAAUCUCACUAGAGUGAGUGCAGUGAAAUGUUGGGCAUGGGUAGCUCAGCACUUACUUGACAUAUUGAAGGUAAACAAACCGUGCUGGUGUUGAUAGUUUCUUUGCCAUUGGGAUGGAAAGGCAAAAGGUUGGUUGCUGAGAAACUCUUCAAAUUAUCUCUGAUAUGCAUGCUGAAUGUUCUCUCUUGCUCUCCAAAAUUGUCAACUUCAAAUAAUGAUGGCAUCCAUGAUAAUGGUUGGAUUUUUUUUUCAGACAUUUAUGAAACCAUAAUAGAGUGGCUUGCCUUUAGGACAAUAAUUUUAUAAAUGGAUUUUUUUUCUUCUCUCAUCUUUGCUACUAUUUUUAUUUGCCAUGUACAUCAGCUUGCCUUUGGGACAAGUUCCUCCUAUUUUAUUUACUGUGUGCGUCAACUUGUUCUCUUUUCUAACUCAAUGAAACAGCUUGCAUCUCCUUAAAAAUGAUAAACAGCAAUUGGGGAUUGUGAGGGAAUUGUUCUCUUGAGGGAAUUGGGGAUUGUGAGGGGUAAACGGAUGCUAAACCGGACGCUUGAGAUUGGGCGGCUCGGAGGUAGAUGAGGAUCUCUCUUGGUAAUUCUUACUUCCUUCAUUUAACUCUUACAUCUCCUCUCUUUAUAUAGAGAGGUUUACUUGGCUGCGAAGCAAGAGAUCUCUAAUUCUAUCUCUAACUCUAACCCUAAUGGAGGCCCAAUAGGCCCAUCGUCAGCCCAGCCGACUGCCCAUGACAUUCAAGCACAUAUAAAACAUCUCUUUCUAAUCCUUUCUCUUUGGAUGUGAUGGAUAUGCACUGAUAUUUAACCUUUUCGAUACAAAUGAAUAAUCAUUUUACAACAUUGGGUUUGCGUCUUAACCCGCAAAUUUUAAAAUUGAAUACCUAACUUACAAAAGUUUAGUUUAAUUGUAUCUUUCUAUGCUCCUAAUGCCUCCAAUUCUUCACAUGAUGUUGAUUUCCUGUCCUUUACCACUAUUCUUAAUCCUAGUAUAGGCUUGUCUUAACUGAAAGCAGUACUAAAAAUGUCGAUAGUAAUGCUGUACUGAAAGGUUAAGUUCCUUCAUGCGGUGAAGUUAACAUUUCUAGUAUGAAAUUUUGGCUUCAAUCUUAUUUGUUCUCCUUAUACAGUCACUGCCUCACUGAUGUGGCCUAUGCCCAAUGUAUUCUCAGCCAUGGACAAAGGCAACACAACUUCAUAAGCCUCAGAUAUUACAUGGUGUGUGAUCAUACAAGACUCACCCCUGCAAUUGAGAUUCAAGAAUUGUGCAACUGUUUUCUUUUUACUUUCCAGCACAAUUACUUCCACUAUACUCUCCUAUAUAUACAUUAUAUGGCUUAAAUAAUCAUUACAUGGAUCAAAUACAUAUAUCCACAAUCCCUAGUUGAAGUACACUACUUUGCCGCCAUAAGCGUUUUCUGUGUGCGGAUAUGAAAACCAACACUAUCAAAUAUAAAAAGGAAAAUCCACUACCUUUGUUUUUCAGGCUGUAUAAUUCCAUAAACUUAGAGAGGAAAACACAACAAAAACUAUCCAAAGGAUCAUGAAGUACACUGAUGUUAUCCAAGCCCACAGCCUAGGGCCUCCAAGCUCAGCACCAAUUAUAAUGCGACGUAGAACCAAAACAGUGAUGCAGCCAAACGAAGUCGCGAAGAAGACUAGAAGGGAGAAGCUCAGACCAGCAGCAUUGUCUAUGUACAGUGGUUCCCGGUAGACAAAGAAGUUGUACACUGUGUCGAUCAACCAUGGAACGCCAAUGCCAACAUAUAUGUUCACCGAGUUACUGCAACAAGGGACUUUGUCAGGUUCAUUCAGCUUCGAUUUGAGGGAUUGUUUUUUUUCUAAAAAGAAGGAAUGUGUAGAACUGAUUUGAGAAGACAUGUGCAGAAAUGAACCUGCAAGUGAUGUUGGCUAUAGCAGAGUCUGCGGUGACUUGACGCUCGGCAGCUAUCUUGCUCGCAACUAGAUCUGGCCAUGAGGUUCCAGCUGCUAGUGCUGUGAAUGCUAUAACAUAUGGACUUACUCCUGCACAGAAAAAUAUUUUUUCUUGUCAACAAUUGCAGCCACAUUUUGGUCAGAAAGAUUGAAGAAUGAAAUUUGUUCAGGCCUGUAGGGGUAUGUUCUAACCUGUGACACAACUUAUUUGAUCUGUAAGCUUAGUAACACCAUAGGCAAUACCACUUAUGAAAAUCAGGGAGCAUAUAAAAGCAACCCAGCCGUGUGCGAUGUGAUAUGGGGGUACAAAAGCAAAAAACAGUUUCCAGGGUGCAAUGAGCAAGUUCCAAAAUAUUCUGAUGAGCCUCAGGCAGACGGAUGCCAUCUUCCUUGACUCAGGGCUCUCCAACUAGAUAGGUUAACCAAAUAAAUUAGUAAAUCAAAUAAAACCAAAGAAACUUCCUGCAUGUGUAAUUUAAUGUAAGCAAUAGAGAUUGCCAGAGAUAAUAGAUUGAUUAUAGGAGAUACAGGAGUACAUGUAUAUAUAGGCAAUGAGCCCCCCGGAUGACUUGUGGAAACAGGAUCACCGGGGGGAGAUAUUGCCUAAUCCUAACCAACCAAGAGAUAAGCACGGCCUAGGGUUGGCUGUGCCCAGGCGCAAGGCCUGAUUCCCUAGAGAGCACACACGAUGCACAUAUACAUGCUAACAGUUAAUAUUGGUGCACAUUGAAGACUGACAAAAUUGCUAUUGUUUAGACACAAAUCUUAUUGAACUUAAGAUGCAUUUCAUCCAGGCUAUCUGCGAAAUAGGAUAUUAAAACUAAUUUCAUCAUAAACCAAAGGUAGUGGAUGACAAAUUUACAAUGGCAGCACAUAUAAAUUACUUUUCCCAAUUGUUUGCCAUAAAAACAAAACCUAGAACAUACUUCAUACUUUUUAUACUCUGUUUGUUAUGCUGACAGCAAAAUAUGUAUUAAAAGUUUAGCCCAUUUAUCCAAUAACUAAAAUAAGUAUUGUGGCAGGAGACAGAUGCAACAGUAGAAAAAAAAACUGCAGAAUAUUCACAGGUAGAACAACAGUAAAUUAAGUUACCAUAAAAGCAUCGACAAAUUGUUGCCACCAUAGAGAACGCCAGGACGUGUCCUCUCGUGUGUUCUUCACAAAAUUAUUCAUUGUUGAUGAGCACUCCAUAUCAUUUUCAGGGACUUUAUGAUACUCUAAGUGUCCAAAACAUAGAAGGAAUUAGUUUCAAAAUUAUAUUCCCUACUGUUCCCCCUAAAGAAACAAAUAUAAGGAACUAGUUUCAAAACAGUAUUCAUUGAAUAUUAUAAUAUUCCCCAUGACAAUAAAGAUACUUCAAACUUCCACCAGGGGGGCACUCAGAACAAUACUGUAAUGAAUGCAACAUUGCACAUAACUACUAAGAUGCUAAUUACCCAGAAGUAAUUGUAAUUGUAAAAAUUAACCUUGGAUCAAAGAUAUUUGCACAAGAUAAGUAGCACUUCAGUCAGUCCUUAAUUCAAUCCCUUGCACUCUAGUUGUGACAAUAUCACAGCCUGUUUAGUAUGCACUAUAAAGAAGCAGGAAGUUUGUACCUGCAUUAUGGUAGGAAUGCCCAGAGAAUAUAUCCACAAUGUCCUUAUCAGAGCUUCCAGGGAGAAUCUCACUAGUUUCAUUACAGUUGUCAUAAUCAACUGAAGCGCCUUCUUCUGGAACCCAAUCUUCAGGUCUGUCACCUCUCACCCUGAUUGCAACAAAUUGAACUACAAACAUAAGUGAUGUGUACACUUAACUUGUACAUGAUCAUAGGAGAAGUUAGCGAAGGAAAGGUAGUACUUGGGGAACAGGAUCAUACAAAGGGAUCGACACAUAUGGCCACCGUUUGUCUUGUGCAUAUGCGUGAAGCAGAAGCAAUCCAUACUGCAAGACUGUCAGCAAGGCCUCCCAGACGGUGAUUACUUUAGGUGUCCAGACCUUCAUGCAUUGUAAAGUACUCAUUAUUACUACAUGUCCUUGCAUAUCAGAACUAUGCAUUCAGUAGGAAAUUUUGAACAUUUUUGCUACCAGUAUCUCUUGAAUAUCUAAUUCAACAUAUGAAAAUGAUGUAUGGAAUCGCCUUCAACCUUUUUCAUUGAAACUUAUAAUGGAAAAAAUUAGAGGUCAAUGUCCAAAACAUUGCCUAUUUGAAACCGGAGGCAGCAUAAAUAUGGCAUACCUCUAAGAUAACAUACAGCCAAAUGUAUGCCCAGAAAGACCAGAACAGCUCAACUAGCCAAACGCCCAAGUCUGUGAUCUUUUUCUUAGAGCCCGCCUUUGGCAUAAUCACACAGACAGCAUGGAUUGGGAACAUAUCAAAUGCAGCAGAACCCACGAGAGUGCCCGGACCUAGACCUGCGAAUAAAAAUAAUACCAUAUUAGAUAGUGGGCUACACCUUUUUUUUUCUGAAGAACGACGCACAAGAUAGUGUGCUACACUUCAAUAUUAUUCUAAUGCAAAGGUUCACCGUAAUCAACUAAUCACUAUAUAUACCUCCUGCUGUCAGCUGGCCCAGAUUACGGAUUGCGUCGAUUGUAGCCAAGGAUAUCUGUGGAAAGCUGGUGCCGAAAGCAAGGAGGGCGAUGUCCGCAAUCGUGUAGUUCCACACCUUCUCUUGCUUGACAACGGGGGCGUUCGUGUGCGGGUCUACGCUGACCACCUCCCGGGAGUGCUUCAUGAUCUGCUCCAUGGAUUUGAAGAACCGAGCGGUGAUCGCGGACAGGCCGAUGAAGCAGUAUGCAAGCGCAACGGUGUAGAGGGAGGCGCGGACGCCGCCGGAGAGCAGGGUCUCGCCAUGGAACAGCAGGUAGGUGCCCUCACAUGCAGAUGAUGGGCCUGACAUCAGGAAGACCGAUGCAGCCCCAAGACCGGAGCUUGAGAAAAUAUUCUCCUAGCUAGCUGCUACUCCCUGCUGCAACACAAACAAAAGGCAAAAUUGCCAAGAAAAUUGCGAACUGAUGAGCAGUACAAGUGGCAUAAGGGUCAUGGGGAAAUCUGCAGAUUCAGAGGACUGAAGGACAUUGGGGUGUCAGGAGGGGGGAACGCACCAGUGGUUGAAUCGACGACCGGAUCCCCCACGAACCACGGCGGCGCGCGCAACCAGGCCGCCGGCGUGCGUGGUUGCCUUUCGUUUCCUCCGCGCGGCGGCGCCGCCGCCCCCGCUGCUCUGCUCUGCUCUGCUCUCCUCUCCGCCCCGCCGCACAGACUCUGCUGCGGAUUGGGGAUGAAAACCCAAAGGGGUGGGGGAAGGAAUUGAGGAGGAGCCCGCCCAAGACUGCGGAUCGAGGCCGGGAUCGAAUCGGUUGGUAACCGGGGGGAGAAAAAAACUGCAUUUUUAUACACACGGCAGAGAUCCUCCCUCCCUCCCUCCCCCACGUCCUCCAUGGGGACGGAAAAGAAACCCACCCGCCAACGAAACAGCAGGCCCCACAUGAGCCAUCGCAGCCACGCGUUGAACGACAGCUCAGCGUGUGACGCGCGAGCAGGGUACAGCCACACACACACAGUGAUUGCAGCAGCCACGCAUUGAAACGAACGCGCGAGGAGGAAGGAGGAGGAUGCAUGGCGCCGGUCAGUCCGCGCACAGUACCUGUCGAGGUCAGCCGACCGCCAUCUUAAUUUUACGUCCACAUGUUCCACGUGUACGUUUAUUUUAUUUAUUUUAUUUAUUUAUUUAUUACGAAUGGGCUAGAAAUACACUUUGUUUCGAAGGAAAAAAAAGAAUAGGAAUACACUGGACUAGUUACAUGGCAGCUACUCCUACCAAGCAUUCUCAUUCUGAACUAGUAGUAGCUACGUGGCUCGUUUCAGUGCGCAAUGCAAGUCGUUCUUAUCUGCAGCUCGAAAUUGAAUGUAUGUUCCCAGCAGGAACUAUCCCAACCGUCCAUUUUUCCUCUGUAGAUCGGCACCGCACUCUCUCUAUGAUUGGCUCCACCGACGGUUGGUUCGGUCGCCGUGGCCGGAGGAAUCGGCGGCAGCCAACUCGCCGCCGAGAAGGUCGGAUCUGGAUCUGCAGCGUGGCAGGCGCGUGACUGACCGAACAAAGAACAGCCACUGCAGCUCCUGUGUUCGACAGAGGAGGCUGAUCGGCUGCCCCCGUGCUUGUUUGCGUCGCCGGGAAGGUCGGAUCUGGAUCUGCAGUUUAGUUCAGUCUUGAUUCAGUUGCAUGCUCACAUCUAUUUCUACGCUUUUGUUUGCAGUCCAUGUUUACCCAUUUGCUAGCAAUGUAUAGAUUCAGUCAGCGACUUUACAAGCAUAGAUCCAGCCAGUUGUUUUGCAAUAUGGAUUCCUCAGUCAGAUCAAUACUAACUCACAUCGCUCCAGCUUGUUAAGUAAGUUGUUUUUUUUUUCAGUAUGCUAGGGUAGGUUUCAUAAUUGUAUCCCUUGCUUUUUACUUAAUCAUCAUGGAAUUUAGUGACUUAAUCAUCAUGGAAUUUAGUGUCGUAACGAAGGAUUGGGAAGGGCGACCAGAAAAUGGUGAAUGCAAUCUUUAAAAUUCUCUUCAAGAAUAAGGUCUAUAUCCCUAUUGCCACCCCAAUCAUACCUCGCUUAUAAUCGCCAAGAUGACACACGUCAACUCGUGAUAAAUUCACCUUAGGAAUGACGAAACGCAGUGGAAGCAGACGCAAAAUGAGACUCUGAAAAGCUUGCACAGGAGAUUAAGCAAAGCUACUACUAAACGAUUAAUUAACUAACCAAAGAUUAGUAGCAGCAAGCACUAGAGUUUGUAAAGAUACAGAACUCGAAUGCAUCAUUAUUCACUUAGAGAGGCAAGUACAGUACAAGCUUGUACAAGAUUAACAAAUUAACAAUUGCUAUGCAACAUUGAUCCCUGUAGCAGGAAAGUGACAGUUCAUGGAAAAUGAUUCUUCUCUGAAUUAAAUAGACAAAAGCCUUGCUGCUCCUCUGCUUACCUGCUCAGAAGUGCCGAGCUUGAGCUGCAGGAGACCGUUGGAAUGAGCUGCGCUGCUUGGGCCGCUGCUGGCUCCGCAGGCCGCGUCAACGAGACGCUGGACCGGCAGCUGGCGUGCAGCGAGCUGGGCCAGCCGAGCGAGCCGGGCCGCCUCACUCCUGGCUGGGCCGCCUCCCAGCCUGGUGCGUCGCUGGCCUGGACCGAAGAAGCCCCACGCCUGGGCAGCUGGGCUGCUAGUGCUGCAGCUGCCUGCGUGCAAGGCACGUGCCGGCAGGGUCGCAGCCACCCGCGUGCCAGGCGCGUGACGGCAGCAGCAGCGCCUCGCUGCUUCCCCGGCGCGAGCUGGUCAACUGCCCCCUUUGCCUGCGCAAGAACAGAGGAAGGGAAACAAGAGCGCGAAGAACACGUCCAACUUCAACCGAAAAAUACUCCCUCGAUACUAAGGCCUUGUUUAGUUCCCAAUUUGGGAGUGGUAAAAUUGGCAUUUUGCCAUAAAUGCGCAACUGUAGCAUUUCGUUUGUAUUUGUGAAAUAUUGUCCAAAUAUUGACUAAUUAGGCUUAAAAGAUUCGUCUCGCAAAGCACAACAAAACUGUGCAAUUAGUUUUUAAUUUUGUCUACAUUUAGUAUUCCAUGCAUGUAUCGCAAGUUUGAUGUGAUGGGAAAUCUUCUUUUUGCAUAGUGCCAAAGUUGGAAAUUUGGGAGUAACUAAACAUGGCCUAAGCGGAUUCAAACGAAACUUGAGUCAGCACCUCCUCAAGAGCUAAUAGAUCCAAAGAAAAAUAUCUCGAAAGCUCAAAUAUUCAUCGCGGAUUUUGAACAAAACCGAAUGCCCUUCACAAAGCUUAAUUUGUAGAGAACUUCAAAUUCACGCCGAAUCCGUGAGAAAUUUGAGUGGGCAUCAUAUCAAAAUUGCUCACAAGCAUCCUAGCAACAAAAGCCUCCAACAAAUUUUACCGGAUUCGCAGCCAAACACGAAGAACGAAAAAUCCCAAAAAUACCUUCGGGAAAACACAAAAAUUUAGGAAUCUCAUAUCUUGAGAGGAUGGAAAUAACUGAACAUGAAUUUGAUCUUUGGAUUACUCCACCAUAUUCGGUUACAAGCCACUCCUAACCUACUCAGAGCUUUGGAUGGUAAAAAGAUCACAUCAAAGAUCUCUCAUCUCUCUUGCUCUCUCACCUACCAAAGGCUGGGUGCCCCAACAACCACUCCUUAUAUAUAUAUAUAUAUAUAGGCAUUUGGUAAAUGUUAAAAUACUCUUACAUAAAAUAUACAACACAAAUACUUCAUAUGGGUAAAACCGUCUAACUUUUUGUCGUACAUCGAACAGACCUAGCGCCUUCACAACUUCGCUCACCUCGACGCAACAUUCGUGAUGGUGCCACCCAUCCUUCGACUUGACGCUGUCCGGCCGGCCGGGCUGGCCCCCCCGAUUUUGAGGUCAGAUCGGUCAAACCCUCCUGCACACCCUGCAAGGCGUGACUUACCAAUGUUGGUGUGUGUCCGGCCUCCGCCAAGCCUUUAAUACCUUCAAGUCUUUCGCUCCCGCUCCCGGGCCACCAACUCGACUUGCCUCCAUCGCGCUUGACUCGGCCGAUGCCUUCUCCAUCCCGUCCAUAUACUCUUGCUCUUCCGUGUAACAUGUGGAUCGCUCAUGACUCCAUUCGGAUUCCUCACAUCCCUUGAUCCAAACCUACUCGUGUUCACCCUUCACAGCCUAGUACAUCGGCAUGAACCUUUCACUUGACCUUUACCUUAUAAUAGAAAAAAUUAGAGGUCACAUAUGCGCUUUUGAAAACUGUGUCAAUGUCCAAAACAUUGCCUAUUUUUGAAACUGGAGGCAGUAUAAAUAUGGCAUACCUCUAAGAUAACAUACAGCCAAAUGUAUGCCUAGAAAGACCAGAGCAGCUCAACUAGCCAAACGCCAAGUCUGAGAUCUUUUUCUUAGAGCCCGCCUUUGGCAUAACCACACAGACAGCAUGGAUUGGGAACAUAUCAAAUGCAGCAGAACCCACGAGAGUGCCCGGACCUAGAUCAGCUGGCCCAGAUUACGGAUUGCGUCGAUUGUAGCCAAGGAUAUCUGUGGAAAGCUGGUGCCGAAGGCAAGGAGGGCAAUGUCCGCUAUCGUGCAGUUCCACACCUUCUCUUACUUGACAACAGGCGCGUUCGUGUGCGGGUCUAUGGUGACCACCACCCGGGAGUGUUUCAUGAUCUGCUCCAUGGAUUCGAAGAACCGAGCAGUGAUCGCUGAUAGCCCGAUGAAGCAGUAUGCAAGAGCAACGGUGUAGAGGGAGGCGCGGACGCCACUGGAGAGCAGGGUCUUGCCAUGGAACAGCAGGUAGGUGCCCUCACAUGCGGAUGGAGGAUCGGCACUGCCCAUCACAGUGCCUGACAUCAGGAAGACUGAUGCAGCCCCAAGAGCAGAGCUUGAGAAAAUAUUCCUAGCUAGCUGCUAGUCCCUGUUGCAACACAAAAGGCAAAAUUGCCAAGAAAACUGUGAACUGAUGAGCAGUACAAGUGGCAUAGAGGUCAUGGGGAAAUCUGCAGAUUCUCAGUGGACCGAAGGACAUUGGGGGGGGGGGGGGGGGGGGGGGGGCGGGACAGGAACGCACCAUUGGUCGAAUCGACGACCGGGGAUCCCCACGAGCCACGGCGGCGCGUGCAACCAGGCCGUCGGCUUGGUAGCCUUUCGUUUCCUCCGCGCGGCGGCGCCGCCGCCCCCGUUCCUCUGCUCUCCUCUGUCCCCAGUCUCCAGUCCGUCAGCUCAGCGUGUGACGCGCGAGCAGGAUGCAGCCACACUGUCGUCCCCCAAGAAAAGCGACUGCAGCCACGCAUUAAACGACCGACAGCUAGGCGUGCGACGCGCGAGCAGGAUGCGUGGCGCCGGUCAGUCCGCGCACCACCUUUCGACAUCAGCUGACCGCCCUUUUAUUUUACGUCCACAUAUUCCACGUGUACGUUUAUUUAUUACGAAUGAAAUAGAAAUACACUGAUAGUCACAUGGCAGCUACCAGCAUUCUGUGCGUGGCUUGCAAGUCGUCCUUACGGACUAUCCCAACCGUCCAUUUAGUUAAAUAGAAAAAUGUUUAUCCCUCCCGCUAAAAUGGAAUGGUAGAAGAGCUGUGCUUAACAGCUCGCAACUACUAGUUAGCUCACUGGAUCCUCGUAAUAGUUAAGCCUGGUAGAAGCUAGAUCACUGUCUUUGAUUUUUUAAGGAAACCACCGGCGGAGUACUAAGAGAUUCAAGACAUACUAAAUUUGUAAUAAUUCUGAACCUUUAUGUUAAUGGAAAAGUUUAUUUUUAAAUUUUCACCUAACACUAUAUUAUUCAUUAUUUUAAUCCGUGGCGCAUGGUGACAACUCCUCAAGAAACGCAAAGGUGGUGCAUUCAAAGAAAAACUUACGUGGGACAAACUUCCCGGUACAUAUGAAGUUUAUUUGAACAUUUUGUACAUUCUAUAUCACGAAUAUUUCAUAACUUGUUUCUUUCCCCACUGAAGUGCUUAAGAUAGGAACAAGAGAAUAAUCUAUGUGGGUACUACGUCUAUAAGAACAUGCACAGUUUUGUGUCACACAAGAUUGGUCGCAGCAGGAAAAUAAGUACGUAAAAUAAAACUAUUAAUAGUUAAUUUUUUUCUAGCUCCUUAUGUUUAAUUGUUCGUGCAACAUUAUUCACAUAUUUCCAAAUUACAGAUGCAUAAUAUUCAAGGCAAUAUCUUGGAGAAGAAAAGAAUAGAGAAAAUAUGUGAAAGUCUCGUAGGAUUCCUAGUGGACGAGGUGAUAAAUCCACAAGGAGAAUUUCAUUACGAUGGAUGAAAUUAAGAAGCACCAAGCAACACCUCGACGGAAAGAUCCUAGGAAUGAAUUGUAUAUAUACUAAGAAUUGUACAUAUAUAUAGUAAUUAAUUAUAUAUAUACUAAGAAUUGUACCUAUACUAAAAAUUGUACAUAUAGUCAUUGUAUAAAUACUACUUUGAUUUGUUUAAAUAUUAGUUUGAUUUCAUUAUAUAAAAACCUCUCAACUACUAAAGGUUAAUUAAAGGGGUACGUGAUGCAUGAAAUUACAGGCGCCAUGCAGACGCUUGCAUGGCGCCUGUAAAUUUCAUGCAUCACAUAUGCACUUUAGUCCCGGUUGGAAAAACCAACCGGGACUAAAGGGAUAAAACCAACCGGGAUUAAAGGGGCCUGUCCUGCGUCUGACGUGGCAGCCCCUUUAGUCAUAGGAGGUCUUUAAUCCAUGUUGAUUGACUCGGGAUAAAAGAUCCUCUUUUAUCUCGAUUGAUUAAUUCCGGAUGGUUUUUUAGGAGAUUUACUCCCUACCAACUGGAACUAGUCAGUUUUCUACCGAAGAGCUGUGCUGAACAAACAAUUCAAUACUACUCCCCUCCAUCCUACGCACUGCCGCUCUUAUAUAAGGUCAGACCAUCAAGACUCGGCUCUCUCACCACAGCCCAAAUAUCUUGCCACAAUCCAAGGGUUCCUUUUAUUUUUUUUUUCCUGUUGAGAGUGUUCCGGUAGCAUUGGCUCUGACACGUUUGUAAACUCGAAAGCGCAAGGAUGGUGAACCUAGCGGAGGCGCAGAAGCUGCUGCUGCACUUCCUGGUCCGGAGGGCCGGGCUGCGGCAGCACACCGUCGACGUCGACGGCGCAGGCACGGUCAUCACCUUCUGGGUGCCCAAGGACAAGGUGCCCAAGGACAAGGUGCCCAAGGAGAAGCCCACCGUGCGGGACGUCACGCCCGGGCCAGCUUCUGCCGAUGAGGCCACCAACAAGCUGCCGGCGGCGGCGGCGGUGGCGAAGAAUGACAGGCCCGCCGUCGUGCUCGUGCACGGCUUCGCCGCCGAUGGCAUCGUGACCUGGCAGUUCCAGGUUCGCCAGCCGUGCAACGACGUCUCGUUUCAGACAUCAUCCUGUGGCUUUCCUGUCCACUACUCAUGUCGUGACACACACGCCGUAUGCGUACGUAUACGUGCAGGUGGGCGCGCUGGCGAAGCACUACGACGUGUACGUGCCGGACCUGCUCUACUUCGGGGGUUCGACGUCGCCGUCGUCGGACCGAUCCCCGGGGUUCCAGGCGGAGUGCCUGGCGGCGGCGCUCCGGAAGCUGGGCGUGGGGUCCUGCGCGGUGGUCGGGUUCAGCUACGGCGGGAUGGUGUCGUUCAAGAUGGCGGAGGCGCACCCGGACCUGGUGCGGUCGCUCGUGGUGUCGGGCUCCGUCGUGGCCAUGACCGACUCCAUCAGCGAGACGAUGCUGGAGCGGAUCGGCGUCAAGUCGUCGGCGGAGCUGCUGCUGCCGGAGUCCGUGAAGGGGCUCAAGGCGCUGUUCUCCAUCGCCACCCACCGGAAGCUCUGGUUCCCCGACCGCCUCUACAGGGACUACCUCAAGGUAUCGUCUUUGUACGUACAGCCUGCAGCUGAGCAGUAGUAACAGACGGAUCGACGGUGUGGUUGUUUGUGCACGCAUCGCAGGUGAUGUUCCCCAACCGCAAGGAGAGAGCGGAGCUGCUGGAAGGUUUGGUGGUCAGCAACAAAGACGCCACCGUCCCCGUCUUGCCGCAGGUACGGUUUGGCCACCGCUCCCGUUGACGACCCGUACUAGUUGCCAGUCGCCUAGGUCGGUGUCCGUGGCCAUAUUCCGCCGGCUGAGCUGGUCGAUACAUUUUCCACGAAGCAUGAUGGCUUGGCUUCCGUUUGAGAAUCUUAGCCUGAACAGUGGGAAAAAAAUUCCUAUAGUACUAGCCGGUGUAAGCAUUGAUGGCCUUCAACAAAUCGCUGCACCUGCACGAGCAAGUGCAUGGUGCCGACUGCAGUCUGACUGCGGCGUCAAUGCUUCUUCGUGCCUUCCUGGCUGCAUGGUGCCGACUGAGCUGUGUAGCCAAGCGAAGUGGACUGCGCCGGCCCUGGCUGGCUGGCUGCACCUGUACCUGCUUGCCUGAUGAACUGGCCAAUCACAGGAAUGGAAACCGGCCGCCCCUGUUCGACGUAUAGGCAUGGCAGCCAUCCCAUCAGAGAGCUGGAAAUGGCUCACCGCUCACUAGUCGGUCCCCAGCAUGCCAUGAAGUAGAAGUUCCCGGAUAAUUCUCAGCUGAUUCCAGCAUCAACUCUGUCAAAUAGUUUUUCAGAGAGAAGUGAUUAUCUGUUGAUUCUGUGAACUGAUUCUCUGAAAUGAACUAAGAGACUGGGAGCUGGAAAAAAAACUAGCUUCUCCUAAUUUCGUGGAGUGAUUCUCCAUCUUGAUUUUAAGAGUUUACGCUAGAGAAUAAAAGAGAAUCACUUUCAGCCACAGAAUCACUCCUCUCAUAGAAUCAGCUCCCAUAGAGAAUUAGAAUCAGAUGGAGAUCUACCAAAUAGACCCAUAACCACCCCUACUACUACUUUUUUUUUUGCGAAUGCCCCUACUAUUACUAUUGCGCCACACUUGAAUUCUAUGUUUCAGUUGGUUCGCUUCUCCCUGACAAGCUGAAACACUUAAACGACUGUGCAGAAAAUACUUCUACUGUGGGGAGAGAACGACAACAUCUUCCACAUCGAGCUCGGCAAGACAAUGAAAGAGUAAGCUUGGAAGUUGGAACCUGAAUUAUUAUUCUUCCAGAAAUCAGCAUAUGUCUUGACAGCUGGGACGAGUUUUGAUUUGCACCCUGCAGGCAGCUGGGCGAGAAGACGAUGCUGCAGAGCAUAAGGAAGGCAGGGCAUCUCGUGCACCUGGAGAGGCCCUGCGUCUAUAACCGAUGCCUCAAGGAGUUUCUCGCGUCCAUCACGGCCGCAGCAGUGCCUCGCUGCUCCCCACAGCACGAGCUGGUCAACUGACCCCUUUGCCUGCGCAAGAAUGGAGGAAGGGGAAACAAAGAACGUGAAGAACAUGUCCAACUUCAACAAAAGAAUACUCCCUCAAUACUACGUGGACUCAAACGAACACGGAUUCAAACGAAACUUGAGCUAAACAAGCACCUCCUCAAGAGCUAAUAGAUCAAAAAAAACCUUGAAAAGUUUAAAUAUUCAUGGCGAAUUUUGAAGAAAACCGAAUGUCCUUCACAAAGUUCGGUUUGGGGAAAUUUCAAAUUCAUGCCGAAUCCAUGAGCAAUUUGAGUGGGGAUCAUAUCAAAGUUUCUCACAAGUAUCUUAACAACAAAAGCCACCAACAAAUCUCACCAGAUUCGCAGCUAAACACGAAGAACAAAAAAUCCAAAAUAUACCUCCGAAAAACAUGAAAAAUAGGAAUCUCAGAUCUUGAGAGGAUAGAAUAGGUGAGCACAAAAAAUUUGAUCUUUGGAUUACUCCACCAUAUUCGAUUAGAAGCCACUCCUAACCUACUCAAAACUUUAGAGGGCAAAAAGAUCACAUCGAAGAUCCCCCAUUUCUCUCCCUCUCUCACCUACCAAAGGCUCUCAAACACAAAUGAGAAGUCCACCACCUAACAACCCAUGAGAUGUGGCUGCCCCAACAGCCACUCCUCAUAUAUAUGGGCAUAUGUCAAAUGUCCAAAAUGCCCUUACAUUAAGCAUACAACCCAAAUACCCCAUAGGGGUAAAACCGUCCAACUUUUUGUCGGUAGAUCGAACAGAAUCGGCGCCUUCAUGACUUCGGGUAAAACCGUCCAACUUUUUGUCGGUAGAUCGAACAGAAUCGGCGCCUUCACGACUUCGCUUCGCCUCGACGCAACCUUCGUGAUAGUGCCACCCGUCCUUCGACUUGACACCGUCCAGUCGCAACGAACUCACCUGUAACAUCCGCAAAAUCACCAACCUAAAUUCACCUGUUAAAAAUCGCUUUUAAAAUCUUUUUACCGCUGGGCUCCCGGAAUUCCAAAACCUUCCCGGCCAUUCCGCCGUCCCGGCAUCCAAGCCGACCCCUAUCUUUUUACCCGUGCCCGUAAUUUCCGCCGCGUGCCGUCAUCAGACGCCGCGCGCGUGCCCCGACCGCGUGCCGCGAAUGCCGCCGGUCCCUCUCUUUUUCUUUCUCCUUUUCCCUCCCCUUUUCCUUUUCUUUUUCCUUCUUCCUUUCUUCCUCCUUCUUCUUUCUUCUUCCUCCUUCCUUCUUCUCUCUCCUCCUCUUUCUUCUUCCUGGCGCCCGCACAACCGGCCCCAGCUCCUUAACUCCCCCCGGCGCCACCUCUACUGGCGCCACGCCGCUCGGCCUCCGUGCGCCUGGGGCCCGCCGCCCGGCCCGCCGUCGACCACGCCGCUGCCUCCCUCGGGCCACGCGCCCGACCCGGCCCCCGGUCGCCUGCACCGCCCGCUCCGGCGUCCGGCCGCCCCGGCCCCGCACGCCGCCCCUCCUGCGCCGGCCGCCUUGGCCCCGCUCCACGCCGCCCGCCGCCGGCCCCUACCUCCCCGCUCCUGGCCCCUACCUCCCCGCCACGGCACGCCACCGGUGCCGUGCCACCAGCCGCCGCCGGCCCUUGCCGGUCCCCUACCGCCGGCGCCCUCCCCACCGCCUAUAAAAGUAGCCCGGCUCCCCACUCUCCACUCACCAACACCACCACCCACCGCUCCCCCUGCUCCCAGCCGCCGCCAGCAAGCCGCCACCCGUGCUCCUCCGCCCGGAGGCCGCCGCCACCCGACCACCACCGGCCGCCCUCCCGCACCUUCAAGUUCGCAUGGUAAUGGGCAAGAUGGAGCCCCAAAAUGGAGCCCCCUUCCUCUCCCUCCGCCGCCCCGGCCCUCGGCUCGCCGCCGGCGAGGCCCGGUCGGCCGGCCGCCGCCGGUCAACCCCCAUCCCUCUCUCCUCUCCAAGUUCCUGGAGAAGAAAAGGAGAAUGCUCCGGAUUUUGGAUCUGACCCCCACUUUUUCCCAAAUUACACACAAGUCCUUCCACCACUCUCACAAACCUAUUCGCGGAUAAGCCCCUCCACCUCCAAAAGUAUUCACAAAUAGGUCCCUGGUUUAUUGCAAAUCAAUCCUAAACCUCCUUUUUAAGCCCUUAGACCAUGUUUAACUCGUCAUUUCAUGCGCCAAACUUCCUCCAAUUAAUCCCAAAUUUUACCACGUCAUCCUCCGGAAUACUUCCGCCGAUCCAUAUCCAAAUUUCCUAAAAAUAAUCUUUCUAUCUAUUUUCCGUUCGCGUUUUCCGUUCGGAGCUCAACGGUUAAAAACCAACUUUCUUUUAUUUAUUUGUGUGCCCGUUUGUGUGUGCCGUAGAUCGCGGAUUGCCCGAGGAGGAGCCCGAGGAGGAGUUUGACCGUGAGCCCGAGCCCGAGGAUCAGCAGCACGAACCGGAACUCCCGGAAGGCUUUGAAGACGGCAAGUCCAAUCUCACCCUUUGAUGCAUACUUAAUACCUAGUUUUUCAAACACAACCUAUUGGCCUGUUUUAUAAAAUGCAUAUUAUUUUAUUCUAUUGCAAGACAUGGUUGGAUAGCCACCCCUUGAUUGUUUUGAACAUUCCUUGUUAUCCUAUGGUUGUCUCUAAAUAUGACCCGCUCUAUUUAGGCGAUAACCACCGCUAGAAUGCUUAGGAAAUUGCUACUCGACUACAAUCAUUAUCACAAUGGUUUUUUUGGAAAGUAAAUGUGUGUGUGUGCAAUUGGGAAAAUGGUUUUCCGGGUUCAAAGGAAAGGAAUGUGUAGACGAGAUGGAUGGGUGUUUCUUGUGUGAAAUGCCAGGAUGUUGUGCUCGUACCUUAGUGGUUGAGCAAUGUCGGGAGAUAUCCAUCUUGUCGUGGUUAAGGACCGAGUUGAUGUGUCAUCUUGCCUAAUUCCACCAUCGUGCAACCACUCGACCGUUGUAUGGGCAACGGCUUAGCAUAAAUCCCACUAGCUAAACUGUUAGUCCUCAGGAGUGCUGGUGAGCAACGGGAGCCCAUGGAAAAGGAGUAAGAUCUUGGUGACUUAGGUCCCGGUUACGGUCUCAUGGAUGAGCCGUGAACCCCUUGGGUGCUUCCGUGAGGGCUAGCCAGUCCCAGCUAAGGUGGGUAAUGGCUUUGUUAGGAUCCGCACCGGCACUAAGGUGCUGCGGUACCCUACUUGUGGGAAAAGUGUACAACCUCUGCAGAGUUAAAAUCUAUCCGGGUAGCCGUGUCCACGGCAUUGGACGAGUUACGGCUUGGUCACAUAACUAGCACUUGGGCAUGGAUGGUCGUGUGCGUGUGCGUGUAAGUUGGAUUUUGAAAGUGUCCGGCAGUUGUGCCGUGAGCUAUGGCGGACGGGGAGUCCAAUAGCGAUAAAACUUGGAUCCUUUGUGUAGGAUCAACCCCACUCCAUGUCCGGUUACCAAAGAAAAGCUUUACAAAAACUUGUUUGAAAACGAGCCUAUGCAUGUGUUGAAAAUCUAGCUUUAUUGCAAUAAACUCUAACCUAUCCUUGAUUUAUCCUGUGCAUAUAUUUGCUUGUAUUCCCCCCCCCCCCCCCCCGUGGAUGGGGUUGGACUUGUUGAGUACGUUCGUACUCACCCUUGCUUCGUUACUACAGAGGGAGACCCGGACUUCAUCGCCGAGGACCUUGAGUAGAGGUUGUGUCCGCACCCAACGCUGCCUGUGGUGUUGGCCUUUCCAAGAUGCUGCUGCUGUCGUGUAGUCCCGAGUGCUGUCUUUUGGCAGUCGCUUGGUUAGCCGCUGUUGUUUAUUUACUUCUUAUCGCUGCGUGGCUUUCACGCCCACUCCCUCGGGAGUUGUACGGUAACUGAAUUAUCUGUCGAAUAAAUGUGUUAUCAGCCUCCUGGGACUGAUAUUUGUAUCACAUUUAGUCUCUACUUAUGUGGGGACGCUUCAUCACCCCCCGGUUUUGAGGCCAAAUUGGUCAAACCCUCUUGCACACCCUGCAAGGCGUGACUCACCAAUGUCGACGCGUGUCCAGCCUCCACCAAGCUUUUGAUGCCUCCAAGUCUUUUGCUCCCGCUCCCGAGCCGCCUACUCGACUUGCCUCCGUUCUGCUUGACUCAACCGACGCCGUCUCCAUCCCGUCCGUGUACUCUUGCUCUUCUGUGCACCAUGUGGAUCGCCCGUGACUCCGUCCAGAUUCCUCAGGUCCCUCGGUCCAAGCCUACUCGUGUCCACCGUUCACAGCCUAGUACAUCGGCAUGAACCUUUCACUUGACUUUCAUCUUAUGCCGCCAACCGCCAUGUUGCAUCCAUCACCUGCACAUCACAAGUCAAGAGACACAACACACAAGAUAUGUUUUACACAAACACCACAACACAACACACACCUUGGUUAGUUGUUAGCAUAAUCAAGCACAUAUGGAAUAUGAACUCAACCGGUAAAGCCUCAAAUCAUCCAGUCAAUCACUCAUCGUAAAUAGACCAAAGCACAUGUCAACUUGGUCUCUCACCUGAUAACAAAAUUCUGAUGUCGAGUAUGGUAUUUGUCACUUGCAGAUAUGUAAGCUAUGGAUAUUUUUUUCCUUGCAGCUUUGUAAGUGUGCAUAUGGGAGGAUUUUCUGAAUCAACACAUAGAAGAUAUGUUGUUUUAUUGCUGAGCAGCUACCAUCGACUCCCUGAAAAAUGAGCUGCCCCAUAUGUUGUUUUGUUGCAGAUUUAUACCUUUUCUGUUAAUACAUUUCAGGUACACACUAUUAGUAGCUGUCCCAUUAGGUAGUAUUUUCUUCAGUUGUCAAAUCAGUUCAAACUUUUGAGACACAAAUUGGGUUGUAAACGUGUUAAUGUUAGAUCAUCUCAAACUGUUCUUAACUGUCCAUAAUAUAUCUCCUUUGCAUGUCUCCAUAUCUCUGCACACGUUCGCUCCUUGGGCCUUUUAAUUUUUCCUCAGCCCACGCCAACAGAAAACGGAGUCGUCUCGUCCAUCAUCCCAUCGCGCGCUUGUUUCUUUGGCCCCACUAACGUGAUUACGAGGGUUAGGAGGAAUUAAUGGAAGGAAAAGCUACCUAAUUCUGAAAAAAUGAUGCCAAUUACAACGGGUACAGUUUUUAUCGGACAAGUUAACAACACUAAAACACAAAGAUAAUUAUUAUAUUUGCAUCUUCCUCGCCACCCACACAACAACAAUGACAUCUCAGCUAAAUCAGAUUACACCUACCAACAAAGCCAACUACUUGGAUGUAGCACCGCCAUUACUUCCACAAGUACCAAUCACCGUCAUGAAACUAGUUGCAGAUGCCACAUCCUCGCCAAAUUUAUUUGGGAUCAACAUUCCUUCUAGUCAUACAACAGAAAGAAUAGAUUUAGUAAGGGUCUGUUUGGUCCCACUUACUUUUUUAGACUAAAUUUUAGUCCUGCAUGUUUGGUUUCAUGGGCUAAACAGCAUUUAAUGAGUUGAACAAUGACCUGUUUGCCUCUAAUCAUUGGGAGAGAGAGAGAGGAAUUAGACAGGCAUUGAAUGAGGGCAAUGGGUGUCCAGUGCACCUUUUAGCCCAAAUAAACAACCCAAAGUUGGCUUAUGGACUAAACUUUAGGGACUAAACUUUAGCUCAAAUAAGUAAGGAUGUUUGGCUCUUUAGAGGCUACAAGGGACUAAAGUUUAGUCCCUAAAAUUUAACAAGGGAUAUCCAAACACCCUCUAAAUAAAUUUGCAUAUUUUGCAUGAUUUCUAAUUUAUUGCGUAUGGAAACCUCUCCAAACCUAAUAAGGAAUUUGGUAAAAUUGAAUUUUCUACUGUUUGGCGGAGAGGAAACGCUCACCCGAGGAGCUUUCUAGGAAGCUAUGGGUCGUAUGUAGUACUAAUUUGCGCAAGCGUGCUAGUAUACAUUCAUAUACAAAAUGUAAAGUAAAUGUGCAAUAACUCACAAAGAACAAGAACAAGUACGGGAAAUAUCAUUUUUAUUCAUUACUGUAAGUUUACAGAGUACAAUAUCCCAUUGUAUAUAAAAUUUGAGCCAAGCAGCUUCUAACAAUCAGAGGAUUGUGUGGCUUCUCAUUUCCAGGGCCUUGGAGGCUUCCGAUUAAUUACAUGCGCAGCUUUGAGCUGUAGAACACCUCCGAUUAAGCUAUGCCAAUGGUCGUCGUCUCCAAGUAAAAUAAGAGCCAUCUCCGAGCAUGCAUAAGCACGAAGAAUAAGUGUGAUGAAGUGCUAGGGCCUCAUCGGCCUCUAGCAAAAAGGUAUUUGGCCACGUUGUGCGGAUCCUAUAAUGAAAUAAUUCAAAGUGCUCGGCUUUGUUGGUUGCGAACAAAAUAAUUUCGGCCUUGUGGGUCGCGGAAAAGGAAACAUCCCAGCCGGGAGAAAGAGGACUCCACAUGGUUCGCCGGCCUUGACGGUGCGGAAAGAUGGUUGCUGUGGUGAGUAGUAGACUUAUGCGUAAAUACAUUGCUACACGUGAGCGGUUUCAUAGAUCGUCUCAUGCAGUGUCACGUAUAAUUUUUGAUGAUGCGGAGGAGAAAGAGCGAGGAGAGAAAAAGAUAUCUUCGCGAAAUAACCACCUCAUGACCUAAAUGGUAGGACUACGAGAUAACUCAACCAUCAUUGUACGAGUUAUUGUUGCCAUGCAACUCAUGAUAUUUUCUUUUUUCAUGUGCAACCUAUGUACGGGUUGUCUGUUGAGUCGUCUCAAAAUUAUGUGUCAAUGCAUGAGACCGCCAAUUAGACAACACUAAUAUACUUGCCCUUAGGAUAAGUGUAUUGGUGUUAUCUAAUAGGUGGUCUUAUGCAUUGACACGUAAUCUUGAGACAACUUAACAAAUAACUUGUACAAUGGAAUGUCUUUUUAGGUUGUCCCAUAGUAAUUAUAUUUUCUUAAUUUGUGCGUAGAAAAAAGGAAUAUUAUGAAAAAUGCCAAACUUCCCCUCAAACUUUUUCUAUCCAAGUUGGUAAAAAGAUUCUUCUUCAUAUUGAAUUUCUUAUUCCAACAGACUAGCCAUUUCCCACCCUCCAAAUCCCAACAGCUAGGUUUCUCUCUAAAAAUAUACACUCUCCAUCCACUUCAAUAGUCUCUCCAUUUCACACUACAACAACCUCUUCAUUUUGCACUCUCCAUUCUGGCAAUUACUGCGCGUGAGACUCACACUUUGGCAAGGCAAAUUGACUUGUCAAAGACUUGCCAAGUUUAACAAGUGUGAGGGGAAGUUUGGCAAGUCAGAUGGGAUGGAAAGUCAUGUACUAAUUCUGUUGGACCAUAAUUUUCUCGCUGUCUUACCAAAUUUUAACUGGCAAGUUGGAUAGCCACCCUCUCGAAGUUAGAGAUAAAGUUCCAUCAUUAAUUUCAUUCGCACGGGCAUUGUUCAAAUUAACUAACUAAAAAUAACUUGCGUCGGAUUUACAAUUAAAACAUAGAAGCACAUUACACUAGUGAAUAAAAUAAUAAUAAUGCUAGAACUAAUUUUUUUAAAAAAAGAGGUUAAUUAGAAAUUCCAAUCGAGAUACUUAAAGUUCAGGUUCGCAGUAUCUGUCUUAAAAAAUAAAAAUUCUUCAAAAAAAAUCGCUAAAACCCACAAAGCCCUCCUCCUCCCUUCCUCACACUCCCCUCCUCAACCAGAUCGCGCGCGCGCCAAUCUAGGGUUUCGCCUCGCCGUCCUCCCUCCUCUCGCCGACGAGGUGCCGACCGAGACCGGGCGAUGAAGCUCGCGGGGCUCAAGUCCGUGGACGGUGCCCACGAGGAGUCCAUCUGGGCGGCGGCGUGGGCGCCCGCCGCCGACCACCGCCCCACGGCGGUGCUCCUCACGGGGGCUCUCGACGAGACCGUCCGCGCCUGGCGCCCCGACGACCUCGCCGCCGCGGGCCCUCCCGUGCGCGGCCACGCGCUCGGGGUAGUCUCCCUCGCCGCCCACCCCGCGGGCGCGCUCGCCGCCGCCGUGUCGCUCGACAGCUUCGUCCGAGUCUUCGACGUCGACUCGGGGGCAUCCGUCGCCACGCUGGAGGCGCCGCCGUCCGAAGUCUGGGGCGUCCAGUUCCACCCCAAGGUGAGCGCGGCUGGCCCAUCCCGGUAGUCAGGACUCGGGAUUUCUUAUGGCAAAAUGGCUGCUUUCUUCCGGUUUUGCUGUAAUUUUAGUAUUUCGUUUCGAGAAUGCGCCAAAUGUGGGAGAUUUUAGAGACAUGUGCGGUGAGUCGAGUUAAUUCGAGCAUAGAGUGCUGCAAAAAUGUUGUGCUGGGUUUGAUUUGUGAGUUUCACUAUUUAUGUUUGUUAUACUAAUAAUUUAUUCCUAGUGUACUAGAUAGUGAAGAUUGAAGAUUUAUCGAGUAAUCCUCAUAUGGCCUGGUUGAUUUUUUAGGUUGCAGCAUAGAGUGCCAUGAGAAAAACAGAUCUGGCCUUGGAUAGAUGACUACUAUUUUUUUCAUUGUUAAGGAAACGCAAAUACUGCAUAUGUUAAUUCAGGUGUGAACUGCUGGAGAAGUGAUGUCCUCCUGGUUUGGAUUUUGUCAGUCCUUACAUCCACUGGGAUUUACUCAUGGUGAAAAUUUAAGAGCUAUUGGGUAUUCCUGAGAUGGCUUGGUCGAUUUUGUUGGAUUCAGGUGUUGGAAUGAGAAUAACUAUUUUUUGCAUAGUUAAAGAAAAGCAAUAUUGCUGUUCUGCUUUAGAUUUUGUGGGUUGUAAGAUCCACUUAUUUUACUCAUUGUGAAAAUAAUAUUACUCAGAUGGCUAAGUCAAUUUUAUUGGAUUCAGUGAAAAUGCUAUGAGAAAAAUAUGGCCUUGGAAUGAGGACAACUAGGAUUUUUCAUAGUUAAAGAAAAGACAAAAUAAUACAUGUGGAGCUUUUCCAAUCUGCCAUGAGGUCUUGCAUAGGCGGGGUCUGGUUGGUACAUGUGGAAGUGGAAGGCAAGUCCGUCCAGUUACUUGUUUUAUUGCUUCAUCAAAUAGGCAUGCCAGCUUAACUCUUCACCUGGUUGCUGCUGCUCACUGUCCUAAAUUUGUUGGCACUGUGCCACUUGGUCCUCUCUUUAGUUAUUCCCGAUCACCUACACUUGCUGCUGAUUCUACAUUUUUGUAUCUUCAGUUGAAGAUGGCUGUUAUAGCAAAAAUCAUUCAAAUCAGUAACUAGUUAUACAUAUGGUUGCAAGGCUUGGGUAGUCCUCUUUGCAAUUCAUGUGGCUAAAUUCGUAUUAUGGUGCAGCAUCAGGUUUGCAUUAUGCUUCUGUUUGAGUAAAAAGCAAUCCUCUCUAUUUUACAUACUGUCAGUACAUUCAGUUGGUCAAAAUUGCAUUUUGUGGGGGUGAAUUUAAUUUAGCCGUUCAUGUUUCAAAGCCUUAAUCGUAUUUAAGAAAGCCUUUGGUAUUUGUGUUUGUAUAUGAAAUGGACCUAAUUCUUGUCAUAUUUGGGUAGUAUGCAAGAGCUUGAGAAAGUGAUUUGCUGAAGAAGUUAAGCCAUUCAUUCAGUUAAAAUUGUCUUCUUGAUGUCGUUCACCUAUCUACAUUAUGGAUCAUAAUUGUUCUGGUGGCUUAAUAGUUUGACUUGUCUCAUUGUCUGAACCUUGCUGGAACUUAAAUUGAGGCCGUUGGCUGUGUUCCCCAUACUAUGUAUGCUUGGCAUCACUGAAUAUUGUCAGACAUGUCUAAUUCAGUGUAACCUGGUUCCAGUUUGUAUGGUCAAUGUGUAGUCUUUGAUCAUUACACGGUUGAUGUGUGUUAAUGCUUGAUCAUUCUGUUUUUCCUCCUGCACUGUCUCAGUCAGCAUUGUUAGACAAUUUUCAUUGCCAUAUUCUGUUGUCUAAAAAACCUGAUAUGUGUUAUUGAGGCUUCUUGUAAUUUCUAGUACUACACAUGAUUGGAGAUAGUAACUGAAUUAUCCUGCUUUCCUGUUGUUUCCAGUCGGUCAAAUUGGCUGUUCUUUCUUCAAUGCAGUUAUUGCCGAGAUAGGCUAAACCAUAUGCUUCCUUUGUCAGGGUAAUGCGCUGGCUGCAGCUGGUGGUGGCAGUGGAUCAGUGAAGCUCUGGGACACAGAGAAGUGGCAACCAAUUACCAGCCUUGCUGUCCCACGUCCAGAGGGAGCUCGCCCUGACAAGACAGGCAGUGGCAAGUUUGUCCUUUCAGUUGCCUGGAGCCCUGAUGGAAAGCUCUUAGCCUGUGGGUCCAUGGACGGCACCAUUGCUGUGUACGAUGCAAUCCGCAUGAAGUUCCUCCACCACCUGGAGGGCCACCACAUGCCUGUGCGGUCCAUGGUCUUCUCCCCUGUGGACCCCCACGUGCUCUUCACGGCCUGCGACGACUGCCACAUCCACAUCUACGACGCCAAGGAGAAGACCCUCAUCGGGGCCAUGUCAGGCCAUGCGAGCUGGGUGCUGAGCAUCGACGUGAGCCCUGAUGGUUUGGCAGUGGCGACGGGAUCCAGCGACCGCACUGUCCGGCUCUGGGACAUCAACAUGAGGAGCUCUAUGCAGACGAUGAGCAACCACUCUGACCAGGUCUGGGCCGUGGCUUUCCGACCGCUGGGUGGGGCUGGAGUCCGUGCAGGCCGGCUUGCCAGCGCCUCGGAUGACAAGAGCAUCUCCCUGUAUGAUUACUCGUAGUUUUCCAUGCCCCUGCAAGGCCUCUAUUGUAGUUUGUUGGAGUCUGAGACUGUCAUUUGGCCAGGACCUGUUGUACAAUCCUAAUUGAGCUCCUAACUUGCAAGGAAAGCAAGUUUGCUUCCUGUUAUUGACUUAACUGUCUCAAGGUUGUUGAGUUAAUGAGUUGCAUACUACAUUACUAAUACUGAUAUUUUCUGUCUGUGAUCACUACUUGUGUCGAUUUCAAGGGUAUUUCUUUAGUGGUUAUUAUAUUGCGAUGUGAGUGUCGAUUAAGAUGAGAUCUUUUAAUCUUCUCCAGACCCGAGCCUGCAUAUUCUGUUGCUUGUGGUUAAAGAUGUUUUCUUUUUGCUACAUUUUUCCAAUCUGGAUUUUUAUACAAACCGUGCUUCAUCGUCAGAUAACAUAGGAGGAGGUUCGUGUAGUGAUGGCACCAUGGCACAGGCUGGCAAUCAUACGAGCAGUACGGAAUUGCAACUGGCUCUUCCCCCGAGUGAUGCCCAGAGAUGUAACUUUCACAUUUGAGAUGGGCCGUCGUUGGAGGCCCAUUUUCUCGUAGAGUGUCUUGGGCUCGUGAAGACAUAUGCUAAGUAAUGCUAAGUAAGUUUGAAUAGCUCUAAAAAAAAGUUUCAAUAAAAAACAUAAACCUUGCUUGGAAAAUAAUCCAUCCAAAUGCACUAAUUAGAGAAAAAAGCUUAAAUUUUAUUUGGUUGGGGUGUGCCGAGCUCCAGCAAUAGUGCAACGCUAGAGCGACACACAAGGAUCCAAAUAGCAAGCUAUCGUAGCGGAUCCUUCCCCAUAAAAAAUGAAUUUAAUAUCGUUGUGAGGGCGAGGCCUCACGUAUCAGAUAUUAAACUGAUAAGAACAGAUACUACACUUGAUCUUAGCCAAAAGGCCGAGAAAGGUAUGAGUUGCCAAGCCGGGGUGCCCCUUCUUUUGUACGCGCCUCGGCAGCCCCACGGCUGUGGCCAGGCGCUGUGGUACUAAUAGCAUGCUCCGAAAGUUUAGCAAUCGCAAUCAGAGGGAACGACGAGGGAAUUAAGCAAACACUGGGCCGCGUUAAUCCUGCUAAUCUUUGCGAUCGGCCCAUGGAGGAGUCCAGAACCAGAAGAGAAGCUUGGACCCCCUCAAAAAAAAAGAAGAAGAAGAAGAAGAAGAGAAGGUUGGAGCACAGCCGAACGAGAGGAACGACAAGGAAAAGGAUUAACACCUCAAAAAAAAAAACUAAACCAGUCAGAAUCCGACACUGAAACUGAUGCAAAAUCUGAGUUUGCUAGCUGUUGAUGACUCACCUUGCAGGUCGUGCUGCCCCGGCCGCUCACCGUCACCGGCGUCGUCAACGCCAGCGGCGCACGAUAGAGGCGGCUGGAAGCUUCCACCGCGGCACGCGCGGCGCCAAUGCUCUCGUCAAGAGGUACCGGCCUCGCCGCCCGCGGGCCGCGCAAACCUUUGAGACCGCCUCCUGGUGCGGUGCGCAUCGACGGACAUGACCCUGCUCUGCUCGUCGCGGCGCCGCCGUUCGCCGGCGGCCGCGCCCUGUCGAAUGGCGACCACCCCGCACCCUGCUCUGAGCAUGUACAUGUGUGUGUUGGAAGCGCCUGACGUCGCCGAUAGUGACCAUAUAUCACUUUUCGCAACUAUCGGCGAAUAUAUCACUUUUCUGUACAGAAAAAAGUGAUAUAUAUCGGCGAAUAUAUCACUUACCUGCACAGAAAAAAGUGAUAUAUCGGCGAAUAUAUUAUUUUGUGACGUGCAUCUAAAAAUGCAAACUUUUCUUUGGAAUAUUGCACCUUGAAAGUUAGCUUUCGUGACUACUAGCAUUUUUUUAUGAGGUUGAGGUAUUGACAAAAUACACAACCAAUAAAUUAGAAGUAGUAGGUUAGGUAAGUACCUACUGAUGAAUGUCUCGUUUAGUGUGAUCGGCUCUGCUGGUUCCAUGAAGAUGCCAAUAUACAACAAGAAUAUAAGAUCAAAGGAAAGAACAAUCAACAAGUGGGCUUGUUGCCGGUCGGCAUCUAAUCAACAGUGACGCACGGGUGGAUUCGUGCGUCAAUAUUUUUUCAAUUAUGCCAUCAAGCCGCGGAUAAAAUGGGCUUAUGAUUGGCUAAUCUUUAACAUUCUUAGAGAUGUUGACCAUUGUGAUAACUUUGCGUGUGGAUCAUUUGUGCCUUAGUGUAUAAUAUAAUUCAAAGAGUUUGAAUAUCUGGUUCUUUGCUUUCCUUAAUUAAUGCAGGAGAAUGGUAACUGUGACAAUCUUGGCUUGGAGCACCUCACUUCACCGCACAAAGUCACGGUACUUCUGUGAUGCGAGAGUAAUUUUCCUGCGCAUGAGAAGGAAAUCGAAGCAGAGGUUGCGCUGAGGCAUGCAGCUGACAUCCAUCCCAACCGCCCCACCUUCAGUGUGUUGUACUCCCCUCUGUUAAACAUAUGACAUUUAGUUCAUACAUUUAUGAAUGGAGGUAGUAUUUGUGAAGCUCAAACAACACAUUCGAGGUCAAGAGGUACGUAGGUGCUAUGUAAUCUUGAAUCAGUUGCACAAUAUCGUUCUAACUAAAUUACCAAUCCCAGUCGGCCCGGCUAAAUAUAACUUCAGAUUUUCUUUUCAGAAGCGUAUGCAGGAAUAAUCCAUAUUGCUCAUAAAUCAGAUUAAUCAGCCCUUCCUCUUACAGAUUAAUCAGCCUAUAAAUCAAUAUCGAAAAUUUCAGACGCUCGACUUCUGCUCGAGGGCACCUUACUGAAUUCGUCAGCCAAUCAAGGAGGAUCGACUUCUGCUUUCUUCCGCCCCGUUUUAGCUGCCAAAUCAUCAAACUUAUUUUUUUUUUUCGAAUCGAGGCGUUCCCCAUUCCAUUACUGAAAGCAACGGAAAUUCCAGAGUUCAGUAUAGAAGCAGCUAGGGAAAGACGACAGUCUACCCAGGGUCCUCAGAUGCAUAGCUGCAUGGUCUUUCUUUGCUUGGGCCUAGUAGAGAGUGGGCUAUGGAUGAUUCAGAAGAUCCGUUGUCAACUACAGCUGUAUACUUUAUAUGCAUGGUAAACUUACAGUAAUGAAGCAAAAAGUCCAUUUUAUGCAGAACAAACCUGCAGUAAUCGAAGAUGACUGUACAUAGAUGGUAAACUGGUAAAAGUGUUGUGAAAGUGGUAAUUCUUCAGCAUGGAUGGUAAACUGGUAAAAAGUGUGGUAACAACUAACAAGGACGAAUCUCACGGGGGACUAGAUGACAUCAACACUAGAGCGCCGCCAUGAAUUAUUUAGUGUUUCAGCUGUACAGGCAGAAAGACUAAAUAAUGCAUGUACACAAAAGCGCCGCCACGUCCCCGCCGCUUCUGCUCGCUCCGAUCACCGCGGACCGCGGCCCAUGAGGCCAUGACUUGAGCGCCGGCAGCACGGAGCGAACGCAGAGCCCAGAGCAGCGCACGUCCACACCGCAGCAAGGACGACGACGACGACGCGGGUGACUGGUGCGCGGCUGCCGGUGAGGCUCCGGCGAGGGCCUCGUCGUGGAGGCUCCAUGCAUGGCAAUGGACGCUGUCGCCGCCGCGCCGGGAUGGCCGUCGUCGCUGGGACUGACGGUGGUUGCGCGAUCGAGAUCGUCGGCGCACACGCCUUGUCACGUCCCGGCCGACCCGGAUCGGUGUCACUGGUUUUCUUAACCAUGUUUAAUAUUAAAUAUCUCUAUCAAUUUUGUUCGGCGUUUCAGUUUGACAAUAUUAUUGUUGAUGCAGGAAAAUCACUCACGAAGCACAUCGGUACAUUUUCCAGCACACCCAGGUGUUAUUCUUAAGGCGACCAAGAGAUUUGCAACUGGUGCCUAGCUUGGAGCACUACAACAAAAGGAAGAAGGUAAAGUACCUUGGAUGCACUUCUUUUUUCUAGAUAUAUACGAUUGGUAAAUUGAUUUUUUCUUUUUCUUAAUUUCUUCUGCAAUGGCCAGAUCAAGUUUGAGCUCAUGGAUGUCAUGCCAGUCAUCAUGAUGGCCGAGUCGCUCCAUCUUUACACGCACGUCAACUUCACGGCGAGGUCCACCAAGGAGGGUUCGAGGGAGCAACUUUUCUUUGCCGAGCUUGAAAACUGCAGCAAAAGGCGGGCUCCAAGUCGAUUCAUUGUCACCUGUUGUGAACAACUGGGUUCUGAUUCCACUGGCGAGUUUAAUUUAGUGUAUUUUCUAUCAGUUGAAGAUCAAAUAGUUUCUUCAUUCUAUAGAUAAUAAUGAAUACGUCCUCUAAAUAAAGCACGCGGAACAAACCUAGUAGUCAUGAACUCCCUCUGUCCCAAAUUACUAUUCGUUUUGACUUUUCUAGAUUCAUAAAUUUUGUUAUAUACCUAGGCGUAAUACACAGAGAGAGAGAGGGAGUAUGUGGCAAAGCAUCCUGGAAAGAAAAUAAACUUUCAUUGACCUAUUCAAAUAAUUGUACAUAACAUAAAUGUCACUGUUGAGCCAAAAAACCAUUCAGAUUAGUCUGUAUAUAUGGCUUCCCAUUUGUUAAUGUUUUGCGGUAGGUCAUUGUUCUGAGCAAGUUGUGUGCUUGUUUAAUUUGUUGCAGUUGGGCAGAAAGGCUUUCAGCUUGAUUAUGGAACCUCAGCAGUUUGGAAGAAUGUUGAUUUCAGCUACUGCUUUGCCUGUGGUUUGAGAAUGGCUCAUCCCAGGGGUGACAAGUAUAUCUCUGGGCAUUGUAACGUUCCGCAUAUCUACACCAAUACAUGCUAAAGAGGAUCUGCUUCCAUGCUAUAUAUCCUUGUUUUGUGUUCUUGCUAUGUAUCCUUGUUUUGUCUUUGGAGCAUUACAUCUGGGCUUUAGGGUUUUGUUCAUGCUAAUUAAAAGAAUUACAUCUUGAAUACUAACAUUUGUCCUAAUUUGUCACCAUAUGUUCGAUUCUAUUUAUAAUGUGUUUAUUGGACCAAAUAAAAUUCUAAUGUUUUUGUAAUCUACAUGUAUAGUUUCCAUGUCGUUAUCUGAAUUUUCAAAAUGAUCCUGUCACGAAAAUUUGCGGAUCGGUGUUUAGUAAAACAGUAGCACAUCAGAUUCAAGCCCCAUAUUAAGAUAUUUGAGGCUGGAUCGCUGGAGCUAUGAAAGUAUUACUCAUGUCUUUGUCCUGCGAUAUGUUACUCUGAUCCUUUUCCAUUUGCUUCAGUGAGAACGAUGCUUGGCUUAUGCUGAGUAGGCGUGUUAGUCGAUAAACAAAUACAAGAAAGUAGCCCUGCUGAUCCAUACAAGUAUGAAGCACAAGAAUCUACAAAACUAUCUGCUAAUCUAUGCAACUGCUAGAUAUUUGGUGGAAUUCAUCUCAAAAUAGUGGGAAAAUAUUUGGGAACAAGAGUAUAAUUCUUGCAAUUGGGGUGCAGUUCUUUCCUUUCCUCAAUCUAUUUCUCAAAUGUUGAUCUGCGUAGUUAAAAGGACAACUUCGAUUUGCUAUUCUGAUGGUUAGUGGCUACACUUCGUCCAACAUUGCUUAUGACAUUUUGAGAUAAGAUCCUUAUAUAAUUGUGCACCAUUUGCUGGUCAUAGUAGAGCGAUCCAAACAAUUACAAGAAAAUCCACCUCCUUUUCUUUUUAUAUGGCCUGUUGUGUUUUUUUUUACUUGUAAUUAAUUUCGGGUUCUUUCAUGUUUUCUCCAGUUCUUUCACAUUGCGUCCAGUUUGUCUGAGUGAAUAGACCAGAGAUUGCUUUGCAGGUUCAGACUUCAGAUUGGCCCAGCAAGAUAGAGUGGUAGCGAAAUCAGCAGGCUGCAGCAGCUACGUGUUUGAAUUGGUUGGGCCAAGUCAUGGUCCAUAGCAAGUCCGGAUUUGGGCUUCACCAUCUCACACAGCAACAUCCAACAACACCUGGAACACAGCUUACUACUAGGCCAAUUGUGUUUGUGUGCCUAUUCUACAACCAAUUCCCUCACCAUGUUGUAAAUUGUAAUCUGAACCGAGUGGCUGUCGCCAUUGUAAUCUGAAUUGAGUGGCUAUCGUACUCAAUUCGUUGCUAUUGGAUUGGCACCAACGUCCUUGUGAUACCGUCAUGCAAGGACCUGUGCCGGAGAACAUGAACACCGAGCACGACCAUCAUCGCUACAGCAAAACAGGCAACAGGACUAACAAACCAGCAACACAGGUAAUAACAGAUUCAUCUAUCUUUUGCCCAUUACGAGGAAAAAGACCAAUUGUUUCAGACAUAAUCCAUCAAUCUUCCGACAGUCGUUUCCAAAACACUCUUCUCAGCACGUCACGAACAAGCAAGCGGAUAUAGUAACCAACUACGACACAGGACGCUAGAGUCCGCCGCAGCGGCUACAACAAAAAAAGAAAGGGACAGUACUACAUAGAUGAUAACAUCCCAGAUAUGGGGUCAGGGCGCGCCCGUCUAGCACUUGAUCUCCUUCAGCCCGUGCGCGAAGUAGAGGAAGGUUGGGUCGGUGGCUCCAUCCUUGUAGUAGGCGAACACCAGGCUUCCAUCAUCAUGCAUGCUCUCGCCAACAAAGCUGCAAAAAACCAGACAAACAUUUAGUACGAGCUAUUCACGGAAUUUAGUUGUGAAGCAAAAUGACAGAAAGCAGCAGUACAAAAAUCAGUAAUAGAACAAUAAUGCAGACAGCACAACCUAUCAUUCUAGCUCGAGCAACACGAAUUUAAACACAAUGGCGAAUAAGAACAUAGAAAGCAAACAUCAAAAAUGGAUGCCACACUGCAAAAGAAUAUAGGUACUUACAACUAAUAUAACAUAUUUUUAAUUAACCCAGAGCAGUACAAAAAUUAUUUUUGCACAAGAGUGUAUGAAAAUAUAUUAUAAUUCAAGCUCCAUGCAGAAUCAUAGGUGAGAAUUCAACGAUAGCACAAGCAACUUGAAUCCAAGUAAUAACAAAAGAAAAUUGCACAAGCAACGUGAAUCUAAGUAACAAAAGAAAACUAUGUGAUUAAAUCCACCGAGGUACAGUUUUCAUGAACAGCUACCAGAAUGGUACUUCAGAGAGAAUCACUAGACACUAGAUAUCAAAUAUAUAGCAUGAUUCGGGUAUAGAACUUACAACUGGAGGUCCUUGAGCUUUCCAAGAAGGUACUUGGUGGCACCCUCAAUGCCCUUCUUGAAUUCCGCUUGCUGCUCCGGCUCCAGCUUGGCAGUAAGGUUCUUGAUGUAGCGCUUCAUGAAGGUCACAAACUGCUUCUUGUCAAAGGCAGGUUGCUCCUGCAAAUGUGAUUACAUGGUUAGUACAAACUCAAAGAACAGAAAUAUAACCAGGGCAACAGAACUCCAGAUGAGUUAGCAACCUGAAGACGGAAGGUGUCAACAAUGUCAACAACCUUCACCGCCUGAUCAUCAACACCCUCAUCAUCGCCACCACCCUCGGCAGACGGGUUGGCACCAAUGUCAACAUCUACAGCUCCUUGGACGACCCACUGCGAGCACCCAUCCAGUAUCAUGAUGUAAGUAACAAAUCAAACAAACCAAAACACAGUAAACAUAAUGCAGAAAGCAAAACAAUCUGGGCAGCAUUACUAAUGCAGAUUCAUCCAGAUUGACAACCGUUUGUAAAAUUAGAGCAUCCAGAAUAAGCAGCAGCCCAUAAGGUUUCAACAAUACCAAGCUUACGGGGCGCUCUAAAGCAACCAACACAAGAUCCCUAGCUGCUAAGAGUAUCGGACUACAAGUUUAAAUUUGCCAACAUGUUGUGCCACAGCAAGCAACUAGGAUGCUGCAGAGUUGCCCAGAUCCUAGUACAAAACCAAAAGGUCAUAGGAUAAUAACUCAAACAAGGUACUGCAACAACCAAUUCUGAAUGAGCGCAUCAGAAACAAAAAAAAAUCAAUCUGAUUGAUGAAUUAGCUGCUCCCUCAAGAAACUAGGAGGACCAUAGAACACAUAAUUCACCUAUUCUAAACGAUCGAUUUGCUGUCCCCACAAACUAAACUGCUGCAGCAUCAAACAAUACGGAUCUAAUGGAGCAUCAAACUAAACAAGCUAUACUGCCGCAUCGAAUAAUCCGGAUCUAAAGCUCAGAGCAAAAAACGAAUUCAGCAAGGUGAGUUUGAUAAAGCUAAAAUCUUGUCUACUGCUGGCCGAUGGAUGCCACAGGGCAGCGGGCGUACCCUGCCGUCGACCUCCCAGAGGAUGCCGUUCUCGAUCUCCCUGUACGGGAACGAGUCCGAGAGGAGCUC